rnacentral:lncRNA from 1 species
UCGUCGACGAUGUUGCUGCCGCGAACGCACUGUCGCACGCACUGUUGGUGCUUGGUCCGAUCUUUCCAGCCCUGGCACUUCCUUUGGCAAGACAGUUGGCACUCCCCGGCGACCUCCUCCUCUUGGGCGUGGCGGUGCUCGUCGACGUCGUUGCCGCCGCCCACAGCGAGGCUGAGGCCGCGGCGCAUGCACUGUUGCACGCACUGGUCCUUCCUCGUCGGGUCUUGCCAGUGGCUACACUUGUUCUCGCAAGAUGCUCUGCUGGGGUGGUGAUGCUCCCGGCUGUGGCACUCGUCGACGCACUGCUUUUUCCUCGCCGGAACUUGGUGGUGUUGGCACUUGAGGUCGCACGAGUCGUUCUCCUCCGGAUCAUCGACGCGCAGACGGGCCUCAUCCGCCUCCUCCACCUCCGGGACAGCAGUGGCUACCGCCCCAUCGUCCUGCUCCGCGCCUGCUGCCGCCGCCGCAGCCAGCAGCACCCCGGCGAGCAGGAGGAACCACCAAACCCCACCCUUGUGAAUGAACCCCAUUGCUGCUCACACUAGAGAGUAGAGAUGGAUGGCAAUGGAUGGGAGAACUUGAAGGCCAGCGCCGACCUUUAUAUACACACGAGCGAGAUGUCUAUUGCAUUUGAUUUGAUUUGAGCCAGGCAUCUUCGCGAGAGGACUGCUGUUUAUUGCGUGUGCCAUGAAGUGAACCAUGUGGAGGCCAUUGAUGCCGGGCAAUCACGAGGGACACGAGCAGUACUAUACCAGUAUACUCUACUAAUACCAAGGGAUGCGCUGGUGGCUAAGUUUGGACGAUAACGCCCUCGCAGACGUGUUCGCCUGCCAAGCAAACACCUGCCACGGACGUAGUGAUAAUGUUGUACUGGGAGCGCGCGCCCGGCAAGAGAUCUCCAUCGUCAUUUAAUAAAUACAUUAUAACUGAGCAUUUUUUCAGCCCUCUCAGGUCAUCAGUGUUCUCGGCCAUUCGAUCGUUAUUUUGGAUUUUUAGCCGUCAGAUUAGCUUUGAAUCAUGCGUACGUUACUAUUAAGAAGCGCUAACUGUUCAAAAGAACAUCAAAAGGGCAAAGGCAAUGAUCAGUAAACAUGCUGGGUAUGAUGCGCUGAUCAAAGCUCACCAGAUAGUAUCCGUGGUCUCUAGGCGCUGCUUCGAUUUCAUGCCAAUAUAACGUAGCCUUUUUUGCCAACUUUCCCAUGCUUGCGAGUGCCGUUUUCAUAGCCCUUUUGGUGCUGUCCUGCCCUCUUAGGCGCCGAGCAGCUAUCGUAUUCUGUAUCUGGUUAGAAUACGAGCUCAUGUAUCUGACGGCAUAGUACCAUCCUCUGUGUGCCUUCUUUAUCGUCUUGUUUGCUGCAACCAGCAACCUUACCAGGUGUGUGACCUUAUUUUCCAGCCUUUUAACAUGGAUGUAGUGAUAAUCCCUAAUUUCCUUGCCACAUACAUCCUCCAUAAACCUAAUGGCUGCCAUAGCAGCACUGUCUUCUGCUUCAUCACAGUUCUUUGAGAUCACACCAGAUAUCGAGGUUGGAACAAGCAAACCAUCGAUCAAGAGCAACGAUGAAUUGAAAGUAACCGUCACACGAGACUCAUUGCCCGGAUAUGUCUUGUGAUGGUAAGUCGCAGGGGGCAACUUGAGAGCUUGCAGCAUGAGGGCAAAGAUGUGGGAAUAAGGAAUCAGUAUUACAUAAAAGUUCUCGAUGCUAGAUGUUUCUUAAAAUGUGAAAAUAUAUAUGACCAUGGUCGUUUGGCACAUACUGCUAAGUGCAUACAAGAAAAACUGAAUGUUUUUUUCGUCUGGCCAUUCCAGCAUCGACACAAACGCUCAAAUCAAUUCAACCUGUUGUUUCUUAUCUGCAGGGACUCACGGUCAAACAAGAAAGCUAUUCUCUGGCCACUGAUGUUGAGGCUACCUACACGAUGCAGGACCGUGUCAUCUACAACAAACAUGGUAACCAUAUUAUUGAUAUUUCAUCAUAACCAAUUUCUAUUAUUCCAUGAUCAUCUCUUUCCAACUAACUUGUACAUGCCAGUGUCUCUGCAAAAAGCACAGACAACUACUUGACUACAUUGACCGUCACCUAACAGCGGAUUGGGUCCCAGAUUUCAAAGAGAAAGAAAUCCAUCUAAAGCCGGGACGCUACAUUGUUCGUGGUAAGGACUACAUAACACUUCUUGGAUUUUAGAAUCGCGUUGUUGAACAUCCACUAUAGAUAUGUGUGGAGAUAGAAAGAGAGAUUAAUCUGCUUUCAGAAAAACAAAAAUAAACAUGGGAACUUAUUCUGCUUUAUAGUCUCGUGCCUAUAUUGACCACACUAUGCCUCUGUCAUAUCACAAUUUAAUAUUUCUCCACUGUAUUGAUAUCUUAUAUAGAUGCAUGUGUUAAACAUGGAUUACUACUGACUUUGCAUUAUCUACUCGACCUAAUUGUUGGGAUUAUUGUGUAGGUGAUCACAACAUCCACUACUUUGAUGAGCUUAGCACCUACUGCCUUUAUGGAAAUAAAGUGAAAUUAAACAAUGAAAAUCUCAAGAAUCUGCGCAAGCUAAUUAAAGGCAGUAAAACACCUAACUGCUAUUAUGUGUGCCACAUGACAAAGACUUUUGCAACCCCUGGAAAAUUAAAUGGUGGGCAUAAAAAAUUUCUUUAGUUUAUUUGGAUCCAUCCUAUGCUUCCUGGAAAAAGAAUAGUGGGCAUCAAAAAUUUCUUUAGUUUAUUUGGAUCCAUCCUAUGCUGCAACCCCUGGAAAGCAUAGAUGGAUCCAAAUAAACUAAAGAAAUUUUCGAUGCCCACCAUUCUUUUUCCAGGGGUUGCAAAAGUCUUUGUCAUGUGACACACAUAAUAGCAGUAAAGUGUUUUACUGCCUUUAAUUAGCUUGCGCAGAUUCUUGAGAUUGUCAUUGUUUAAUUUCACUUUAUUUCUAUAAAGGCAGUAGGUGCUAAACUCAUCAAAGUAGUGGAUGUUACGAUCACCUACACAACAAUCCCAACAAUUAGGUCGAGUAGGUAAUGCAAAGUCAGUAGUAAUCCAUAUUUAGCACAUGCAUCUAUAUAAGAUAUCAAUACAGUGGAGAAAUAUUAAAUUGUGAUAUGACAAAGGCAUAGUGUGCUCAAUAUAGGCAUGAGUCUAUAAAGCAUAAUAAGUUCUCAUGUUUUUUUUAAAGCAGAUUAAUAUCUCUCUUUCUAUCUCCACACAUAUCUGUAGUGGAUGUUCAACUACGCGAUUCUAAAAUCCAAGAAGUGUUAUGUAGUCGUUACCACGAACAAUGUAGCGUCCCGGCUUUAGAUGGAUUUCUUUCUCUUUCAAAUCUGGGACCCAAUCCGCUGUUAGGGGCCGGUCAAUGUAGUCAAGUAGUUGUCUGUGCUUUUUGCAGAGGCAGUGGCCUAUACAAGUUAGUUGGAAAGAGAUGAUCAUGGAGUAAUAAAACUUGAUUAUGAUGAAAUAUCAGUAAUAUGGUUACCAUGUUUGUUGUAGAUGACAUGGUUCUGCAUCGUGUAGGCAGCCUCAACAUCAAUGGCCAGUUCAUAGCUUUCUUGUUUGACUGUGAGUCCGUGCAGAUAAGCAACAUCAGGUUGAAUUGAUUUGAGCGUUUGUGUCGAUGCUGGAAUGGCGAUAUGAAAAAAACAUUCAGUUUUUCUUGUAUGCACUUAGCAGUAUGUGCCAAACGACCAUAGUCAUACAUAUUUUCACAUUUUAAGAAGCAUCUAGCAUCGAGAGCUUGUAAGGCAUAAAUACUAAUCCAUUAUAUCUUAAAAUCAUAUGAGAAGGUACAAGCAACACGCAUACAGUGUAUUCAGAUAAUCACUUCGAUAUAGAAAGAGGGGUAGCUACUAUGGACAGGGCCAUAUGUCAGCACGUGCAACUGAAGCAAUUGAACAGGGCCCCAAAAAUUGAAGGGCCCCCGGCUGCAGGUAAUAAAGGUGUUAAACGGAGCAUUAAGUGAAGAAUUAUGAAAUAUCGCACCCCAAGGCAUCCUAUUACUGCCAGUUCCCUCUCUCAAUGCAUUGCUACUGUUCCAAAAAAAAAUCAAUUUCACAAGCGCCAGAUUAACUAAUUGACCCAUCAUUUCCUCCCCAUCUUGAUUCUUUUCCAAUUCUUCUCGGGAAUAAUGCUUCACGAUUUCCCCAAAAGAAAGGCAUUAGUGGCAGCAAACUGGUGUGGUCAUGGACUCCAAUCUUCUCUAUAUUGGGGAGUUUUCCUCUCAAUUCUCAUGUGCUCUUGUUCAUCAUUUAGAACCUUGUGGAGAUUGGAGUCACCCCCUGCACUGCUUUGUCGCUGACCUACCAAUGAAUCAUCGGAGCUUCAUUUGCAGUCUCGCAUGAUCUAAAACUACAGAGUCCUGGUAAGGUGGUGGCAGUUCUUACUGCUAGUUUGUUGUUCUUUCUAGAACUUGUGCAUCUGUGAGAACAAACUGCACAUUUUAAUCCGCUAUUUCAAACGUCAGGGCAUAAAUUUUGAUUCGCACAAGGCCUCUGAUUUUCUAAGUAUGACCCUAACUAUGGAACAAGCAUUUAUAAAAGGCUUACCUAACAGGACUAAUUUGCAUGGAUGCUCUCGCGAGUAUAGAAUAAAGAUCACAAACAAAAUGAAAAGCUAGAAUUAAAUACUUAAUUACAACCUGCAGUACAUAUGUUUAUCAUCACAUAUAACUUUUCUCUGUAUCUAGCAAACGGAGAAGAGACGGACCUGUUAUAGCAAGUAGAGACGGAAAUAUACCUGUGGUCGAGGGACUCGGUGUGUGGAGCACGAGGAGCCAUCGUGUGCCGCAGGCAAAUGAGCUGGCUGAAGCACUUUACGGCCCUGAGCCCGUUGCGUGGCGGCGGAAUACAUGGGGGCUCCGAUCCGGCGACCACCGGAGCGCGGCUGCCUCACCAUGGAAGACUGGAGGCGUCGCUGCGGUCGGACUAAGCAGGGUGGCGGCGGAUCCAGGCGAGAGGAGAUAGGUUUUUCAGAGGAAGGAGAAGAGCGACCGGAUGUACGGGCAAGGGAGGUACUUACGCAGGCCAAGGGCUCUUUGGGCUGAUAACGGGCCAGGGGCUGGGUAAGGCGGACGCUACGCUGAUUUAACCUGUGUUUUUUUUAUUUCCUGUAAGCCGAUAUAGUUUACCUAGGAUAAUAAGGUAUUAUUUUUUGUGGUGAUAGAAAUCACAUUAGUUAAGUUUUCCUGAUUUGGAUUAUUCUUCAUUGUUUAUUGUCCUUUCAGACUGUUUAUAUUUUCUAAAUACAUUUACAUGGCUAGAAUUUAUUUUUAAAAUGACAAUAACAUUUUUUUAAUUGCAGUAUUGGCAGACUUACAUUAAUAUUUGUAUAACAGAUGAAUGCUUUACUAAAAGCACAUGACCUAUAAGUAGUAUGUUUCUUUCCUUGGAAAUUUUAACACCCACCAACAGCAAGCCCUUUUUUGUCGGCAUCUUUUAUCGAAACACAUUAAAGUGUUAAAAAAUGCAUUGACAUUUUUUAAAACCAUUGGGAGGAAGAAUGAACAAACAUGAAUGAACGAACACGAGUGUAAGCAAACUAUAUCUUCCCACGACCAUCUUCCUUGCCAAGCAUGCGUAAGGGAGCCCCUGCUCCGAGUGCGUCAAACACCGAGAGUGCCAGUGCGGAGCCCUAGUCGUUGCCGCUUGGCGCAUUGGAGGCUACAACGUACCUCACCCUCGCCGCGCGCACGGGAGGCCACCAUGAGCCUUACCCUCGCCGCCGUCGCUUGGCGCAUAUGAGGCCGCCAUGAGCCUCGCCCUCACCGCUGUCACUCAGCACCAAACAAAGCAUGCCCAAAAAGCAGAGCAAGAACGCCAUCCAAGAGAAGAAGAACAGGAGCACCACUCACUCGAACUUGUUGGAUUCACCUGCAGGAUGACGAUGAACUCAGCCACCUUUGAGCAGCUAACAAAGAGACCCGAAUAUCGCCGGAGCGGCCUACUGUCGUCUCGUCUCCCCGUCGCCCGACGUCCCAAGUCUAAGUCGCACGCGCACCCCGCACGCGGUUGGAUCCCUACUUCUAGUAUAUAUAAUGAUAGAGAUGGUUUUAUAAGGUUGGUUUGGACUUGGGAACUAGAAUGAAGGAGUAUUCCAUGGUCAUAGGGAAGGGAUGCACAUGGAUCAGUGAGGUGGCGCGAUCCAGACCGCACGAUGAAGAUCGUGCCAUGGAUCAGUGAGGUGGCACAAGUCAUGGCCGCAUGAUGAUGAUGAUGGCUGGUGCUCAUCCUUGCUAUUACCAAGAAAGAGAGCUCAUUUUUCUUAAUGAUGACUGACCUCAAAGAAGAUUACUUCUUUUCUCUCUUUAUCCUUUUGGCAAACUAACUUUUCUAAGUCAGUGAAGUAAUUCAAUUAUGUUCUGCUUUCUUUAAGAACGUCGAAAAUCAAUUCUUAUAAAGUCUGUAAUUUAUCUUUCUUAUGUUCAAGCCGUCCUUGGUUGAUGUUCAUGGCAUGGGCAGUCUCUUUUCUCUUAUUUCACAAGAAUAACAAGUUUCUCUUAUUUCACAAGAAUAACCAAGUGGCUAACAUGGUAGCUUUUACAAUCAAAGCAAAUGGAUCUGGUUACAUAGGCAUGGAUCCUCAAAACAAGGACAAGCAGAUUAUGCAUGUGAUCCUCAAACAAGUCCUCCUUUAUAUAGAUGCUCAGAGAAGUAGGCACAUUUGGUUUGGCUACAUCUUUCAGCAAAAUUUCAUUGGCGGACAAUAAUUCUGACCGACCUAUAAAUGCAUACAUACAAUCAUCUCAGCAAGGAAGGAACAACAAGAUGAUUACAUGUAUGUAUCCACAUGUCCACAACAACGUGUAAAUAGAAAGCAACAACAACUCUCCUAAAACAUCAAUCAUCUCAGCAAGGAAGGAACAACAACUCCCCAAGGAGGCGAGAAACAUUACAGACCAUCCCAGAUAGGCCUACGUCCAGCACUAUACACUAGGAAAACCAGGUUCAGUACUGCAGCUUCGCGUCCUCAAUGAGCCUUUCGGCACCAACGAGAUCCAGAAUACGUCCGCCGCCUUCUUCAUGUAGAGGCCCAGGUUGAUGAUGACCAACUUCGCCCUCUGAAACCUACAUGUACAGAUUAACAAUGCCAUCAAUGUCCAUCCAGCAACGACGCGCUAGGGAAUCCCAAGAACAUGCUCUCCUGCCAUCCACACAUGCAUUAAAAAGAAACCUCGGAUUCAUUUAGUUAAGCGUCCAUGAUUGGCAGGAACAGAAAGUGCAGGUAAUAUCACUCAAAAGUAGGAGCAAAAUCAAACCUCCUCCUGGAGCCAAAGAUUUGGAGGUGCUGGUGUAGAGUAGGCCAUCAAACCUCCUCCAUGGGUGUGUUCUCCUGCCGCAGAGAGGAUGAUCAUCUGCAGGGGAGAGGGAGCAAUAAGGUCAGGAUCAUCAUCUGCGUGCAUGAGGAAACCACAUGCCAAAUCAAACAGAGAGGAAUAUAAAGCAGUGUAGGCGAUCCUCGUAUCAACCAAACCAGGAUAUAAAACAAAAGCUAUGCUCUAUGGAAGAGAAGAUCCUUCAUCAUCUAAGAAUCAAAUACGCAUUGUCUUGUCUAAAAGAACAAGCGUUAUCAUUCUAACAAGCAGGUCUACAAAAAAGCAUUAUUGCCACAGGAAAUGAACUACACAAUAGAUUUACAUUCCAUUUCUAGAUACAGAAGGCCUAAGAAAUCAAACUACCUACAGUAACAGCACCAGCCAAACACACCACAGCAUAAACUACCUACGAACUAGUUACACCUAGCACAAUCAUCUCUAGAAACAGAAGUUAAACCUUGUUGAUUCAUGACACCCACAAGCAGCAAAUGAAUGAACUUUCAAGCUAGAACUCACAAAUAAAACCAUCUCUUAGAAACUUGAGACUAAAGAUCUCCCCCUCUGUCUCCCCUCUCUUUUGACAGGGAGGAAGAGCAAACCAAAGUACAACGACAGUGCAACAUCCGGCAUCCAAACACGGAAAAGAGGAAUCCAAAUAGCCAUGGCAGAGCAUGAGAGACUACACAAGUCAACAACUAAAUCGUGAACUGUAAUUGUUAUUUUUAUAUGUAGCAAACAAGAUUGGUUUUUCUUGGUUCAGAAGUUGAAAUGUGUGUGACUUAGUGGCUUACCCCUCUGUUGACAAGUUGAGAGCAGAUUUCACAUGGACCCCAAGAACUUGCUCUCCUGCUACCCCACACACAUGCAUCAAAAAGGAAACCCAGGUUCAUUCAGUCAAGAGUCCAUGAGUGGCAGCGAUAGAAAGUGCAGUUAAUAGCACUGUAGAGUAGGAGCAAAACCGGACCUCCUUCUGGAGCUAAAGAUCUGGAUGCUGUUGCUCCUGGUCUGCAAUGAGGUCAUCGCCGCUGCGUCUCAUGUUCUCGAACACAUCCUCCGGGGGUGUGUUCUCCUGCGGCAGAGGAUUGUCAUCUACAGAGGAAGGGAGCAACACGAACAACAGAGCAACAAGGGCAGGAUCUGAAGGAAAUAUGCCCUAGAGGCAAUAAUAAAGUUAUUAUUUAUUUCCUUAUUUCAUGAUAAAUGUUUAUUAUUCAUGCUAGAAUUGUAUUAACCAGAAACAUGAUACAUGUGUGAAUACAUAGACAAACAUAUAGUCACUAGUAUGCCUCUACUUGACUAGCUCAUUAAUCAAAGAUGGUUAUGUUUCCUAACCAUAGACAUGUGUUGUCAUUUGAUUAAUGGGAUCACAUCAUUAGGAGAAUGAUGUGAUUGACAUGACCCAUUCCGUUAGCCUAGCAAAGAUGGUUAUGUUUCCUAACCAUAGACAUGUGAUGUGAUUUGUCACUCCGAUUGUCGGAGAGGUAUCUCUGGGCCCUCUCGGUAAUACUCAUCACCUAAGCCUUGCAGCAUUGUAACUAAUGAGUUAGUUAUAAGAUUAUGUGUUACAGAACGAGUAAAGAGACUUGCCGGUAACGAUAUUGAACUAGGUAUUGGAUACCGACGAUCGAAUCUCGGGCAAGUAACAUACCGAUGACAAAGGGAACAAAGUAUGUUGUUAUGCGGUCUGACCGAUAAAGAUCUUCGUAGAAUAUGUAGGAGCCAAUAUGGGCAUCCAGGUUCCGCUAUUGGUUAUUGACGAAGAAUAGUUCUAGGUCAUGUCUACAUAGUUCUCGAACCCGUAGGGUCUGCACGCUUAAGGUUUCGAUGACAGUUAUAUUAUGAGUUUAUGAGUUUUGAUGUACCGAAGGAGUUCGGAGUCCCGGAUGAGAUCGGGGACAUGACGAGGAGUCUCGAAAUGGUCGAGACGUAAAGAUCGAUAUAUUGGACGACUAUAUUCGGAGUUCGGAAAGGUUCCGAGUGAUUCGGGUAUUUUUCGGAGUACCGGAGAGUUACGGGAAUUCGCCGGGAGUAUAUGGGCCUUAUUGGGCAAUACGGGAAUUGAGGAGAGAGGCCGAAAGGAAGGAGGCGCGCAGCCCCCGUCUGGUCCGAAUUGGACAAGGGGUGCAGCCCCUCUUUUCUUCUUCCUCUCCCCCUCUUUCCUUCUCUCCUACUCCAACAAGGAAGGAGGGAGUCCUACUCCCGGUGGUAGUAGGACUCCCCUUGGCGCGCCCCUACUAGGCCGGCCGCCCCCUCCCCCCUUGCUCCUUUAUAUACGGGGGCACGGGGGCACCUCUGCACAAAAACACAAGUUGAUCUACGGAUCGUUCCUUAGCCGUGUGCGGUGCCCCCCUCCACCAUAUUCCACCUCGGUCAUAUCGUCGCGGAGUUUAGGCGAAGCCCUGCGCCGGUAGAGCAUCAUCAUCGUCACCACGCCGUCGUGCUGACGGAACUCAUCCCCGAAGCUUUGCUGGAUCGGAGCCCGGGGAUCGUCAUCGAGCUGAACGUGUGCUGAACUCGGAGGUGCCGUACGUUCGGUACUUGGAUUGGUCGGAUCGUGAAGACGUACGACUACAUCAACCGCGUUGUCAUAACGCUUCCGCUUAUGGUCUACGAGGGUACGUGGACAACACUCUCCCCUCUCGUUGCUAUGCCAUCACCAUGAUCUUGCGUGUACGCAGAUUUUUUUUUGAAAUUACUACGUUCUCCAACAGGAUCAUCAUCUGCCUGUGUGUCGCCUGCCGAAUCAAACAAAGAGGAAUAUUAAACAGUGUAAGUGAUCCUCGUAUCAACCAAACCAGAAUCCAAGCUCUGUGGAAGAGACGAUCCCUCAUCAUCUAAGAAUCAAACACACAUUGUCUUGUCUAAAAAACCAAAUACACGAUAUCAUUCCAACAAGCAGGCCUACAAAAAAGCAUUAAAGCCACUGGAAAGGAACUACAAAAUAGAUUUACAUUCCGUUUUAAUUAGAGACCUAACUGGAUAUGGUCAUAUGAAAGAAGAAAACUACAAGAACGUGUUAUCAUUCAAUAAGACAUGGAAAUCCAAAGUGACUUCUGGAAAUAAAUUCUCAUACAAAUCCAUGCAUUGUGCCAUGAUGGGUUUUUUGUAGAGGAGGGGCACCGUCAGAAAUGUGGGGGUCCGGACAAGAAAAGGAAAGGACACAUGCAAUUGACAAAUCUAUUUGUUUCAAAAGGAGUAAACAGGUACAUUUUUUUAUAGGAAUUGCAACUCAUAGGUGCCACAAUGUGUCUAGAAUAAUGAUCAAAACUGACAUGUUUGUCAAGUUCUAAAGGUAUUAUCCCACUUAUAUUGUUGAUGUACAACUACUUACGCUAAGAUGGAUUAGUGAAUCCAAGUUCAGGGCCCAACAUGGAUGGAUUAGUCUGUCCAAAUUAAGCCCCUGGUAAGCUUGAACUACUUACUAACACGCAAAACAACCAUGCCUAGGUAAAAAGGACUAUGUGUCCCUUUGGAUUCUGGCCCUGGUAGCCCUGCCAAUCACCGACUCGCCAAAAUUCUGGCACAGGAUUUCGAUGGGCAUCAGGCGAGCCAAAAAAUGGGAAACCAUCCAGAUAGAUGCCAUUGCUGCGGUUGAAAGGAUCGAUAUGAUUGACUAGAGGGAGGGGUGAAUAGGCAACUAACACUUUUUAGACUUUUCUUUAACAAUUUAAACCUUGCAAUGAAAUAGGUUGUCUAGAUGUGCAACUACGUGGACAACCUAUAUGAUGCAAAGACAAUAAGCACACAAGCAAGCAAUGGAUAUAGCACAAGUAAGCUUGCAAAAGUAAAGGGACAAGAUAACCAAGAGUGGAGCCGGUGGAGAUGAGGAUGUGUUACCGAAGUUCCUUCCUUUUAAGGGGAAGUACGUCUCCGUUAGAGCGGUGUGGAGGCACAAUGCUCCCCAAGAAGCCACUAGGGCCACCGUAAUCUCCUCACGCCCUCACACAAUGCGAGAUGCCGUGAUUCCACUAUUGGAGCCCUUGAAGGCGGCAACCGGACCUUUACAAACAAGAUUGGGGCAAUCUCCACAACACUUGGAGGCUCCCAACAAUACCGCGAAGCUUCACCACAAUGGAGUAUGGCUUCGAGGUGACCUCAACCGUGUAGGGUGCUCAACACCCAAGAGAAACAAGAUCCGCUAGGGAUAACUGGGGCGAAUCAAAUAUCAUGUGGUGGAAGUGUAGAUCGGGCACUUGUCACCCAAUCCCGAGAAAAUCAACAAGUUUGAUUGGCUAGGGAGAGAGAUCGAGUGAAAAUGGAGCUUGGAGCAAGAAUGGAGCUUAGAGGUGGAAGAGGUAGUCAACUAGAGGUAGAAGACACCCCUUAUAUAGUCGUGGAAAGAAUCCAACCGUUAUCCACAUGUUCAGCCCGCGACACACAGUACUACCGCUCCAGGGGCGCGGUGCUACCGCGAAGCUGUGCGGUACUACCGUGGCUGACCAUAGUACUACCGCGACAGCAGCACAGGCCGGAACUAGCCUGACAAGGGGGCAGUACUACCACUUGCGCGGUACUACCGCACCCACUUGCGGUACUACCGCUAGGCAGGAAAGUCACUUGCGGUACUUCCGCUGAAACUGAGGUGGUACAAAAAUCCGACGCGGUACUACGGCUCGCGAGGCGCGGUACUACCAUGCGGGCGCGGAUGUAAAAAAUUACAUCCGCGCCUACUACCGCGACACUGCGGUACUAGGUAGGAGGCCACGGUACUAGGACUCCUAGGGAGCGGUACUACCGUGGGCCCCCACAGUACUACCGCGCUGGACGAGCGGUACUACCAUGGAGGGUGCGGAUGUAAAAAAUUACAUCCGCCCCUACUACCGCACCGGAGCGGCACAAGGCCUGGGAGCUGCGGUACUACCGCUCCAGAUGAGCGGUACUACCGUGACACACAGCGGUACUACCGCGUGUACUUGCGGUACUACCGCAAGUACAGCAGUAGUCGUCAGAUUUCCGCACAACCAAGAUAACAAAGGGAAGCUCCAAAAUGCAGGGAAAGGAGGAACAAGUGUACGUGUUGAUUCCAUCCAAACCUUUCCGACGCGGACCCCCUCUUAAUAGUACGGCUCUCCUAUGACUCAAAUCCACCAAAGAGAAACGUAGAACAACGCCGACUUCAAUAGUCUCCGAGGGGCACCGAAUCGUCUCAUGCCUAGAGAUGAAGUAUCUGAGAAACUCAAGGCACACGAUUAGUCCGCAAAUGCAUUGUCAUCAAUCACCAAAACACCUGAGGGAUAAAAUAUGCCCUUACAAUCUCCCCCUUUUUGGUGGAUUGAUGACAACACGGGAUUUGCAUAUAGAUAAGAUAAUUUAGAGCAGGGGCAAACCCCACCGCUCUAAAAUAUAGACGGGCUCCCCCUAGAUGUGUGCACUUUAGAUGAAUGCUUUGGACUGCAUAGCACACAGACUAGGAUCAACACUCCCCCUAUAUUUUAGAGACCAAGGCAUGAUAAUAAGCAUAGCAAAGCAUAAAGAUAACACAAUAUAACACAAGCUCGCUAGGAUAGAUAGAGUGCAUAUGUCUUACACCAUACGAAGUAAAGCUAUCGAGGUUCAAACGAGAAAGCAGCAAAUAGUUCAAACGAGAAAGCAGCAAACACACGUCACACUCGCAAAUCCCUACACUCUCUCCCCCUUUGGCAUCGAGACGCCAAAAAGGCAGAGAGGACACCUACACACAAGAGGUGGCUCAAGCAGAGAACUCGUCCCAAGCCUCUCUGUCGGUCUCCUCGGCAGCAGGGAUGGUCUCCUCGACAUCCUCCUCAGACUCAGUCCACCUGUAGCCCUGCUUCUCCAUCCACUCGGCCUCUGGAGUGAUGUGCUCCUUAGACCUGCCAGACACUGCCUCACCAUAGAGCUGCAAGAUCUUGUUGUCCCGGCGAUGACUCUCCUUGGACGCCACGUGAGUCCUAUACUGCCCCUUGGCUUGCAUGCAGAAAAGAGUAUUCAUCUUGUCCUUCAGCUUCUUGGCCCAUGAUGGCAUAGUGGUACUCUGGGAAGGCCUAGCAGCACGGCCCUCAGCAACAUCCUCGGCACCAGCAUCCUCCUCAUCAACAGCAGCCCUAGCAGCAGUCGCCUCGGCACGAGUAGUGGUGUUGGCCCAGUUGGAUUUGAUACGCAGGAAGAUGGGCUCAUGGCGAACCCAGUCUGCAGCAAGAAACUCCUCAUCAGGGAACAUCUUCUCCCAAGUCUUCGAAAUCAGCAGAAACAGAUAGGGCCCAUAGAUAGGCACCUUGCGGUUGAACACUGCAAACCGGAGCUCACACCACAUGAUGUGUGAGACAUCAAGUGGCUGAGACUGAUACGAACGAGCCUCCUCGCAGAUGAGCAUCAUGUCCACCAUAUAGGCAUGAACCUUGUCUUUGUCAUCGAUGUGAGGGAACAAGGAGUUGCGGAAGAUGCGAUACAUGAUAUCCAGAAAAGGGUUGAGUACCAGAGUUGUCUUGCCAUUGGCGAGCGCCUUCUCAACCAUGAAUGGUGCAAGCCUGUCCUUGUUGGCAGAGUCAGCAUUGGCAUGGGGGCGAACACCCACUGGAGAGUUGAGCCCAUCAUCAGGAACCUGGAGAAGAUCCAUGAACUCCUUCCAGGUAGCAGACAGCUUACGGCCAUUGGUCAUCUAGGUCAUCCUCCGUUCCUCAUUGGAGUGAAAGUAGACUGAGGCAAAGAACUAACAGAUAAGCUCAGGGUCAUAGUCGAGGUGGAAGGUUAACACAUGCUCAAUGCCAAACUGCUCCACCAAGUCCAGAGCCUCUCCAAAGUAGUCACGGAACUUGUCCUUCCUCAUGUGAUGCAUAUCAGUCCACUUCACCUCCACAUAGGUAUUCUGCUUGUUCUUGAUGACAUCCAGAUAGAUGUUGGUCUGUUGCUUGUUCCAGAACAGCUCACAUCCUCUGACAGUGGAACGCGGGUGCACAUAAGGGUGAAGCUGCCUGAGACGGACAUAAUCAGCUUGGGCUAUCUCAUCCAUGCCCUUAGCGGGCUCCUUGUGCUUGCUAGCUGAGUGCUUGACAUUGCGCUUGGAGGCAGACGAGCCCUCUGGUACAUCACCUGGGUUGCGCAGACGUUUGGAACUAGUGUCACGACUGGGGUUGGACCGGCGAGAGCCGCCACCUGAGACACACAUGCAAAACACCAAAGACGCGAAAGGAUCAAUGCAAAGGCCACGAAAAAGCACAAGAAACACAUAGAAGGCAUACGAGAAAGUUGGCAUGCGAUAGAUGUGAGCCACGGUAGAACUGCCACUGCCUGCGGUACUAAAAUAUUAGUACUGCUCCAAACGCGGUAGUACCGUGCGAGGUCACGGUAGUACCGUGGUUGGAGCGGAAGUAAAAUUUUAGUACCGCACAGAGUGCGGUAGUACCGCUCCCGAAGGGCGGUACUACCGUGCAAGCGGUAGUACCGCGCCAGACGGGCGGUAGUACCGCGUCGCGUCAGAUCCAACCGGCGGUUUGAAUCUGAAAAGAACCGCGAAACAAUGGCGGUGCUACGGUGAUCCGAUCUAGCGCAAGACAACAAUACAAGUAUAAAUCCUAUGCAAUACCACGCUCCUUCAUCCUACUCUUGCAGAGAUUAAGCCUAAGAAUCUCAAGAACACACAAGCCUCCCCCAAAACCUAGAAACACUAAACACAAUCAACAUGGAGAGGGAGUUGGGGAAAAACCUUGGUCCAUAGCAAGAGCAUGUGGUGGGGAACGAUCCCACCGGUCGGAAUCACGGGAGGGCAGCCGGUGGAGGAGAUCCAGCGACGAGCGCCGACUCCGUUCUUGAGCGAGGGAGAGAAGGAGGCGGUGUGGAGAGAGAGGACAGCGAAUGGGUAUGGGGAGUUAAAACUCCCCCUGCCCGUCCUUAUCCCCGCGCGCUCGAACCGGCGCGGUAGUACCGCGUAUCAUCGCGGUAGUACCGCUCGAGCGGAAGUACUGCGCCGAGGCGGUAGUACCGCUCAACCAGGCGGCAGUAAAAAAUUACUGCCGCGUGGUGAUGGUAGUACCGUGCUCCCGCAAGCGGUAGUACCGUGGCUGGCUGCGGUAGUACCGUAGCUGGCCGCGGUAGUACCGUGAGCUCAAGUCACCGCAAGUUUCAACACGAGAAUAAAAAGCCUUUGCACUGAAACUUUUCACACACAAGAAACCACAAGAACACGCACAAACCAGAGGCAAAAAAACAACAAGAAACCACCAAGCGACAAAUCCUCUCAAGGAGAGAGGGCGGUGGCCGAAGCCACCUAUGUUUGAGUUGGAUGGUAUGGCACCGCGAAGAAUUAUCCUUGGGCCCAUGACCAAAACUCGUCUUUGAAGCACAAGUACGAUUAAAAAUGGCUAAUGUGAAAGAGGUGAUCGAUUUAUGCAUAAUGGGGGGAGGGAGAGUUCAUUGAGAGAACAACACUCCCCCUAUGUCCAUGCCUACACCUAAACUAGACAACACGUUGAGUGUGGUGGGGGGUGUACGGGUUCAAGUCACAUUGCUCAAAUCAAUGAUAUUUAGCUCAUGCCUUAACUCGCGAAAUCUUGCUUCAUCCAAAGGCUUCGUGAAAAUAUCUGCAAGGUUAUCAUGAGUGUUGACAUACUUGAGCUCGAUCUCCCCUCGCCUAAUGUGAUCCCGGAUGAAGUGAUACCGAAUCUCAAUGUGCUUCGUCUUGAAGUGUUGUACCAGGUUGAGAGAAAUCUUGAUGGCACUUUCAUUAUCACACCAAAGAGGCACUUUGUCACAAAUGACACCGUACUCCUUUAAAGUUUGCCUCAUCCAUAGGAGUUGAGCACAACAACUACCGGCCGCCACAUACUCCGCUUCGGUGGACGAGAGAGACACACAACUUUGCUUCUUGGAAGACCAACUUACCAAAGAACAACCAAGAAAUUGGCACCCUCCGAAAGUGGACUUCCUAUCCACUUUUUCCCCCGCCCAAUCGGAAUCCGUGAAACCUUCAAGCUUGAAAUUUGCUCCUCUUGGGUACCAUAAGCCAAAGUUUGGGGUAUGAGCCAAAUAUCGAAAGAUUCUCUUGACCGCCACAUAGUGACUUUCCUUUGGUGCGGCUUGAAACCGUGCACACAUCCCCACACUCAACAUGAUAUCCGGUCUAGAUGCACAAAGGUAAAGCAAGGAGCCAAUCAUGGAGCGAUAUACCUUUUGAUCCACCGCUUUACCAUUGGGAUCGAUGUCAAGUUGGCACUUGGUAGGCAUUGGUGUAGAAGCCGGCUUGACAUCACUUAGCUUGAAUCUUUUAAGCAUGUCUUGAGUGUAUUUGACUUGGUUGAUGAAGGUUCCUUCUCUUCUUUGUUUGAUGUCAAAGCCAAGGAAGAACUUCAACUCUCCCAUCGAAGACAUCUUGAACUUGGAGGUCAUGAGAGCAGCAAAUUCCUCAUUGAAAGCUUUGUUAGGAGAACCAAAGAUAAUAUCAUCAACAUAUAGUUGGCAUACAAACAACUCCCCUUUGACCUUCUUAGUAAAAAGAGUGGGAUCAAUUUGUCCUACUUCAAAUCCACGAUCUUGUAACAACUCGGUAAGGUGGUCAUACCACGCACGUGGGGCUUGUUUAAGGCCAUAGAGUGCCUUAUCGAGUUGAUACACAUGAUCCAGAAAGUAGGGGUCCUCGAACCCGGGGGGUUGCUUGACAUAAACCAACUCAUUAAUGGGACCAUUAAGAAAAGCACUUUUCACAUCCAUUUGUUGCAACUUAAAGUUGUGAUGGGAAGCAUAAGCAAUGAACAAACGAAUGGAUUCAAGACGAGCAACGGGAGCAAAGGUUUCACCGUAGUCGAUACCCUCGACUUGGGAGUAGCCUUGCGCUACCAAUCUUGCCUUGUUGCGAAUGAUGUUCCCAUGAGCAUCUUGCUUGUUCUUGAAGAUCCAAUUUGUUCCAAUGACGUUGUGGUUCCCCGAAGGUCUUGGCACCAAUCUCCACACCUUGUUGUAUUCAAAGUUGUUGAGUUCUUCAUGCAUGGCAUUGAGCCAAUCCGAGUCUUCGAGCGUCUCAUAGACCUUUUGGGGUUCAACACAAGAGACAGACGCAUGAUGUUCACAAUAGUUAGCUAAUUGUCUACGAGUGCUUACCCCCUUCCUUAGGCUUCCAACCACGUUUUCCAUGAGAUGGCCUUGUGUGGUGAGUUUGGAAGCUAUCUUCGCGGCACGGCGCUCUAAUUCCUCCUAGGGUGUGGAAGGAGGAAGGUUAACUUGAUCAUCUUGAGCGCCGUCUUGAGCUUGAUCAUGAUCUUGAACUUGCUCGAGGGGGAGAACUUGACCUUGGGAUCAUUUAGAGGUUCACCACCAUCUUGAGGUUGAUCUUGCCCUUGGUCUUGUUCAUGAGGGUGAGGGCCUUCACUUUGUUCUUCGGAAGCGUGUGGGUCUUGGGGAGGUGAUGGCUCCACUUGAGUGGAGCAUUGUCCUUCACUCAACGGAGUCUUGUUCAAGACUUUGCGAAGAUAGAGCCGAUUGGAUGCAUGACAAGCUGUGUUGAUGGCUUCGGCCCAGAAGUUGUAUGGAGACUUGAACUCCGCCAUCAUGGUCCUUGACGCAUCCAUCAACGUCCGGUUCUUCCUCUCCGCAACACCAUUUUGUUGAGGGGUAUAUGGUGCAGAAUAUUGAUGCUUGAUCCCUUCAUCACUAAGAAACUCAUCCAAGGUGUAGUUCUUGAACUCGGUGCCGUUGUCACUUCUUAUUGUCAAGAUCUUUGCAUUGUGUUGACGUUGAGCUUCAUUUGCAAAGUCGAUGACGGUUUGUUGAGUCUCACUCUUCCUCUUGAAGAAGUAUACCCAAGUGUAUCUUGAAUAAUCAUCCACAAUCAGCAAGCAAUACUUUCUACCCCCAAGACUAUCAAAGGAUGGGGGCCCAAAGAGGUCCAUGUGGAGGAGCUCCAAGGGUCUCUUCGAGUAGAUGAUAGUCGUGGGAGGGUGAGCCGUCUCAUGAAGCUUUCCUUCGAUACAAGCACUGCAAACACGAUCUUUGGCAAAACUAACAUUCGUUAGUCCAUGAACAUGGUCCCCCUUGAGAAGACUUUGCAAAGAUCUCAUAUUGACGUGGGCUAAACGGCGAUGCCAAAGCCAUCCCACAUCAACUUUAGCCAUUAGGCAUGUCGCGGUCUUAGUGGGUUGCUCCGAGAAGUUAACCACAUAGAGACCGUUCUCGACAUGCCCAACAAAGGCUACUUUAAGAGUCUUGCUCCACAAGAGGGCCACGGUAUCAAUAUCAAAGAAGGUGGCAAAACCCAUGAGUGCGAGUUGACGAACGGAAAGUAAAUUGAACACAAGGGACUCAACAAGCAUGACUUUCUCGAUCGUUAGAUCAUGAGAAAUGACAACCUUGCCAAGACCCAAUACCUUAGAAUGUGAGGCAUCACCCCAUUCGACAUUGGUGGGCAUAGAUGGGAUCUUGUGCAUGUACACCACCAAGUCCUUGCUCCCGGUCAUAUGAUUUGUUGCUCCACUAUCGAGCAACCAUGAUCCCCCACCGGAAGCAAACACCUUGUUGGUGGCCUUAGCCAUGAGGCACUUGGCGGUGAUGUUCUCGUUAGGUGCAUCGAAGAGAGACACCCGAGGAGUUGUGACAAUGGCAACGGAUGCCAUGGCCAUUGUUUCACCAUCUUCAUCAUCAUCGUCAUCCUCACGGUAUUCUUCUUGAACCACCAACCCGCGAGGAGUCUUCCUGGUGAAGUUGUUCUUGUUGGGGGAGGACUUGGCUUUGUCUUUUCGAAUGAACUUGCCACCAUUGUCUUCCCGCUUCUUGUAUGGACAAUCCGCAACGAAAUGGCUAACAUUGCCACAGUUGAAACAAGUUCUAACUCGUUGCUUCCCCUUGAGGCCACUUGAGUUGUUCUUGUUGAAGUUGGGUCUUGUAGUCUUCUUACUCCAAAACUGUCUUGAGGCAAGAGCCAUGUGCUCAUGAUAAUCAUACUUCGUGUCCUCGGGGUUGCUCUCCUCAUCUUCCUCUUCUUCUUCUUCUUCCACACUAACCUUGGCCUUCAAGGCAAGAUUGGGCUUCUUUGCCCUUUGGGAACGGAGCAUCGCAUUGUCGGCGGUCUUGUCCAAGAUGCUCAUUGCAACAAACUCAUCCAACACUUCACUAGAGGUCAUGGAGUGGAAGUCCGGUCUUUGGCGAAUGACGCAGGACAUGGACUUGUUGUAGAGCAUCAUGGCCUUGAGGAACUUGCGCUUGAUCCAGUUGUCAUCCGUGUCCUUGCUUCCAUGAUCUCGGAGUGCGACCGCGAGUUUGGUCACUCUUCGAAAGAGCUCACGAGGUUCUUCAUCCUCACGAGGUUCUUCAUCCUAUUUCAUAGCAAACUCAUCGGCCUCAUCUUGCACCACUUCAUAGUUGGAGCGUUGAAUGCUAGCACUUCCUCGAUAGAGACGCUCGACACAUUUCCAUGCUUCUUUAGCCAUGGCAUGAGGUCGAAGAUGAGGGAGAUCUUCGGGAAGGAUUGCAUCUUGGAUGAUGAAGAGAGCACUUUCAUUGAAUUGAUUGUCCACUUCUUCUCAAGGAGUGAAGUUGCUUGGAUCAUGAGGAUAGAAACCUUCUUCAAUAAUUCUCCAAAGGUUAGUGUUCACAUGUUUUAAGUGACGCUUGAAGAGAUAGAGCGAAGCAUCAAAAUCUUCAUUUUUCACAUAUUUAGGAGGAGGACCGGCAUGAUUCAAAUGAGUAGAGGGGAUCGAUCCUCUAUACACCGGGGGUUCCACAUUGGCAAAGAUGCCGGUGCCAUUUCUACCACUAGUAGACGGACUCUUUUCACUAUUAGCUUCCCCCUUGUCGGGGUUAGCAUCCAUCACCUUAUUAAUGGGAUCACCGACUUUCAUUGGCGAGGUAGAUAGUUUGAGUCCCUCUAGGAAUUCAGAAAACAUGCUUUUAACCUCGGCCGUCAUGGAGGUUUUCAAUGUGUCUAAAGCCACAUUAAAUUCCUCACGAGAGACCGAGGUUCCCCCUUCGGCCGAAGACGAGACGGGAUUCACACCGGAGUGCUCCUCCGGACCGUCGUUGUUGUCAACCAUACUCUUCGGACGGCAAAGUCCUUAAUAAAGAGACGAGGCUCUCAUACCAAUUGAAAGGAUCGAUAUGGUUGACGAGAGGGAGGGGUGAAUAGGCAACUAACACUUUUUAGACUUUUCUUUAACAAUUUAAACCUUGCAAUGAAAUAGGUUGUCUAGAUGUGCAACUAUGUGGACAACCUAUAUGAUGCAAAGACAAUAAGCACACAAGCAAGCAAUGGAUAUAGCACAAUUAAGUUUGCAAAAGUAAAGGGACAAGAUAACCAAGAGUGGAGCCGGUGGAGACGAGGAUGUGUUACCGAAGUUCCUUCCUUUUAAGGGGAAGUACGUCUCCGUUAGAGCGGUGUGGAGGCACAAUGCUCCCCAAGAAGCCACUAGGGCCACCGUAAUCUCCUCACGCCCUCACACAAUGCGAGAUGUUGUGAUUCCACUAUUGGAGCCCUUGAAGGCAGCAACCGGACCUUUACAAACAAGAUUGGGGCAAUCUCCACAACACUUGGAGGCUCCCAACAAUACCGCAAAGCUUCACCACAAUGGAGUAUGGUUUCGAGGUGACCUCAACCGUCUAGGGUGCUCAACACCCAAGAGUAACAAGAUCCGCUAGGGAUAAGUGGGGGGAAUCAAAUAUCCUGUGGUGGAAGUGUAGAUCGGGCACUUGUCACCCAAUCCCGAGCAAAUCAACAAGUUUGAUUGGCUAGGGAGAGAGAUCAAGUGAAAAUUACAUCCGCCCCUACUACCGCACCGGAGCGGCACAAUGGAGCUUAGAGGUGGAAGAGGUAGUCAACUAGAGGUAGAAGACACCCCUUAUAUAGUCGUGGAAAGAAUCCAACCGUUAUCCACAUGUUCAGCCCACGACACACGGUACUACCGCUCCAAGGGCGCGCUACUACCGCGAAGCUGUGCGGUACUACCGUGGCUGACCAUAGUACUACCGCCACAACAGCACAGGCCGGAACUAGCCUGACAAGGGGGCAGUACUACCGUGCGGGCGCGGAUGUAAAAAAUUACAUCCGCGCCUACUACCGCGACACUGCGGUACUAGAUAGGAGGGCCACGGUACUACCGCGCUGGACGAGCGGUACUACCAUGGAGGGCGUGGAUGUAAAAAAUUACAUCCGCCCCUACUACCGCAUCGGAGCGGCACAAGGCUUGGGAGCCGCGGUACUACCGCUCCAGAUGAGCGGUACUACCGUGACACACAGCGGUACUACCGCGUGUACUUGCGGUACUACCGCAAGUACAGCAGUAGUCAUCAGAUUUCCGCACAACCAAGAUAACAAAGGGAAGCUCCAAAAUGCAGGGAAAGGAGGAACAAGUGUACGUGUUGAUUCCACCCAAACCUUUCCAACGCGGACCCCCUCUUAAUAGUACAGCUCUCCUACGACUCAAAUCCACCAAAGAGAAACGUAGAACAACGCCGAUUUCAAUAGUCUUCGAGGGGCACCGAAUCGUCUCAUGCCUAGAGAUGAAGUAUCUGAAAAACUCAAGGCACACGAUUAGUCCGCAAAUGCAUUGUCAUCAAUCACCAAAACACCUGAGGGAUAAAAUAUGCCCUUACAGCGGUCAACGCCAAAUAUUUGGCCAAGCGGAUCGGGGGUGCGAUCCAAACAACCCCUAUAAAUCAAAUAUCGUCUAGACAAAACAACAAGUUCCAGUACCAGAAUUCAUCAUCAAACUCUAAAGAUCAAGAGCUCAAACCAAGUGUGGUGUCAUGGUCUUCAUUCUAUAAAUACAUGUAACAGCCAAGUGAGCAAUCAAAUCAUCGAGAACCAUCUUUUUGGUUCAUAACCAUCAAAUUCGUGUAAACAGUCUAGAGGAGUGGCUCGUCUAAUUAAAAUCUCACUCUAACAACAAUUUGACCUUAAACAGAAGUAAAGGCAUCAUGCGUACCCUAAACAGAACAGAUAUUUACUCCUUGUAAACUGUGAGUAAUGAUCAAGAUACACAAGCCCUAGAGAUCAAGGAUAUAACAGCAGAAAGUCAUGCUUAAUCCAACAAUAACAGAACAUGCACAAGCAAAGUCACAGAUUCAAACUUCUGAUCCCUGGAACAAGUCUAAAGCAUAGAAGCAGCCAUAGCUCACCUUCCAUGCAACAAUGACUUAUAUUUGGACAUGGUGAGGUGGUCGCAUAAGCCAUCGGAUCAGAGACUAGGAAGAACACAGGUUGAUGAAGUCAGGCGUGUUGCUGCUCGCCAUCUUGUUUUAGUCUCCAUCCACACGCCCAUGCUCAUCAAAGGUGAUGUUCACCAAUAAAGCAGGCGAUAAAGAAGAAAAGUUUAUCACACACACACACACACACACAGAGAGAGAGAACAAUGCACUAAACAACAGGUCAAUAUCAUCGCAACUUAUCCAUUUGACAUGGCAUCAUGAUGGCUGUGAACCAAGAGCAACGAAAGCCGUGGCUCGAUGACCACAAGGUCAGAGCAGCGGGAGUCGAGGAGCAGAGAAAGGAGAGGUGCUGGGGGAGCUCACCAUGGUUGUCUUCUAGGCGAUGCCCAACAUCGCCGCCUAUGUGGCUCUACAGCGGGGCCAAUGGAAGAUGACGAGGCCGAAGACUGAGCCUACCACCAUGCACCUUGCCUGGCAUAAUGAACCUCUUCUCCUCUGCAUAGGUGAUCAUGUUGUACCAAAUCCUACACAAGGACAACACAAAAAACAAAUCUUCACGGUGGUAAUUUAGUACAGACAACCUAAUGAAUUGUAUAAACUCCAAAUUUUGUAAAACCUGAUCAUAACAAGUGGAAAAAAUAGUACUUGGCCAAUUCACAUUAAAUCAAUAGAAACCGGCAUUCAUGGUAUUCUACUGAAAAAUAACCCCUGGUCCUAAACUGAGAAAAAUAAAAAUGAGCAAGCCUCAAAAGAAACAUGCCUUGUCAGUCCCAAAAGGCUUAGCUAGACCUGGACCUCUACAUCUAAUUCAAGCCCCAAGAGGCUAAGGUUCUUUUUAUGGUGUGUAGAAAUAUUUGAUAGCUCUAUAUUAUAGUUGAAAUAAGCACAUAAAGACAGAAUCCUACUGGAAUGUAUAAUAACAUCAAAUAUUCAUAGUAUACUACGUUAGUUUACUAUGGCAGUUCAUUUUCUUCUCUUUAUUACUUUAAUGUCGAAUUUUCAUAGCCGGUCAUCCUCUACAGCCGAUCCUAGACAUCACGAAUCGGACCAACUUAACCAAGUUGAGACCACCAGAGUAAAGCCUAGUUCAUCAUCACAUAACUGAACCAUCUAAUAGAUCACAUAAAUGGAAGUUCAGUUCUACUAGAUUGCUAAAUCUAUGGAGCAACUGUCUAGGAAAGUGUAUAUAUCGGUAAAAAAGACCAGCAACAUUUCGUGUUCCACUAUCAUGGGCUUAAUGAAAGAUACAGCUGGGCAAGGGGGUAGUGCAGCUCGGAGAGAGAGAAAGGUACCUACCUCAGAGGCCAGGUGGGAAUGGACGAAGACAGCAGUCCCCAUCUGCGGUGUCUUGUACGACACCGGACGAAAGAGCGCAUAGCCCCGUCGCUGACAUAAUGACAAAACUGGUGUUUGGCAUGGCCGCAAAGUUGCUUUAGAAGUGCAUCUUCAGAACAUAUGGCUUUAGGACCUUGGUGAUUGCAGGUGCCCUAGUUGGUGCGAGAAACCAAGUUGGCUAAUUAAGUUGAUCUAUGUAAGCCAGGACAUAGAAAAUGAGAGUUAGCCAAGAACACAUGCAGUGUUUCAUGAAAAACUGCACAAAUGGUUAUCCUUAGCACACAACAAAAAAGGUGGUAUAUGUUUCAGAUUCUAACUCAAGGAUUGCAUACAAAUGUAUAAUGUAUCAUAAAAAGGGCACUCAAGUUUGAUGCUUAUUGUCAGUUGAAUCCAAGGAAAUCAUGUUACAGUUUACAUCAUCAUAGUUCAUCAUUCUUGCAGUGACAAUUUCAGCAGUUGAGAAAGUGAUAAAGUGAUCCAGUAAGUAGUAAUCAAUUCAAAACCGAAUGCCUGAAAGUGAAGAAUUUUUAGUAUGCAGCAGUUAAGUCACUUAUAUGCUAGUACAAAGUGGACACACAGGAUAAGAUUUUUAGGAGUUCAUGGAAGACUAGUUGUGUUGGCCCCAGUGUCCCGCUUUCAGCCUUUUCUUCCUAAAGCUUUUAUUCAAGACUUGCAGCAAACCAUUUAAACAAGUCAACAUACUCCAAGCACUUGAACCCCAAGGAGAAAAACUGAAAGUGCUACUCCAACUAGACAUAAAUGAGGGUUAUUAAACCAGGCAAACAUCUUUGAAAGGAACAUCAAAACAAAUUCAGCAUGGAUGUUUUCUCAUUUGAGACUCGUAGAACUUCCUAACGAUACCACAAGCAGGAAAUGAAAUUUUAACUUUAAGAAUAUUGUAUUAGGUAGACAUGUUGUCCUUUGAAUGCCAUCAUUAUCUUCUUCAGUGGCAUAUAAAGUUAGGUGUGGACAUGGGUUUCAUUGUUCUGGAAGAAGCAUUCGGCACAGACCCCUGUAAGGUUCUGAAGAUGAGCAAGAACGACUCGUUCUUCCUUAACAUAGGAGGGCAUUACAGGGAGCAGGGUAGAGAGGAACGAAAAUGAGCUUACCUACACUGGAGUUGGUUCUGUCCACCAGAGGCGAAGGGAGAGCCGAGCCGCAUGUCGGGGAAGAGCAGCAGGGGAGCGGUCGGCGACCCGGUGCGACUAGCGUUCGCCAUCUCCGCCUCCGUCUGGCUACUACGCGCCUCUCGUGGAUAACCAUGUAGGCUAGUUAAGCUGAUCUGCGUAAGCCAGGACAUAGGAAAUCAAAUUUAGGCAACACAUGCUAUGUUUCAGAAAACUGCAGAAAUUGUUGUCCCUAGUACAUAAAAAACUAGGUGUUAUAUGUUUCAGAUUCUAACUCUAGGAUUGCGUACAAAUGUAUAAUGUAUAUCACACAAAGGGCAUUCAAGUUUGAUGCUUAUCGUCAGGUGAAUCCAGGGAAAGCAUGUUACAGUAUACAUCAUCAUAGUUCAUCAUUCUUGCAGUGACAAUUUCAGGAGUGAGAAAGUGAAAAGGUGAUCCAAUAAAUAGUAAUCAAUUCAAUACGCUAUUGGCUAAAAGUGAAGAAUUAUUAGUUAGCACACUAUAUAGACACACAGUAUAACAUUUGAAGAAUCCGUAACAGACUAGCUGGUUGGUCCCAGUGUCCCACUUUCAGCCUUUUUUUCCUAAAGCUUUUAUUCAAGACUUAAAGCAAACCAUUUAAACAAGUAGACAUACUCCAAGCACAAAGUUGGGACAUGGGAGUAGCCAAAGAGCUGGAAAUUUCUUUAAUCAAUAAGUAUUUUGCUUCUACAGAAAUCAAUAAAAAUACAAAACUUCCACCGAUAUAUUCAAUACAAGAAGGCCCUCGAUUAACGCUAAGGCAUAUUGCACUGGCAUAUCCAGGGUUGAAUUCCAGACUAAACUGAGAAACCCUUGAGUUCAAAAUGAAUAAGCAAAGAAUUUUCAUGCACAAGAAAACAGACAAGGAAUGUUCACUUCAAGAAACCAUAAAUGGAAGAUUAAGCAAAUCCACUUGUGUUGUAACAAACACUAACGAAGUUGUCUUAUCAUUUGAGACUUCCAGCACUUGCUUACAGUACCACAAGCAGGCAAUGAAAAUUUUACUCUAGGAACACUACCGGGUAGGCAUCUUAUCAUUUUCUUCCAUACAAUAAACAAUUGGGCAUGUGGAUAGGGCAGGAUGCAACUUGCUUCUUCAGAGGAUAAACUUUUCAUGCACAUUACAAACACUAUCAGGUAAAUUUAUUCCUUUAUUAUGUACUUAAAGCUGAAUAACAUUUUAUUCCGUUACAACUAACGCCAUUUAAUCAAAGGAAAACUUUUAGAUCCACAAAUAAGCAAUGAAAGCACAUAUGUUAGGCAGGGUUGGUAAAGACAGUUGAAAAUCAAAGGUUGUUCAUCUCCAGCCUCAGAUGUUCGUCGACGUAAAUUAAAGCACAUACAUAGCAGAUUUAACUGGAAUCAAAAUCACAAGGAAACUCUCUCUCUCUCUCACACACACACACACACAAACACAACCCUGAAAUUCAUUUUUGCUAAAAGAGGAGAAAAGAGAGGGAAGACAGCAAGUGAGACUCACCAUUGCAGUUGAAGUACGAGAUGGACUCGCUGGUGCGGGGCGUGCACCACACGUCAGUCUGUCUCAUCCUACCUGACCUGCAUGAGGAAGAAAACCGCACAACAUCAGGGAAAGGGGAGAUGAGCAAAUCGAAUGGAAUCAAACCAAGCGCAAGCGGACAGUGCAACUCAGAGAGAGACAGGUACCUCUUAGUGGCCAGGUGGGAAUGGACUACAACAGCAAUCCCCAUCUGUGGUGUCUUGUACGGCACCGGAUGGAAGAGCGCACAGCCCCAUCUAGAGCUCACUGCCAAUCUAACUUGAUUUUUAUAAUAUCUUUCUUUUUGGGGGGAAAAAGAUAGACCUACUGCGCAAAUGAAUCUUAAUCAUUCACUGUCCUCUUGAAUAAGAUUCAAGAAUGAAUCUGACUUAUUUGGUAAAUGAAACAAAAUUACUGUUUAACAUGCAUAUAUCGUACAGGUCAUGCCAUUUGUCCAAACAAUGAGGAAAGGUCCAUCUUUUAACUGCCACCAACGAAAUUACCUAUCUCUAGAAAUCUAUGGUUCAGUUGGUUACCAUUGCAACUCUAGCUAGGAAAUAUAUAUUGCACAUCCACCAACAACAGGAACACCAGCACAAACAAAAUGGAGAUUACAAACACCUAAACAAGGCCCUUCUUGGCCCAUGAUGUAAUUCAACAAUUGAGAAAGUGACAAAGUGAUCCAGUAAAUAGUAAGCAGCAGGAAUGAUACCACAAGCAAGAAAUCAAAGUUUUACUUUAGGAAUAUUGUAUCAGGUAGACAUGUUGUCCUUGAAUGCCACCAUUCUCUUCUGACGUGGCAUAUAAAGUUAGGUUUGGCCAAAGUGUUGGAAAUUGCUCUAAUCGAGAAGUAUUUUUCUUCAACAAAUUUUUAAUAAAGAUACAAAAAAGGCAUUCAAGUUUGAUGCUUAUCGUCAGUUGAAUCCAAGGAAAGCAUGUUACAGUUUACAUCAUCCUAGUUCAUCAUUCUUGCAGUGACAAAGUGAUCUAGUAAAUAGUAAUCAAUCCAAAACUUUAUGGCUGAAAGUGAAGAAUUUUUAGAAUGCAGCAGUUAAGUUACUGAUAUGUUAGAUAUAACAUUUUUAAGAGUCCAUAACAUACUAGUUGGUUGGUCCCAGUGUCAUACUUUCAGCCUUUUCUUCCUAAAGCUUUUAUUCUAGACUUAAAGUGAACCAAACAAGUAGACAUACUCCAAGCAGUGGACCGUAAGGAGAAAAACUGAAAGUGCUACUCCUAGAUGUAAACGAGAGUUACUAAACUAUGCAAACAUCUUUGGAAGGAACAUCAUAACAACUUCAGCAUGUAUGUUUUCUCAUCUCAGACUUGCAGAACUUCGUAACAACACCACAAGAAGGAAAUGAAAGUAUCACUUUAGGAAGAUUGUAUCAGGUAGACAUGUUGUCCUUUGAAUUCCACCAUUUUCUUCUUCCGUGGCAUAUAAAUUUAGGUGUGGCCAAAGUGCUGGAAAUUGCUCUAGUCGAGAACUAUUUUGCUUCUACGAAAUUGUAAUAAAGAUAUGAAAACUCCCACCAAUAUAUUCAACACUAAAAGGGCUUAACUAAAGCUAAAGCAUGUUGCAUUGACAUAUUCAGGGCUGAUUCCAGAUUGAACUAUGGAACCCCUUGAGAUCACAAUGAGUAAGCAAGAACUAUCCUACGCAAGAAAACCAACAAAGAAUGUUUUCCUGAAGAAACUAUAACUUGGAGGUUGAACUAAAUCCACCUAUGUGGUCACAAGCACUGAUGAAAGUCGUCUUAUCAUCUGAGGCUUGCAGAACUUGCUAACAAUGCGACAAGCAGGAAAUGGCAAUUUUACUCUAGGAAGACUAUCAGGUAGGCAUCUUAUCUUUCUCUUCCAUGUAAUAAACAGUUGGGCAUGAGCACAAGGCAGGAUGCAACUUGCUUCUUCAAAGGAUAAAAUUUCCAGGCACAUUACGAACACUAUCACGUAAAUGAAUUCCUUUAAAUAUUUUAUAUGCUAGUCAAUGCAUUCUAUUCCGUCACAACGAAUUCCAUUUCAUCAAAGGAAAACUUUUAGAUCCACGAAUAACCAGUGUAAGCAGAUAACUUUGGCAGGUUUAGUAAAGAUAGAAGACAAACAACGGUUGUUCAUAUAAAGCAUCAGAAAUUACACGAUUCAACUCGAUGGCGUAAAUUAAAGCACAUACAUAGCAGACCUCUCUCUCUCUCUCUCUCUCUCUUCAUACACACACACACAAAAACUGCAGCACGGAUUUGCCAAGGUCAAUGAUGACCGGCUUCGCCCUCUGAAAUAGGCACGUACAGUACAUAUUCACAAUGCCAUAUGUUUACAUCCAGCCACAGCGCGCAAAAAAACGGAGUUCAUCUACAAAAUGCCUACUCCUUAACAUUAUAUCACACAGACUGAACUACUUACUACUAGCACAACCAUGAAUCUCUAGAUAUAGAAGUAAAACUUUGUUGAUUCAUGACAUCCACAGAAGACAAAGAAAGGCUAACAUCCUUAGAAGUUACAAACAGCAGGGAACAUUUCGUAGCUCUGCGUCUCCCUCCGUCUCUCUUACUCACACACAUACAGCAGAGCAGACUGAAAACUCAAAUGCAUUUUUGCUCUCGGAUGGAGAGAAAAGAGAGGGAGGACCACAAGAGAGACUCACCAUCACAGUUGAAGUAGGAGAUGGACUCGCUGGUGCGGCGCGCGCACCACAGGUCAGUCUGUCUCCUCCUACCUGACCUGCAUGAGGAAGAAAACCGCACAACAUCAGGGAAAGGGGAGAUGAGCAAAUCGAAUGGAAUCAAACCAAGCGCAAGCAGAUAGUGCAGCUAAGAGAGGAGAAAGGUAUCUCAUAGUGGCCAGGUGGGAAUGGACUACAAGAGCAAUCCCCAUCUGCGGUGUCUUGUACAGGACUAGAGAGAUGAGCAUACGGACCCAUCUAGAGCUCACUGCCAAUCUAACUUGAGUUUUCUACUAUCUUCUUCUUUGGGGGAAUAAGAUAGACCUGCUGUCCAAAUGAAUCUUAGUCAUUCACUGUCCUCUUGAAUAAGCUUGAAAAUGAAAUCUGACUUAUUUGAUAAAUGAAACAAAAAUACUGAUUAACAUGCAUAUAUCUACAGGUCAUGUCAUUUGUCCAAACGAUGUUGAAAGGUCCGUUUUAUAACUGCCACCAAUGAAAUUACCUAUCUUUAUAAGUCGAUGAUCCAGUUGGUUACCACUACAACUCUAGCUAGGAAAUACAUACUGCUCAUCCACCAACAGGAAGACCAGCACAUGGUGCACAUCCACCUACAGGAAGACCCGCACAUGGUGCACAUCCACCUACAGAAAGGACGAGAACAUUACCUGAACGCUGGCUGUUGUUUGGCAUGGUUGCCCCCUCGCCUUGUUGCACCUCUCCGUGCCGUCGUGCUCCAGAUCAUGCGCGCUGCAGUACUCUUGCACAUCGGGGCGCUCGGUCUCGCGGGCCACAGCCUUGCAGCCUCGCUGACUUGCACCUGACUUAUUUGGCAAAUGAAACAAAAUUACGAAAUAGCACGCAUAUAUAUCUACAGGUCAUGUCGAUUGUCUAAACGAUGAGGAAAGGUCCAGUCUUUUUACUGCCACCAACUAACCAACGAGAUUAGCCAUCUCUAUAAAUCUCUGCACCAGUUGGUUACCACAGGAAAUAUAUGGUUUGCAGGAAGCCGUGAACAGGGUACAGGAAGUGGAGCGAGAAGAUUACCAUGAACGCGGUGUUGUUUGGCGUGGUCACCGCUUCGCCUUGCUGCUCCCUCGUGUGCGCCUUGCUGCACCCGCGUGUGCUCCUGCACAUCCACGUCCUCGGGGGUCGCAGCCUUGCGCCGCCGCACCUGUGCACUAUACUCUGUUGCGUGCCUUCUUAGAGAAGAUGAGACAUCAGAGAGAGAGAGAGAGAGAGAGAGAGAAGCUGCAUACCCGUCCCUUGUCGAGGUCUUGAAGGAGAGGGAUCCCGAGCUCGGUCGCCAUGGCCACAGACUAGGGUUUCGGGCGCGGGGAGCGAGAGACGGAGAGCCGUGGAGGUUGGAUCCGGUGGGUGGCUAGGAGGGGUGGAAGGAGGAGGACGCGGUAGCGGUGGUUGCCGCGGCCUGUGGAUCUAGGGCUUCCCUCCGAGAAAGAAGAGAGGGGGGAGAGGAGAAGGUUGGGGGCGCCAGCGGCGCGGUGCAGGGCGGUGGCGGAGGCGGGAGGUCGCCGGUGGGGUGGGGAGAGGAGGUCGGCGGCGGAUUGAAUCGAGAGGAGAUGAGGCGAGGAGGAAGAUAGAAGAGAAGGAAGCGGCGGAUUGGGUUUGGAUUUGGGCCAAAGAGAUUGUUUUUGGUUGGUUGGUUGGUUGUGUUGGAUACUUUUUCACAUUCAUCUUUUGAACCAAAUCUUUCAGAGAGGGUGGGAGAAUUCCCACACUUUCGCUUGAUUGAACCAAAUAUUCAUGAAAGCGCGGGAGCGGUCCAAUAUCUCGGUGCCAAAAGAUGGAAGCGGCGAGGUGGGUUGGGUUUGGCGCUAGUUAUCCAUCCAACGAUGCCAAGUGGCCUCACUUUAUUGGUCACUCUUGACCUCCCACGGAUUGAUCAUCCCUCUCCAUCAGAUCCCAACUUUCCUACUAGAUUCGAAGGUGGAUACCUCGCGUCACGUGGAUCAUGCUCCCUGCUCUCAGUAAAACCCGACGACCGGCUCUCACAUGAAUUUCUUCUUCAUUUAUUGUUGUAAAUCUGGAAAAAAAAUCUAGAAAACAAGUUUGAUAUAAAUGUAUGGAACUAAAAUAUGUUGAUUUUUUUUACCAUAGCCACUAUUAUUUUUUCAUCACGUGGGACCCACACUUGUGCUUCAAAGUAGCACCAGGAUCUUCAUGAUAGAGAGUCUCUCAUUUUGUCAUUUUCAUUUACUAGUGGGAAUUUUUCAUUAUAGAACUUGGCUUGUAUAUUCCAAUGAUGGGGUUCCUCAAAAUGCCCUAGGUCUUCAUGAGCAAGCGAGUUGGAUGCACACCCACUUUGUUCUUUUGUUGAGCUUUCAUAUACUUAUAGCUCUAGUGCAUCCGUUGCAUGGCAAUCCCUACUCACUCACAUUGAUAUCUAUUGAUGGGCAUCUCCAUAGCCCGUUGAUACGCCUAGUUGAUGUGAGACUAUCUUCCCUCCUUUUGUGUUCUCCACAACCACCAUUCUAUUCCACAUAUAGUGCUAUAUCCAUGGCUCACACUCAUGUAUUGCGUGAAGAUUGAAAAAGUUUUGAAAAUGUUAAAGUAUGAAACAAUUGCUUGGCUUGUCAUCGGGGUUGUGCAUGAUUUAAAUACUUUGUGUGGGGAAGAUGGAGCAUAGCCAGACUAUAUGAUUUUGUAGGGAUAACUUUGUUUGGCCAUGUUAUUUUGAGAAGACAUGAUUGCUCUGCAAGUGAUAAGGCUUCUCUACAUGCCAUGCAUUCAAGAAUCGCUAUGUCCUGCAUCCCUUCAAUCACCAAUGCUGAGCUUCCCAGGUAAUUUCCCCGUUCAUCGCGACAGACAGCCACCGCCGCCCCUCUUCCAUAGCGUUUAGAUACCCCCGCGUCGACAUGGAUUUUGACGAAUCCUGUCGGCGGUGCCAUUGGCCUUACACUGCCUGUUGCUGCUGUCCUGGGUGCUGCUGCUCUCGGUGUUGCAUGUUAUUGCUCUUUGACUAUCUCGAGCUCAACUAGAUAGCGAUUAAUGAAUGCGUGGGUCGCGUGGGGGCUCUAGAAAAUGCCUUCAUGAAUUGCCUUUCUCCCCGCUAUCCAUGUUGCCCACAGUGUUACCACCAGUUUCACAAAAGCCUCAUGCGAUAAUGAUCGUAUUAAUGAAAACAACCACUGUUUAGCGCUCAGCUCGCUUGAUUCCAUCAACUGGUCCGCUAACUCCUCAUCCGCCAGUGCCCAGACGCAGCUGGACAUAGAGCAGUCCAGAAGAGAGUGCCUCCAAGAAUCAUGUGCACCACACAAUCCGCACGAACUUGAAGUCGCCAUGUUUCUAUGUUCCCUGACAUCCUCCGUGGGUAAUGAGUGCCUCGCAAGUCGCCAUAGGAACAUCCUUAUUUUCCCUGGGACGCUGACAUGCCAUAUGGACUUCCACGAACUCUUUUCUUGCUGCAUAUUCGAAGCUCCUGCUGUCCCUUAGAGCCAUGCUUCUCUUCUUUGCUUUGUUGCUAUUAACAUCUUAUACGCGGAACGUUCUGAGAAGGCGCCAUUCUUUUCAAAAUUCCAGCACCAGCAGUCUGGAAGAUUCAUAGUGCAUAGCGGGAUGCUAAGAACAUGAGGUAUAUCUAUGGGCAAAAGAACUUCUCUGAUCCGUUAAUAUUCCAGCACGCCACCGUAGCGUCUAUUAAUUCAGAAACAUUUUCUGGGGGGUUUGCAACUCUGCUUCCAUAAGGUCUCAGGAAUUCAUCUCCUGGGAUCCAAUUAUCAUUCUAAAUAUUAGUGCUUGCACCAUUUCCAAUCCUUCUAAUUAGACCUUGUUUCAAUAUAUCUCUUCCUUCGACUAUUGCCCUCCAGAUUUGGCUCGGGUGGCUGCCGAUGUUGGCUUCUAGUAUUGUUCUAUUUGGGAAGUAAACUCCUUUCAAGAUUCGGGAGCUCAGAGCGUCUGGAUUUUGCAGAAUCCGCCAUGCCUGCCUAGCAAGCAAGGCUAGGUUAAAAAGCUUGAAGUCCUUAAACCCUAAUCCUCCCAUAUCUUUGGGUUGCGUCAUAUCCUUCCAGGAUACCCAGUUUGGCUUUCGCUUGCCAUCUCUACUCCCCCACCAAAACUUGCGGACUAGCAUGUUCAAGUGUUCACAUAGCCCCCGCGGCAAUUUGAAGCAAGACAUUGAAAAAACUGGGAUAACCUGCGCAACAGACUUGACCAACACUUCUUUACCUGCCGUGGACAUGGUUUUCUCUAUCCACCCUUGGAUCUUGUUCCACAAACGGUCCUUGAGAUAUUUAAAGGCCCCAUUCCGUGACGAGCCCACAUCCGAUGGCAUGCCGAGAUAUUUCUCAUUAAGUGUCUCCUUGGGUACAUGUAGUAACUAUUUUAAUUUUGAGAAAUCUUCAAUAUUUUUUUUCAAACUUGGAUCUCCAGGACCGAAGCAGGAUGCUCUAUCCACUAGGCCAUCUUAAUCCUUCUAGAGGAAAGUAUCAUUUUCCCCCCGAAAUCCUCUGCAAUGGACCAAUUUCCCCCUCAACUCUAAUACUGGAUCAAUCGGCCCCUCAAAUCUGUAAAACCAGAUCAAUUCUCCCAUAAGGUGGUUUCAGACUUGAUUUGGAGUGGUUUUCACCCAUACCAUGCAUUUCUCUGGAUUGACCGUGCACUUCACUUCAUAACAGUUUGGGUGGAGAUGACUGCUUCAGUGCGUCGAGCUCGCCUCCGUGGCCGGCAUGCUCGCCGCUCGUCGUCUUCUUGGUCUCCACCAGGCUGCCGCUGAUGUACUCCCACCCGAUACCUACAACGUCGUGCCGCUGCUCAGGUCCAACCACCCGCAAGGGAACCGCUCUGUGUGCCUCGCACCACCCGGACUGGUGCCCCGCUUGGAGGACGUAGGUUUGGGUGGUUGCCUUCAAGACCAACUCGAGUGAUUUGAGGCUCAUCUAUUGGCGGUGGCUCAAAGGGAGAAUAAGGUGAGCCACUUGGUGCUCCGCAACUUUGGCUUCCCCACCUAUCCAAAGGGUACUAGAACUCCCCAAAGAGUGUGAACUUCUAGAUAAAACCUACGUCCUCGACUCACUGGUAGUUUAUUGGUUCCCACACCUUUAGUUGCUUUGUGUGUGUUUUUGCUUGCUAAUUAAUUUUUUUCUUGCAUACCUCCUUUCUUGCUUACCAUAUAGAUUGUUCUAACUGUGGACUGCAUUUCUAGAGAGCUUACUUGGUCCGCACCAACCUCCAAUUUUGGAAGUUAAGCUAAAAUUCGUAAUCUCCUAUUCACCCCACCCCCUAGUCGACGUCUUGAUCCUUGCAAUGGGUGGAGACACGUGACCCAUGCCAGCGUGAUGCAUCUUUAGGCUAGCUAGCUGCCAGAUGGAUCCUUAGCAAACUAGUCUCUAGAUCAAUCCAUAGCAAGCUAUUCCCUAGAUCAAUCUGUAGCAAGCUAGCUGCCACAUGCAUCCUUAGGCUAGCUAGACGCUCAACACGGCGAUGCGAAACAGGUGAGGAACACGAAAGAGAGAUAUGGGAGGCGAGAGAGGGGUGGCGGCAAUGUGCAAGAUGGGAAGCGGGGUAGAGAGAGAGAGACGACCAUGAGGCGUGAUCCGUGAGAACCUUGUGUUCACCAAUCAAAACACAACAUCUUUGGCAAGUGUAAACAGAGGACACUCGACAAAUAAUCAUUGGCAGGUGUAAAUAGCACGACACCCGGCAAACAUUUUCCCUUUUCUUAUUUCUUUUUUUUUUCAUUGCUAUUUUUUCUAACAGGGGCUCCACACUUGGCACCCCGGAUACAACUCCUUCAACCCAGGAAAAUACCAGCAAGAAAAGGGAUUAUAAAUGUGUUUAAUGUAUUAAAUAUAUUUAAGUGCGCUUAAUGGAUUAAAUAUAGCAAAUGGAGCAGGAAAAAAUGCCAAAUUCUGGCAUGGAACAUUUGAUGAUGUAUGUUGAGCCAGAAAAAGUUUCAACGUCAAACGAUAAAGUAACCAGCACUCCGCUUUCAAACCAGACACAUUUCUUCUCAAAAUCACGAUUCUUCCUUAGAGAUGGUUUGGUUUUCUAAGGAGUGUAUGUUCCAAAUUUUGUGAAGCCUUUUCCAAUUUUUACCACAACCUAUAGGGAUAAUAUAAUUACACCAUGUCAAGUUUCAUGUUUUCCAGGCUUCGUUCCAUUUUCUACAUUUAAAAAUACAAUAAGCUCCAUGUUCGUGGUCAAGUCUUGGCACCUUGAUGUUUGUGAUUCCUUUUAUUUUCUUGGAUAAGGCUUGAAUAUAUACUCAAGAACACAAAUAGGAUUUUUCAACCCAAUUUUGCCAACCUUUUCACGCACUAGAAUUUUCUAUCUCUUCUUAUGAACUUCCAGUUCAAAUUUUAAUUAUACUGAAUGCCUAGAUAUGCACUACAUGGACUGAAUGUAGCAAACGGACCCCGAAAAUGUCAAAUUUUGACAUAGAACAUUUUAUGGUGUAUCUUGAGUGUAGAAUUUUUUUUAAGGCAAACGAUAAAGAAGCAAUUGCUUUGCCUUCAACUCUUAGAUGUUCCCUUUCAAAAGAGUGAUUCCUUCUUGAAGAUGUUCCUCCAGGCACUCUACAAAGGGCUUGUUUGCCUAGUGCUCGAUAAAAGACACUCGGCAAACACCCAAACUCUCGGCAAAGACAUAUUUUCCCGUAGUGUGAGACACACAUGUGCCAACCUGGGCUUUUGAUCUUUGAUGGGCUGGGUACAACCACUCUCCUAACCAUCUAAGCACAUGUUGGUUCUUAAAAUGUUGUGCCCUACAUAGUCUAGAACUUCAAUGUUGACUCAUGCAUGAUUAAGAAAACGUUUCUAAAUUAGCAAUAGCUAUUAUCAAGGUCAUUAUGUAUUCUUGCCAUGUACAACUAAGUACAGUAGAGUCUGGUGUACAGUAGAGAAGAUGCGAUCUUAGCUGUUGUUAGACGUGUUGCUACUUUCGCCAAGCAUACUUACGUUAGCGAACUUAGCUAUCAUGUAAAAGAGCUUUCCCCCCAAAAUAGAAAUCAUGUAAAAGAGCUUACUUAGACAAAGCGGUGUAACGGGAAAGAUACGUAGAUUUUCAUUUCUUGGUGCAACACAUGCAUGCACACAUACGCGUAAACAUACGCAUGCAGUUCUUGCUUUUUUGGUGUAAACAUAGCCGGAACCGCUAUAAGAGCUAGCAGACCAACCUGCUAAGAAGGAAAAGGAACAGAGUUCCAUGCAGCUCUCUCCUAGUCCUAGGAGAGCAUCGCCAACGACGCCAAGCAUGCAGCUACCGCACGCUAUUGGUCUUUUAUUCUCGCGCCUUUGCCUAGCAAGACAUAUACGCGGGCGUAUGGAAGCGUGCACGUACCCCCGGCGACAGGUACGUACGUACUAGGACUUGCGUACACCCUUACGUACCCCCGGCGACAGGUACGUACGUACUAGGCCUCUUUUAGCCGUUCACAAGCCAACUGUUUGUUCGUUCCUGUGCAGUUGUUGCGCGUGUUCGGCUUGUAUCGGCGGGGCAACAGCAACGCCGAGUUCAAGUACCUCCACGUCUACAAGCGCAUCGACAAGUGCGACAAGUGGUCGGAAGUCCGGCGCACCAUCGAGAAGGCCAAGGAGACCUACACGCCUGACGCGCCGUCUCCGGGCGCGUCAGAUGGGCGGCCGGACGGCAACAAAGGUGCCAAGAAGAGGAAACACGCCGACGCGGCCACAUCUCGCGUGCAGGAGUCCAUCUAGCACUGCCUCACCGACGCACAGGUCCAGGCCGCCCUUCGUGAAGAGAAGACCGAGGCGCGUUGGUCGGCGUUGAUGUCGACCAGCGCCGUCAAGCUCGACCUACUCCGGACCAACGUCACCGCGAAGAAGAGGAACACUGACCUGGCUUUCCUGCUGGGCGGGGCGGACAUGCUCCAAAGCACCGACGAGGCGGUCAAGGCGUGGUACAGGGCGCAUGUUGGCCUCAUCCUGGACCAGCUUCCCUCGGCGACGCCGCCCAUGCACACGCCGCCGCCGCCGCCAAGCCCGACCGCUGAUGCCGCCGAGACUGCCCGCAGCACAUAAGCCACGCCGCCAAGCACAGAGGCCCCGUCAAGCCCGCGCACGCCGACUCCAGCGACGCCAGAGGCCGACCUUGCCGCAUGAUGCGCGCUUCCGUCCUUUCCUGCUUUUUUGUACGCCGAACAUUUCAUCCGACCGCCGAUCUAGGCCGCUUGAUCACCGGAUUGUGGCAUCUAUUUUGGGCGCGGGAACGACUAUGUUUAAAUUUUUCCGUGGCUGGGGGGCGGCAGCUAGGGGCGUGACUGGGAGCUAGGCCGGCCCCAGGGGCCGAACUAGCGCCGGCUCGCCCCCAGGCCGCGGUUUUUCUGUGCCCUGGGGGACCGAACGGCUGGAGAUGCUCUAAGAAGGCACCACUAUCGUCGUCGCAGCCUUGCUGCUUGUGUGAUGCAUUGGGAUUUCCCCCGAAGAGGAAGCGUGAAGCAAUAUAGUAGCGGAUAGUAUUUUCCUCAGCAGAGAACCAGUGUUAUCGAACCAAUAGGAGAACCACGCAACACCCACCAAUAGUAUCUACACACACAAUAGCAAAUACUUGCACCCAACAUGGGCAAGAGUGUUGUCAAUCCCCUUGUACUUGUUAAUUGCAAGGAUCAAAUCUGGUAAUAGGUGAUAUAUAAAUUGCAAAGUAAAAUAAAAGAUAAAAAGUUGCAGAAAGGUAUUUUUGGUUUUUCUAAUAUGAUUAAAUAGACCCAGGGAAUAUAGUUUUCACUAGAGGCAUAUCUCUCAUAAAGAUGGCAUACGGUGGGUAGACAAAUUACUGUUAGGCAAUUGGUAGAAAAACACAUAGUUAUGUCGUUAUUCAUGGCAUGAUCAUGUACAUAGGCAUUACGUCUGUGACGAGUAGACCGGCUCCUGCCUACCGAUGAUUCCAAUUUAUGUGAUGAUUUUGACAAGUAUUCUAUGCCUAGAUGGGGGGCUUUGUGGAAUGCAAUACAACGUUGAAGCUCAGCUGCAAGAGGACACCGCCGCAUGGAAGAAACUUCGAACCCGAGGUGUGGUGUAAAAAUAACAAGGUAUUGAUAGUCUGAGAACUAAAGGGGCUUCUCAGAUGCCCGACGUGUGAUAUCCUCAGAUGCCUGAUGUCUUGUGAACUCUUCAGAUACACCUCGGCAGUCCUCAAGAUCGGAAAUGGGAAGAAUUAUUGAACGAGCUUUCAAAAUCGACGACCGAAGACAAAGAACAGUUCGGAAGAACCGAGGAGCGUCAUCGCUUGAAGACCGGUUUAGGGGGCUACUGUUGUUCUCCUAGACUAAGGGGUACUCACCACAUCGUUGCCCGACCAGGUGGGUUGGGCCGAGGACCCCCAUGGCGGUUCAUUAAUGGGCUUCUUCGGGUAGCCCAUGACGUAUACAAGGAAAUUUGUACAAGACGAUAACCCUUCUAAAUCUUAGGCCUCCGGUGCAUUAUAUAAACCGAGGCUAGGCUAGUCAACAGAUCAUGUGGUAUUACAAUCUUGUGGUAGAUACAUGUACUCUAUACUACACCCCAUAUCAAUUAUAGUCAAAAACAGCAUGUAGGGUAUUAUCUCUUCGAGGGAGGCUAAACUUGGGUAAAAUCUCUAUGUCACUUGUUCGCCAUGUUACCAUCGUGUGAAGACGCCUAACUUAGGACCCCUACCUCAAGAUAUGCCGAAUUUAGCACCAACAACACGCAUGCAGCGCCUCCCUGCAAGGCCACACCAGGCCGCCCCCGCAAUCUUGCAUGCCCAAUCCACUGGCACACCACGCUCCAGCAGACAAGCACCUAGCAUGCCAGGAGCCAGAGCCACCGCGCGGACCUCCGCUCCACCCAUGCAUCCUACACGCCUGCACUCCCGGCGCACCAUGCGUCCUUGCCCGAGAUCAGUUCCCACGUCCCGGACGGGAGGCCUGUGAGAUGCCGACGCGCGUGGACCCAAGCCCCUCUUGCGCUGCCUCGCCUCGAUGCCCCUGACCGCCCGCGGGAGCGACCAAGGAGCAAGCAUACCAAGGAGUUUGGUCAAGUUCGAUUUUCAUUACGAAAGACAGGGUUCAAACACACUACUACCUCCGUUUCAUAUUAAGCGUUGAUUUAGUAUAAAGUUAGCGACACUUAAUAUAAAACAUGAACGGAGGGUGACAUGUGUCGUGAGGUCAAUGCAUUCAUGUGGUAGCUUGAAAGGUGUUGAGUGGGACGACAGAGGGGUACUUUACUAAGAUAAAUCCAUAUUACAAAGGAAGGAAAAUCGAUAAGAUUGCAAUUAACGGCCACAGAACAGCCGGAACCGCUACAAGGAAAAGGAACAGAGUUCCAUGCAGCUCUCUCCUAGUCCUAGGAGAGCAUCGCCAACGACGCCAAGCAUGCAGCUACCGCACGCUAUUGGUCUUUUAUUCUCGCGCCUUUGCCUAGCAAGACAUAUACCCUUACAUUAUUAUUAUUAUUAUUAGGUGCGUGACAUGACACUCACACCGCCUCGAUGAUGGCGCCGGCCACCGCUUCCCAGCCGCGGAGGUGCUCGUCGUCGACGAUGUUGCUGCCGCGAACGCACUGUCGCACGCACUGUUGGUGCUUGGUCCGAUAUUUCCAGCCCUGACACUUCCUUUGGCAAGACAGUUGGCACUCCCUGUCGCACGGACGCCCGGCGACCUCCUCCUCUUGGGCGUGGCGGUGCUCGUCGACGUCGUUGCCGCCGCCCACAGCGAGGCUGAGGCCGCGGCGCAUGCACUGUUGCACGCACUGGUCCUUCCUCGUCGGGUCUUGCCAGUGGCUACACUUGUUCUCGCAAGACGCUCUGCUGGGGUGGUGAUGCUCCCGGCUGUGGCACUCGUCCACGCACUGCUUUUUCCUCGCCGGAACUUGGUGGUGUUGGCACUUGAGGUCGCACGAGUCGUUCUCCUCCGGAUCAUCGACGCGCAGACGGGCCUCAUCCGCCUCCUCCACCUCCGGGACAGCAGUGGCUACCGCCCCAUCGUCCUGCUCCGCGCCUGCUGCCGCCGCCGCAGCCAGCAGCACCCCGGCGAGCAGGAGGAACCACCAAACCCCACCCUUGUGAAUGAACCCCAUUGCUGCUCACACUAGAGAGUAGAGAUGGAUGGCAAUGGAUGGGAGAACUUGAAGGCCAGCGCCGACCUUUAUAUACACACGAGCGAGAUGUCUAUUGCAUUUGAUUUGAUUUGAGCCAGGCAUCUUCGCGAGAGGACUGCUGUUUAUUGCGUGUGCCAUGAAGUGAACCAUGUGGGGGCCAUUGAUGCCGGGCAAUCACGAGGGACACGAGCAGUACUAUACCAGUAUACUCUACUAAUACCAAGGGAUGCGCUGGUGGCUAAGUUUGGACGAUAACGCCCUCGCAGACGUGUUCGGCUGCCAAGCAAACACCUGCCACGGACGUGGCGACGCAGGCGGUUGCCACGGUGAGGAGUGAUUUGUUUUUAUAUCCCAUCUGCGGGCUGAGUGGCUAAUGUUGUACCGGGAGCGCGCGCCCGGCAAGAGAUCUUCAUCGUCAUUUAAUAAAUACAUUAUAACUGAGCACUUUUUCAGCCCUCUCAGGUCAGCAGUGUUCUCGGCCAUUCAAUCGUUAUUUUGGAUUUUUAGCCGCCAGAUUAGCUCUGAAUCAUGCGUACGUUACUAUUAAGAAGCGCUAACUGUGCCGGGCCGCUGCUCCAGUGACAUUUUUGGACGUCCGAUAUUACUUGGGCCUAAUGGGAUGAAGCUCGACGGUCUUCCUCCCGUAACCGUAGGUGGUAAGUGCAGAUGCGUUACUUGCCUCUUAAUCUUCAUCCGUUUCCUUAUAUAUAAUGCCCACCAUCAUCUGUCUCACAUUCGUAUCGCCUUGAACAUUCUGUUGUUUGACAGCUAAAUCCUAUAGGUCCCGGGCAACAACGUGACGAUCCUCUCGCCUGCGUUUGCGAUGGACAUGGCUGCGCCGAGACAAAGUGCUUUAGCUUCAUGGGCUACCCCAACAACAACAAUGACUUAUUGGUCUUCUUUUCCCACACCCCAACUCAAGUAUGUGAUUGAUUGAUUCAUUCAUUUGUUUCCCGUCAGUGUCCUCUUCGGAUGUGGACGUGGAUUCUUGUUUCAUUUGGCCUGUUGCAUGAGCGAUGCUCAAUGGCGAUCUACAAAGGAACUUCCGGUAACAUGACUGCAUGUGCCCAAGAUUUUGAAAAGAGAAAAAUAGAACUUACUGUCCACUUUUUUUCCGGGUUUAUACUGUUCUUAGAGAGAUUAAAGUGGGGCGAAAGUCUGUAGGUUUGAGGAGGGAGGGAGGGAGGGAGGAAUCCUUGCAGCUGCAUGAGGACGCUUUGAGUCAAUGAGACUUGCUACAUCCUCGCAGUUUCUUCGCAUGUAUGGGGCAACCACUACCUGAUUCAUGUCCCCUCUUCUGGUGCUCCUUAAUCAAUUUACCAGCGAUUUCUCUGGCAAUAUAUUGAAGUCAAACUGAUGGUAAACUCAACAAUAAAUUAGGCAAAAAGUGCAGAUAUUUCGCAGGUUCAACUCUGAAUUUGGUUUAUUGCUCAUGUGCCUUCACGUAUGUAUAUCUUUGCCAUGUGUUAUGUUCUCAUGCAUAGGUCAAAUGAUUUGAAGAAGUUGGACUUGCUCGCCAUUGGUGGUUGUCUUACAUUUUGUUAAAUUCUAUGUAUUGAAGCCUGGAGCCUGGGAGCUAAAACCAAAUUCUGAGAAAAAACAAGACUAACUAUGUGGCAAGAGAAGGAGAAGGACAUCCAUAUAAGCACACACAGUCGCGUGGCGUAUGUCUGGAAAUAUAUUUUUCUGGUACACAGAAUGUCCGGUGUAGGUGCAUGUAGCGCCCCGGUGGAUUUUGAUGAUUAAUGGCAAAAUGGUGGAGGGAGUAACGUGUUUACUAGGUGUACAUAUAUGAAAGUCUCUGGGGAUUUCGUUUAACCGAAAGAUUAUAAACCCUAAAAGUGUUGAGAAAACAAUGAAGUCUUCUGAAUGGCUGACGAAGAAUUGAAGGCCGAAGAGUAGCUCUUAUUUGCUAGUAUAUUUACUUACUAGAUCGGCAACGCACCUUGGCGCAAGGUGCCUGUCCGAAUGUUUUGAUCAAACGUGUAAUGUUAAGUUAUUAGUAACUCAAUUGCUAUUCGGAUGAUAAAAAGGGCAAUGAAAGCAUGAUAUUACCACCAUGUAUCUAAAUGGGACUAACAACGUCUGAAUGAACUGGAGCUAUAAAUAGAUGUCAGACAGAAUGUAACUAAAAAUAUUGGUACUCGCUUAACGUUGCAACCUGAGAAACCUCAAAACACCCACCCAUGAAGCUAUUGCAUCACAAAGUAUAGACAAAUGUUACACUUUGUGUAUGUGAGCCAAGAGGGUUAAUAUCAAGUUGUUGUAAGCUAAACAAAGCAUGAUUUAUCGAUGCCAGGAGCCGACUGUAAAAUCAAUAACUCUAAGUAAGCUAAAGCUAAAACAGAAUGAAAUGAAGUCAUAUAAAAAACUAAAGGAGAUUCAUAUAUAACAGGAAGAAUCACCGAAGAACCAGUUGGAAACAAAGAUCGUUCACAUGCACAAAACGGGAAAUCACCAAACAGUAUACAAUCAUAGAAAGCACACUUCACGAUAACAACAGAAAGUACACUUGACGAUAACAACAGGAAUCCAUAGGAUAUGUAUUUUCUGUUCAAAAGAACAUCAAAAGGGCAAAGGCAAUGAUCAGUAAACAUGCUGGGUAUGAUGCGCUGAUCAAAGCUCACCAGAUAGUAUCCGUGGUCUCUAGGCGCUGCUUCGAUUUCAUGCCAAUAUAACGUAGCCUUUUUUGCCAACUUUCCCAUGCUUGCGAGUGCCGUUUUCAUAGCCCUUUUGGUGCUGUCCUGCCCUCUUAGGCGCCGAGCAGCUAUCGUAUUCUAUAUCUGGUUAGAAUACGAGCUCAUGUAUCUGACGGCAUAGUACCAUCCUCUGUGUGCCUUCUUUAUCGUCUUGUUUGCUGCAACCAGCAACCUUACCAGGUGUGUCACCUUAUUUUCCAGCCUUUUAACAUGGAUGUAGUGAUAAUCCCUGAUUUCCUUGCCACAUACAUCCUCCAUAAACCUAAUGGCUGCCAUAGCAGCAUUGUCUUCUGCUUCAUCACAGUUCUUUGAGAUCACACCAGAUAUCGAGGUUGGAACAAGCAAACCAUCGAUCAAGUGCAACGAUGAAUUGAAAGUAACCGUCACACGAGACUCAUUGCCUAGAUAUGUCUUGUGAUGGUAAGUCGCAGGGGGCAACUUGAGAGCUUGCAGCAUGAGGGCAAAGAUGUGGGAAUAGGGAAUCAGUAUUACAUAAAAGUUCUCGAUGCUAGAUGUUUCUUAAAAUGUGAAAAUAUAUAUGACCAUGGUCGUUUGGCACAUACUGCUAAGUGCAUACAAGAAAAACUGAAUGUUUUUUUCGUCUGGCCAUUCCAGCAUCGACACAAACGCUCAAAUCAAUUCAACCUGUUGUUUCUUAUCUGCAGGGACUCACGGUCAAACAAGAAAGCUAUUCUCUGGCCACUGAUGUUGAGGCUACCUACACGAUGCAGGACCGUGUCAUCUACAACAAACAUGGUAACCAUAUUAUUGAUAUUUCAUCAUAACCAAUUUUUAUUAUUCCAUGAUCAUCUCUUUCCAACUAACUUGUACAUGCCAGUGUCUCUGCAAAAAGCACAGGCAACUACUUGACUACAUUGACCGUCACCUAACAGCGGAUUGGGUCCCAGAUUUCAAAGAGAAAGAAAUCCAUCUAAAGCCGGGACGCUACAUUGUUCGUGGUAAGGACUACAUAACAUUUCUUGGAUUUUAGAAUCGCGUUGUUAAACAUCCACUAUAGAUAUGUGUGGAGAUAGAAAGAGAGAUUAAUCUGCUUUCAGAAAAACAAAAAUAAACAUGGGAACUUAUUCUGCUUUAUAGUCUCGUGCCUAUAUUGAGCACACUAUGCCACUGUCGUAUCACAAUUUAAUAUUUCUCCACUGUAUUGAUAUCUUAUAUAGAUGCAUGUGUUAAACAUGGAUUACUACUGACUUUGCAUUAUCUACUCGACCUAAUUGUUGGGAUUAUUGUGUAGGUGAUCGCAACAUCCACUACUUUGAUGAGCUUAGCACCUACUGCCUUUAUGGAAAUAAAGUGAAAUUAAACAAUGAAAAUCUCAAGAAUCUGCGCAAGCUAAUUAAAGGCAGUAAAACACCUAACUGCUAUUAUGUGUGCCACAUGACAAAGACUUUUGCAACCCCUGGAAAAUUAAAUGGUGGGCAUCGAAAAUUUCUUUAGUUUAUUUGGAUCCAUCCUAUGCUUCCUGGAAAAAGAAUAGUGGGCAUCAAAAAUUUCUUUAGUUUAUUUGGAUCCAUCCUAUGUUGCAACCCCUGGUAAGCAUAGAUGGAUCCAAAUAAACUAAAGAAAUUUUCAAUGCCCACCAUUCUUUUUCCAGGGGUUGCAAAAGUCUUUGUCAUGUGACACACAUAAUAGCAGUUAGGUGUUUUACUGCCUUUAAUUAGCUUGCGCAGAUUCUUGAGAUUGUCAUUGUUUAAUUUCACUUUAUUCCUAUAAAGGCAGUAGGUGCUAAACUCAUCAAAGUAGUGGAUGUUACGAUCACCUACACAACAAUCCCAACAAUUAGGUCGAGUAGGUAAUGCAAAGUCAGUAGUAAUCCAUAUUUAGCACAUGCAUCUAUAUAAGAUAUCAAUACAAUGGAGAAAUAUUAAAUUGUGAUAUGACAAAGGCAUAGUGUGCUCAAUAUAGGCAUGAGUCUAUAAAGCAGAAUAAGUUCUCAUGUUUAUUUUUUUUAAAGCAGAUUAAUAUCUCUCUUUCUAUCUCCACACAUAUCUGCAGUGGAUGUUCAACUACGCGAUUCUAAAAUCCAAGAAGUGUUAUGUAGUCGUUACCACGAACAAUGUAGCGUCCCGGCUUUAGAUGGAUUUCUUUCUCUUUCAAAUCUGGGACCCAAUCCGCUGUUAGGGGCCGGUCAAUGUAGUCAAGUAGUUGUCUGUGCUUUUUGCAGAGGCAGUGGCCUAUACAAGUUAGUUGGAAAGAGAUGAUCAUGGAGUAAUAAAACUUGGUUAUGAUGAAAUAUCAGUAAUAUGGUUACCAUGUUUGUUGUAGAUGACAUGGUUCUGCAUCGUGUAGGCAGCCUCAACAUCAAUGGCCAGUGCAUAGCUUUCUUGUUUGACUGUGAGUCCGUGCAGAUAAGCAACAUCAGGUUGAAUUGAUUUGAGCAUUUGUGUCGAUGCUGGAAUGGCGAUAUGAAAAAAACAUUCAGUUUUUCUUGUAUGCACUUAGCAGUAUGUGCCAAACGACCAUGGUCAUACAUAGUUUCACAUUUUAAGAAGCAUCUAGCAUCGAGAGCUUGUAAGGCAUAAAUACUAAUCCAUUAUAUCUUAAAAUCAUAUGAGAAGGUACAAGCAACACGCAUACAGUGUAUUCAGAUAAUCACUUCGAUAUAGAAAGAGGGGUAGCUACUAUGGACAGGGCCAUAUGUCAGCACGUGCAACUGAAGCAAUUGAACAGGGCCCCAAAAAUUGAAGGGCCCCCGGCUGCAGGUAAUAAAGGUGUUAAACGGAGCAUUAAGUGAAGAAUUAUGAAAUAUCGCACCCCAAGGCAUCCUACUACUGCCAGUUCCCUCUCUCAAUGCAUUGCUACUGUUCCAAAAAAAAUCAAUUUCACAAGCGCCAGAUUAACUAAUUGACCCAUCAUUUCCUCCCCAUCUUGAUUCUUUUCCAAUUCUUCUCGGGAAUAAUGCUUCACGAUUUCCCCAAAAGAAAGGCAUUAGUGGCAGCAAACUGGUGUGGUCAUGGACACCAAUCUUCUCUAUAUUGGGGAGUUUUCCUCUCAAUUCUCAUGUGCUCUUGUUCAUCAUGUAGAACCUUGUGGAGAUUGGAGUCGCCCCUUGCACUGCUUUGUCGCUGACCUACCAAUGAAUCAUCGGAGCUUCAUUUGCAGUCUCGCAUGAUCUAAAACUACAGAGUCCUGGUAAGGUGGUGGCAGUUCUUACUGCUAGUUUGUUGUUCUUUCUAGAACUUGUGCAUCUGUGAGAACAAACUGCACAUUUUAAUCCGCUAUUUCAAACGUCAGGGCAUAAAUUUUGAUUCGCACAAGGCCUCUAAUUUUCUAAGUAUGACCCUAACUAUGGAACAAGCAUUUAUAAAAGGCUUACCUAACAGGACUAAUUUGCAUGGAUGCUCUCGCGAGUAUAGAAUAAAGAUCACAAACAAAAUGAAAAGCUAGAAUUAAAUACUUAAUUACAGCCUGCAGUACAUAUGUUUAUCAUCACAUAUAACUUUUCUCUCUAUCUAGCAAACGGAGAAGAGACGGACCUGUUAUAGCAAGUAGAGACGGAAAUAUACCUGUGGUCGAGGGACUCGGCGUCUGGAGCAUGAGGAGCCAUCGUGUGCCACAGGCAAAUGAGCUGGCUGAAGCACUUUACGGCCCUGAGCCCGUUGCGUGGCGGCGGAAUACAUGGGGGCUCCGAUCCGGCGACCACCGGAGCGCGGCUGCCUCACCAUGGAAGACUGGAGGCGUCGCUGCGGUCGGACUAAGCAGGGUGGCGGCGGAUCCAGGCGAGAGGAGAUAGGUUUUGCAGAGGAAGGAGAAGAGCGACCGGAUGUACUGGCAAGGGAGGUACUUACGCAGGCCAAGGGCUCUUUGGGCUGAUAACGGGCCAGGGGCUGGGUAAGGCGGACGCUACGCUGAUUUAACCUAUGUUUUUUUUAUUUCCUGUAAGCCGAUAUAGUUUACCUAGGAUAAUAAGGUAUUAUUUGUUGUGGUGAUAGAAAUCACAUUAGUUAAGUUUUCCUGAUUCGGAUUAUUCUUCAUUGUUUAUUGUCCUUUCAGACUGUUUAUAUUUUCUAAAUACAUUUAUAUGGCUAGAAUUUAUUUUUUUAAAAUGACAAUAACAUUUUUUUAAUUGCAGUAUUGGCAGACUUACAUUAAUAUUUGUAUAACAGAUGAAUGCUUUACUAAAAGCACAUGACCUAUAAGUAGUAUGUUUCUUUCCUUCGAAAUUUUAACACCCACCAACAGCAAGCCCUUUUUUGUCGGCAUCUUUUAUCGAAACACAUUAAAGUGUUAAAAAAUGCAUUGACAUUUUUUAAAACCAUUGGGAGGAAGAAUGAACGAACACGAAUGAACGAACACGAGUGUAAGCAAACUAUAUCUUCCCACGACCAUCUUCCUUGCCAAGCAUGCGUAAGGGAGCCCCUGCUCCGAGUGCGUCAAACACCGAGAGUGCCAGUGCGGAGCCCUAGUCGUUGCCGCUUGGCGCACUGGAGGCUACAAUGUGCCUCACCCUCGCCGCGCGCACGGGAGGCCACCAUGAGCCUUACCCUCGCCGCCGUCGCUUGGCGCAUAUGAGGCCGCCAUGAGCCUCGCCCUCACCGCUGUCACUCAGCACCAAACAAAGCAUGCCCAAAAAGCAGAGCAAGAACGCCAUCCAAGAGAAGAAGAACAGGAGCACCACUCACUCGAACUUGUUGGAUUCACCUGCAGGAUGACGAUGAACUCAGCCACCUUUGAGCAGCUAACAAAGAGACCCGAAUAUCGCCGGAGCGGCCUACUGUCGUCUCGUCUCCCCAUCGCCCGGCGUCCCAAGUCUAAGUCGCACGCGGACCCCGCACGCGGUUGGAUCCCUACUUCUAGUAUAUAUAAUGAUAGAGAUGGUUUUAUAAGGUUGGUUUGGACUUGGGAACUAGAAUGAAGGAGUAUUCCAUGGUCAUAGGGAAGGGAUGCACAUGGAUCAGUGAGGUGGCGCGAUCCAGACCGCACGAUGAAGGUCGUGCCAUGGAUCAGUGAGGUGGCACAAGUCAUGGCCGCAUGAUGAUGAUGAUGGCUGGUGCUCAUCCUUGCUAUUACCAAGAAAGAGAGCUCAUUUUUCUUAAUGAUGACUGACCUCAAAGAAGAUUACUUCUUUUCUCUCUUUAUCCUUUUGGCAAACUAACUUUUCUAAGUCAGUGAAGUAAUUCAAUUAUGUUCUGCUUUCUUUGAGAACGUCGAAAAUCAAUUCUUAUAAAGUCUGUAAUUUAUCUUUCUUAUGUUCAAGCCGUCCUUGGUUGAUGUUCAUGGCAUGGGCAGUCUCUUUUCUCUUAUUUCACAAGAAUAACAAGUUUCUCUUAUUUCACAAGAAUAACCAAGUGGCUGACAUGGUAGCUUUUACAAUCAAAGCAAAUGGAUCUGGUUACAUAGGCAUGGAUCCUCAAAACAAGGACAAACAAAUAUGCAUGUGAUCCUCAAACAAGUCCUCCUUUAUAUAGAUGCUCAGAGAAGUAGGCACAUUUGGUUUGGCUGCAUCUAUCAGCAAAAUUUCAUUGGCGGACAAUAAUUCUGACCGACCUAUAAAUGCAUACAUACAAUCAUCUCAUCAAGGAAGGAACAACAAGAUGAUUACAUGUAUGAUCCACAUGUCCACAACAACAUGUAAAUAGAAAGCAACAACAACUCUCCUAAAACAUCAAUCAUCUCAGCAAGGAAGGAACAACAACUCCCCAAGGAGGCGAGAAACAUUACAGACCAUCCCAGAUAGGCCUACGCCCAGCACUAUACACUAGGAAAACCAGGUUCAGUACUGCAGCUUCGCGUCCUCAAUGAGCCUUUCGGCACCAACGGGGUCCAGAAUACGUCCGCCGCCUUCUUCAUGUAGAGGCCCAGGUUGAUGAUGACCAACUUCGCCCUCUGAAACCUACAUGUACAGAUUAACCAUGCCAUCAAUGUCCAUCCAGCAACGACGCGCUAGGGAAGACUUAAUCAUCAACAUUAUAUCACACAGACUGAACCAGUAAUAGCACAAUCAUUAUACCGCCGCCACGCCCCCUCUUGUUACGGAGGAAGAGCAAACCAGAGUACAACAAUAGUGUGUCCAUACACAGAAAAGAGGAAUCCCAAGAACAUGCUCUCCUGCCAUCCACACAUGCAUUAAAAAGAAACCCCGGAUUCAUUUAGUUAAGCGUCCAUGAUUGGCAGGAACAGAAAGUGCAGGUAAUAGCACUCAAAAGUAGGAGCAAAAUCAAACCUCCUCCUGGAGCCGAAGAUUUGGAGGUGCUGGUGUAGAGUAGGCCAUCAAACCUCCUCCAUGGGUGUGUUCUCCUGCCGCAGAGAGGAUGAUCAUCUGCAGGGGAGAGGGAGCAAUAAGGUCAGGAUCAUCAUCUGCGUGCAUGAGGAAACCACAUGCCAAAUCAAACAGAGAGGAAUAUAAAACAGUGUAGGCGAUCCUCGUAUCAACCAAACCAGGAUAUAAAACAAAAGCUAUGCUCUAUGGAAGAGAAGAUCCUUCAUCAUCUAAAAAUCAAAUACGCAUUGUCUUGUCUAAAAGAACAAGCGUUAUCAUUCUAACAAGCAGGUCUACAAAAAAAGCAUUAUUGCCACAGGAAAUGAACUACACAAUAGAUUUACAUUCCAUUUCUAGAUACAGAAGGCCUAAGAAAUCAAACUACCUACAGUAACAGCACCAGCCAAACACACUACAGCAUAAACUACCUACGAACUAGUUACAGCUAGCACAAUCAUCUCUAGAAACAGAAGUUAAACCUUGUUGAUUCAUGACACCCACAAGCAGCAAAUGAAUGAACUUUCAAUCUAGAACACACAAAUAAAACCAUCUCUUAGAAACUUGAGACUAAAGAUCUCCCCCUCUGUCUCCCCUCUCUUUUGACAGGGAGGAAGAGCAAACCAAAGUACAACGACAGUGCAACAUCCGGCAUCCAAACACGGAAAAGAGGAAUCCCAAUAGCCAUGGCAGAGCAUGAGAGACUACACAAGUCAACAACUAAAUCGUGAACUGUAAUUGUUAUUUUUAUAUGUAGCAAACAAGAUUGGUUUUUCUUGGUUCAGAAGUUGAAAUGUGUGUGACUCAGUGGCUUACCCCUCUGUUGACAAGUUGAGAGCAGAUUUCACAUGGACCCCAAGAACUUGCUCUCCUGCUACCCACACACAUGCAUCAAAAAGGAAACCCAGGUUCAUUCAGUCAAGAGUCCAUGAGUGGCAGCGACAGAAAGUGCAGUUAAUAGCACUGUAGAGUAGGAGCAAAACCGGACCUCCUUCUGGAGCUGAAGAUCUGGAUGCUGUUGCUCCUGGUCUGCAAUGAGGUUGUCGCCGCUGCGUCUCAGGUUCUCGAACACAUCCUCCGGGGGUGUGUUCUCCUGCGGCAGAGGAUUGUCAUCUACAGAGGAAGGGAGCAACACGAACAACAGAGCAACAAGGGCAGGAUCUGAAGGAAAUAUGCCCUAGAGGCAAUAAUAAAGUUAUUAUUUAUUUCCUUAUUUCAUGAUAAAUGUUUAUUAUUCAUGCUAGAAUUGUAUUAACCAGAAACAUGAUACAUGUGUGAAUACAUAGACAAACAUAUAGUCACUAGUAUGCCUCUACUUGACUAGCUCAUUAAUCAAAUAUGGUUAUGUUUCCUAACCAUAGACAUGUGUUGUCAUUUGAUUAAUGGGAUCAUAUCAUUAGGAGAAUGAUGUGAUUGACAUGACCCAUUCCGUUAGCCUAGCACUUGAUCAUUUAGUAUGUUUCUAUUGCUUUCUUCAUAACUUAUACAAAGUUCCUGCAACUAUGAAAUUGCGCAACUCCCGUUUACCGGAAGAACACUUUGUGUGCUACCAAACGUCACAACGUAACUGGAUGAUUAUAAAGGUGCUCUACAGGUGUUUCCGAAGGUACAUGUUGGGUUGGCAUAAUUCGAGAUUAGGUUUUGUCACUCCGAUUGUCGGAGAGGUAUCUCUGGGCCCUCUCGGUAAUACUCAUCACCUAAGCCUUGCAAGCAUUGUAACUAAUGAGUUAGUUAUAAGAUGAUGUGUUACAGAACGAGUAAAGAGACUUGCCGGUAACGAGAUUGAACUAGGUAUUGGAAACCGACGAUCGAAUCUCGGGCAAGUAACAUACCGAUGACAAAGGGAACAAAGUAUGUUGUUAUGCGGUUUGACCGAUAAAGAUCUUCGUAGAAUAUGUAGGAGCCAAUAUGGGCAUCCAGGUUCCGCUAUUGGUUAUUGACCAAGAAUAGUUCUAGGUCAUGUCUACAUAGUUCUCGAACCCGUAGGGUCCGCACGCUUAAGGUUUCGAUGACAGUUAUAUUAUGAGUUUUGAUGUACCGAAGGAGUUCGGAGUCCCGGAUGAGAUCGGGGACAUGACGAGGAGUCUCGAAAUGGUCGAGACGUAAAGAUCGAUAUAUUGGACGACUAUAUUCGGAGUUCGGAAAGGUUUCGAGUGAUUCGGGUAUUUUUCGGAGUACCGGAGAGUUACGGGAAUUCGCCGGGAGUAUAUGGGCCUUAUUGGGCCAUACGGGAAUUGAGGAGAGAGGUCGAAAGGAAGGAGGCGCGCAGCCCCCCUCUGGUCCGAAUUGGACAAAGGGUGCAGCCCCUCUUUCCUUCUUCCUCUCCCCCUCUUUCCUUCUCUCCUACUCCAACAAGGAAGGAGGGAGUCCUACUCCCGGUGGGAGUAGGACUCCCCUUGGCGCGCCCCUACUAGGCCGGCCGCCCCUCCCCCCUUGCUCCUUUAUAUACGGGGGCACGGGGGCACCUCUAGGCACAACAACACAAGUUGAUCUACGGAUCGUUCCUUAGCCGUGUGCGGUGCCCCCCUCCACCAUAUUCCACCUCGGUCAUAUCGUCGCGGAGUUUAGGUGAAGCCCUGCGCCGGUAGAGCAUCAUCAUCGUCACCACGCCGUCGUGCUGACGGAACUCAUCCCCGAAGCUUUGCUGGAUCGGAGCCCGGGGAUCGUCAUCGAGCUGAACGUGUGCUGAACUCGGAGGUACCGUACGUUCGGUACUUGGAUCGGUCGGAUCGUGAAGACGUACGACUACAUCAACCGCGUUGUCAUAACGCUUCCGCUUACGGUCUACGAGGGUACGUGGACAACACUCUCCCCUCUCAUUGCUAUGCCAUCACCAUGAUCUUGCGUGUACGCAGAAUUUUUUUUGAAAUUACUACGUUCUCCAACAGGAUCAUCAUCUGCCUGUGUGUCGCCUGCCGAAUCAAACAAAGAGGAAUAUUAAAUAGUGUAAGUGAUCCUCGUAUCAACCAAACCAGAAUAUAAAGCAGAAUCCAAGCUCUGUGGAAGAGACGAUCCCUCAUCAUCUAAGAAUCAAACACACAUUGUCUUGUCUAAAAAACCAAAUACACGAUAUCAUUCCAACAAGCAGGCCUACAAAAAAGCAUUAAAGCCACUGGAAAGGAACUACAAAAUAGAUUUACAUUCCGUUUUAAUUAGAGACCUAAUUGGAUAUGGUCAUAUGAAAGAAGAAAACUACAAGAACGUGUUAUCAUUCAAUAAGACAUGGAAAUCCAAAGUGACUUCUGGAAAUAAAUUCUCAUACAAAUCCAUGCAUUGUGCCAUGAUGGGUUUUUUGUAGGGGAGGGGCACCGUCAGAAAUGUGGGGGUCCGGACAAGAAAAGGAAAGGAGACAUGCAAUUGACAAAUCUAUUUGUUUCAAAAGGAGUAAACAGGUACAUUUUUUUACAGGAAUUGCAACUCAUAGGUGCCACAAUGUGUCUAGAAUAAUGAUCAAAACUGACAUGUUUGUCAAGUUCUAAAGGUAUUAUCCCACUUAUAUUGUUGAUGUACAACUACUUACGCUAAGAUGGAUUAGUGAAUCCAAGUUCAGGGCCCAACAUGGAUGGAUUAGUCUGUCCAAAUUAAGCCCCUGGUAAGCUUGAACUACUUACUAACACGCAAAACAACCAUGCCUAGGUAAAAAGGACUAUGUGUCCCUUUGGAUUCUGGCCCUGGUAGCCCUGCCAAUCACCGACUAGCCAAAAUUCUGGCACAGGAUUUCGAUGGGCAUCAGGCGAGCCAAAAAAUGGGAAACCAUCCAGAUAGAUGCCAUUGCUGCGGUUGAAAGGAUCGAUAUGGUUGACUAGAGGGAGGGGUGAAUAGGCAACUAACACUUUUUAGACUUUUCUUUAACAAUUUAAACCUUGCAAUGAAAUAGGUUGUCUAGAUGUGCAACUACGUGGACAACCUAUAUGAUGCAAAGACAAUAAGCACACAAGCAAGCAAUGGAUAUAGCACAAGUAAGCUUGCAAAAGUAAAGGGACAAGAUAACCAAGAGUGGAGCCGGUGGAGAUGAGGAUGUGUUACCGAAAUUCCUUCCUUUUAAGGGGAAGUACGUCUUCGUUAGAGCGGUGUGGAGGCACAAUGCUCCCCAAGAAGCCACUAGGGCCACCGUAAUCUCCUCACGCCCUCACACAAUGUGAGAUGCCGUGAUUCCACUAUUGGAGCCCUUGAAGGCGGCAACCGAACCUUUAUAAACAAGAUUGGGGCAAUCUCCACAACACUUGGAGGCUCCCAACAAUACCGCGAAGCUUCACCACAAUAGAGUAUGGCUUCGAGGUGACCUCAACCGUCUAGGGUGCUCAACACCCAAGAGUAACAAGAUCCGCUAGGGAUAAGUGGGGGGAAUCAAAUAUCCUGUGGUGGAAGUGUAGAUCGGGCACUUGUCACCCAAUCCCGAGCAAAUCAACAAGUUUGAUUGGCUAGGGAGAGAGAUCGAGUGAAAAUGGAGCUUGGAGCAACAAUGGAGCUUAGAGGUGGAAGAGGUAGUCAACUAGAGGUAGAAGACACCCCUUAUAUAGUCGUGGAAAGAAUCCAACCGUUAUCCACAUGUUCAGCCCGCGACACACGGUACUACCGCUCCAGGGGCGCGGUACUACCGCGAAGCUGUGCGGUACUACCGUGGCUGGCCAUAGUACUACCGCGACAGCAGCACAGGCCGGAACUAGCCUGACAAGGGGGCAGUACUACCACUUGCGCGGUACUACCGCACCCACUUGCGGUACUACCGCUAGGCAGGAAAGUCACGGCCUGGGAAGGGCGCGGAUGAAAUAAAUUACAUCCGUGCCUACUUCCGCUGAAACUGAGGUGGUACAAAAAUCCGAUGCGGUACUACCGCUCGCGAGGCGCGGUACUACCGUGCGGGCGCGGAUGUAAAAAAUUACAUCCGCGCCUACUACCGCGACACUGCGGUACUAGGUAGGAGGGCCACGGUACUACGACUCCUAGGGAGCGGUACUACCGUGGACCCCCACAGUACUACCGCGCUGGACGAGCGGUACUACAAUGGAGGGUGCGGAUGUAAAAAAUUACAUCCGCCCCUACUACCGCACCGGAGCGGCACAAGGCCUGGGAGCCGCGGUACUACCGCUCCAGAUGAGCGGUACUACCGCGUGUACAAUAGUAGUCGUCAGAUUUCCGCACAACCAAGAUAACAAAGGGAAGCUCCAAAAUGCAGGGAAAGGAGGAACAAGUGUACGUGUUGAUUCCACCCAAACAUUUCCGACGCGGACCCCCUCUUAAUAGUACGGCUCUCCUACGACUCAAAUCCACCAAAGAGAAACGUAGAACAACGUCGACUUCAAUAGUCUCCGAGGGGCACCGAAUCGUCUCAUGUCUAGAGAUGAAGUAUCUGAGAAACUCAAGGCACACGAUUAGUCCGCAAAUGCAUUGUCAUCAAUCACCAAAACACCUGAGGGAUAAAAUAUGCCCUUACAAUCUCCCCCUUUUUGGUGGAUUGAUGACAACACGGGAUUUGCAUAUAGAUAAGAUAAUUUAGAGCAGGGGCAAACCCCACCGCUCUAAAAUAUAGACGGGCUCCCCCUAGAUGUGUGCACUUUAGAUGAAUGCUUUGGACUGCAUAGCACACAGACUAGGAUCAACACUCCCCCUAUAUUUUAGAGACCAAGGCAUGAUAAUAAGCAUAGCAUAGCAUAAAGAUAACACAAUAUAACACAAGCUCGCUAGGAUAGAUAGAGUGCAUAUGUCUUACACCAUACGAAGUAAAGCUAUCGAGGUUCAAACGAGAAAGUAGCAAAUAGUUCAAACGAGAAAGCAGCAAACACACGAUACACUCGCAAAUCCCUACACUCUCUCCCCCUUUGGCAUCGAGACGCCAAAAAAGCAGAGAGGACACCUACACACAAGAGGUGGCUCAAGCAGAGAACUCGUCCCAAGCCUCUCUGUCGGUCUCCUCGGCAGCAGGGAUGGUCUCCUCGACAUCCUCCUCAGACUCAAUCCACCUGUAGCCCUGCUUCUCCAUCCACUCGGCCUCUGGAGUGAUGUGCUCCUCAGACCUGCCAAACACUGCCUCACCAUAGAGCUGCAAGAUCUUGUUGUCCCGGCGACGACUCUCCUUGGACGCCACGUGAGUCCUGUACUGCCCCUUGGCUUGCAUGCAGAAAAGAGUCUUCAUCUUGUCCUUCAGCUUCUUGGCCCAUGAUGGCAUAGUGGUACUCUGGGAAGGCCUAGCAGCAUGGCCCUCAGCAACAUCCUCGACGCCAGCAUCCUCCUCAUCAACAGCAGCCCUAGCAGCAGUCGCCUCGGCACGAGUAGUGGUGUUGGCCCAGUUGGAUUUGAUACGCAGGCAGAUGGGCUCAUGGCGAACCCAGUCUGCAGCAAGAAACUCCUCAUCAGGGAACAUCUUCUCCCAAGUCUUCGAAAUCAGCAGAAACAGAUAGGGCCCAUAGAUAGGCACCUUGCGGUUGAGCACUGCAAACCGGAGCUCACACCACAUGAUGUGUGAGACAUCAAGUGGCUGAGACUGAGACGAACGAGCCUCCUCGCAGAUGAGCAUCAUGUCCACCAUAUAGGCAUGAACCUUGUCUUCGUCACCGAUGCGAGGGAACAAGGAGUUGUGGAAGAUGCGAUACAUGAUAUCCAGAAAAGGGUUGAGUACUAGAGUUGUCUUGCCAUUUGCGAGCGCCUUCUCAACCAUGAAUGGUGCAAGCCUGUCCUUGUUGGCAGAGUCAGCAUUGGCAUGGGGGCGAACACCCACUGGAGAGUUGAGCCCAUCAUCAGGAACCUGGAGAAUAUCCAUGAACUCCUUCCAGGUAGUAGACAGCUUACGGCCAUUGGUCAUCCAGGUCAUCCUCCGUUCCUCAUCGGAGUGAAAGUAGACUGAGGCAAAGAACUGAUAGAUAAGCUCAGGGUCAUAGUCGAGGUGGAAGGUUAACACAUGCUCAAUGCCAAACUGCUCCACCAAGUCCAGAGCCUCUCCAAAGUAGUCACGGAACUUGUCCUUCCUCAUGUGAUGCAUAUCAAUCCACUUCACCUCCACAUAGGUAUUCUGCUUGUUCUUGAUGACAUCCAGAUAGAUGUUGGUCUGUUGCUUGUUCCAGAACAGCUCACAGCCUCUGACAGUGGAACGCGGGUGCACAUAAGGGUGAUGCUGCCUGAGACGGACAUAAUCAGCUUGGGCUAUCUCAUCCAUGCCCUUAGUGGGCUCCUUGUGCUUGCUGCUGAGUGCUUGACAUUGCGCUUGGAGGCAGACGAGCCCUCUGGUACAUCACCUGGGUUGCGCAGACGUUUGGAACUAGUGUCACGACUGGGGUUGGACCGGCGAGAGCCACCACCUGAGACACACACGCAAAACACCAAAGACGCAAAAGGAUCAAUGCAAAGGCCACGAAAAAGCACAAGAAACACAUAGAAGGCAUACGAGAAAGUUGGCAUGCGAUAGAUGUGAGCCACGGUAGAACUGCCACUGCCUGCGGUACUAAAAUAUUAGUACUGCUCCAAAAGUGGUAGUACCGUGCGAGGUCACGGUAGUACCGUGGUUGGAGCGGAAGUAAAAUUUUAGUACCGCACAGAGCGCGGUAGUACCGCUCCCGAAGGGCGGUAGUACCGUGCAAGCGAUAGUACCGCGCCAGACGGGCGGUAGUACCGCGUCGCAUCAGAUCCAACCGGCGGUUUGAAUCUGAAAAGAACCGCGAAACAAUGGCGGUGCUACGGUGAUCCGAUCUAGCGCAAGACAACAAUACAAGUAUAAAUCCUAUGCAAUACCACGCUCCUUCAUCCUACUCUUGCAGAGAUUAAGCCUAAGAAUCUCAAGAACACACAAGCCUCCCCCAAAACCUAGAAACACUAAACACAAUCAACACGGAGAGGGAGUUGGGGAAAAACCUUGGUCCAUAGCAAGAACACGUGGUGGGGAACGAUCCCACCGGUCGGAAUCACGGGAGGGCAGCCGGUGGAGGAGAUCCAGCGACGAGCGCCGGCUCCGUUCUUGAGCGAGGGAGAGAAGGAGGCGACGUGGAGAGAGAGGACAGCGAAUGGGUAUGGGGAGUUAAAACUCCCCCUGCCCGUCCUUAUCCCCACGCGCUCGAAAUGGCACGGUAGUACCGCGUAUCAUUGCGGUAGUACCGCUCGAGCGGAAGUACCGCGCCGAGGCGGCAGUACCGCUCAACCAGGCGGCAGUAAAAAAUUACUUCCGUGUGGUGAUGGUAGUACCGUGCUCCCGCAAGCGGUAGUACCGUGGCUGACUGCGGUAGUACCGUAGCUGGCCGCGGUAGUACCGUGAGCUCAAGUCACCGCAAGUUUCAACACGAGAAGAAAAAGCCUUUGCACUGAAACUUUUCACACAAAAGAAACCACAAGAACACGCACAAACCAGAGGCAAAAAGACAACAAGAAACCACCAAGCGACAAAGCCUCUCAAGGAGAGAGGGCGGUGGCCGAAGCCACCUAUGUUUGAGUUGGAUGGUAUGGCACCGCGAAGAAUUAUCCUUGGGCCCAUGACCAAAACUCGUCUUUGAAGCACAAGUACCAUUAAAAAUGGCUAAUGUGAAAGAGGUGAUCGAUUUAUGCAUAAUGGGGGGAGGGAGAGUUCAUUGAGAGAACAACACUCCCCCUAUGUCCAUGCCUACACCUAAACUAGACAACACAUUGAGUGUGGUGGGGGGUGUACGGGUUCAAGUCACAUUGCUCAAAUCAAUGAUAUUUAGCUCAUGCCUUAACUCGCGAAAUCUUGCUUCAUCCAAAGGCUUCGUGAAAAUAUCUGCAAGGUUAUCAUGAGUGUUGACAUACUUGAGCUCGAUCUCCCCUCGCCUAAUGUGAUCCCGGAUGAAGUGAUACCGAAUCUCAAUGUGCUUCGUCUUGAAGUGUUGUACCAGGUUGAGAGAAAUCUUGAUGGCACUUUCAUUAUCACACCAAAGAGGCACUUUGUCACAAAUGACACCAUACUCCUUUAAAGUUUGCCUCAUCCAUAGGAGUUGAGCACAACAACUACCGGCCGCCACAUACUCCGCUUCGGUGGACGAGAGAGACACACAACUUUGCUUCUUGGAAGACCAACUUACCAUAGAGCAACCAAGAAAUUGGCACCCUCCGAAAGUGGACUUCCUAUCCACUUUGUCCCCCGCCCAAUCGGAAUCCGUGAAACCUUUAAGCUUGAAAUUUGCUCCUCUUGGGUACCAUAAGCCAAAGUUUGGGGUAUGAGCCAAAUAUCGAAAGAUUCUCUUGACCGCCACAUAGUGACUUUCCUUUGGUGCGGCUUGAAACUGUGCACACAUCCCCACACUCAACAUGAUAUCCGGUCUAGAUGCACAAAGGUAAAGCAAGGAGCCAAUCAUGGAGCGAUAUACCUUUUGAUCCACCGCUUUACCAUUGGGAUCGAUGUCAAGUUGGCACUUGGUAGGCAUUGGUGUAGAAGCCGGCUUGACAUCACUUAGCUUGAAUCUUUUAAGCAUGUCUUGAGUGUAUUUGGCUUGGUUGAUGAAGGUUCCUUCUCUUCUUUGUUUGAUGUCAAAGCCAAGGAAGAACUUCAACUCUCCCAUCGAAGACAUCUUGAACUUGGAGGUCAUGAGAGCGGCAAAUUCCUCAUUGAAAGCUUUGUUAGGAGAACCAAAGAUAAUAUCAUCAACAUAUAGUUGGCAUACAAACAACUCCCCUUUGACCUUCUUAGUAAAAAGAGUGGGAUCGAUUUGUCCUACUUCAAAUCCACGAUCUUGUAACAACUCGGUAAGGUGGUCGUACCACGCACGUGGGGCUUGUUUAAGGCCAUAGAGUGCCUUAUCAAGUUGAUACACAUGAUCCGGGAAGUAGGGGUCCUCGAACCCGGGGGGUUGCUUGACAUAAACCAACUCAUUAAUGGGACCAAUAAGAAAAGCACUUUUCACAUCCAUUUGUUGCAACUUAAAGUUGUGAUGGGAAGCAUAAGCAAUCAACAAACGAAUGGAUUCAAGACGAGCAACGGGAGCAAAGGUUUCACCGUAGUCGAUACCCUCGACUUGGGAGUAGCCUUGCGCUACCAAUCUUGCCUUGUUGCGAAUGAUGUUCCCAUGAGCAUCUUGCUUGUUCUUGAAGAUCCACUUUGUUCCAAUGACGUUGUGGUUCCCCGAAGGUCUUGGCACCAAUCUCCACACCUUGUUGUAUUCGAAGUUGUUGAGUUCUUCAUGCAUGGCAUUGAGCCAAUCCGAGUCUUCGAGCGCCUCAUAGACCUUUUGAGGUUCAACACAAGAGACAAACGCAUGAUGUUCACAAUAGUUAGCUAAUUGUCUACGAGUGCUUACCCCCUUUCUUAGGCUUCCAACCACGUUUUCCAUGAGAUGGCCUUGUGUGGUGAGUUUGGAAGCUAUCUUCGCGGCACGGCGCUCUAAUUCCUCCUCGGGUGUGGAAGGAGGAAGGUUAACUUGAUCAUCUUGAGCGUCGUCUUGAGCUUGCUCAUGAUCUUGAACUUGCUCGAGGGGGAGAACUUGACCUUGGGCAUCAUUUAGAGGUUCACCACCAUCUUGAGGUUGAUCUUGCACUUGGUCUUGUUCAUGAGGGUGAGGGCCUUCACUUUGUUCUUCGGAAGCGUGUGGGUCUUGGGGAGGUGAUGGCUCCACUUGAGUGGAGCAUUGUCCUUUUUAUUCGGCCACAAGGGGUUCCUCAAUGGGUAGGAUAUAACCAAUACCCAUUAUUCUUAUGGCUUGGGGAGGAAUUUCAUCACCUACAUCACAAGUACCACUUUGCUCCACUUGGGAGCCGUUAUUUUCAUCAAACUCUACGUUACACGUCUCCUCAAUGAGUCCGUUGGACUUGUUGAGAACACGGUAAGCAUGAGAGUUUGUAGCAUAACCAACAAAUAUGCCCUCAUGAGCUCUAGCUUCGAAUUUAGACAAGCGAACACCUUUCUUGAGAAUGAAACACUUACACCCAAACACCCGGAAGUACUUGAGAUUGGGCUUGUUCCCGGUGAGUAUCUCAUACGGAGUCUUGUUCAAGCCUUUGCGAAGAUAGAGCCGAUUGGAUGCAUGACAAGCUGUGUUGAUGGCUUCGGCCCAGAAGUUGUAUGGAGACUUGAACUCCGCCAUCAUGGUCCUUGCCGCAUCCAUCAACGUCCGGUUCUUCCUCUCCGCAACACCAUUUUGUUGAGGGGUAUAUGGUGCAGAAUAUUGAUGCUUGAUCCCUUCAUCACUAAGAAACUCAUCCAAGGUGUAGUUCUUGAACUCGGUGCCGUUGUCACUUCUUAUUGUCAAGAUCUUUGCAUUGUGUUCACGUUGAGCUUCAUUUGCAAAGUCCAUGAUGGUUUGUUGAGUCUCACUCUUCCUCUUGAAGAAGUAUACCCAAGUGUAUCUUGAAUAAUCAUCCACAAUCACCAAGCAAUACUUUCUACCCCCAAGACUAUCAAAGGAUGGGGGCCCAAAGAGGUCCAUGUGGAGGAGCUCCAAGGGUCUCUUCGAGUAGAUGAUAGUCGUGGGAGGGUGAGCCGUCUCAUGAAGCUUUCCUUCGAUACAAGCACUGCAAACACGAUCUUUGGCAAAACUAACAUUCGUUAGUCCAUGAACAUGGUCCCCCUUGAGAAGACUUUGCAAAGAUCUCAUAUUGACGUGGGCUAAACGGCGAUGCCAAAGCCAUCCCACAUCAACUUUAGCCAUUAGGCAUGUCGCGGUCUUAGUGGGUUGCUCCGAGAAGUUAACCACAUAGAGACCGUUCUCGACAUGCCCAACAAAGGCUACUUUAAGAGUCUUGCUCCACAAGAGGGCCACGGUAUCAAUAUCAAAGAAGGUGGCAAAACCCAUGAGUGCGAGUUGACGAAUGGAAAGUAAAUUGAACACAAGGGACUCAACAAGCAUGACUUUCUCGAUCGUUAGAUCAUGAGAAAUGACAACCUUGCCAAGACCCAAUACCUUAGAAUGUGAGGCAUCACCCCAUUCGACAUUGGUGGGCAUAGAUGGGAUCUUGUGCAUGUCCACGACCAAGUCCUUGCUCCCGGUCAUAUGAUUUGUUGCUCCACUAUCGAGCAACCAUGAUCCCCCACCGGAAGCAAACACCUUGUUGGUGGCCUUAGCCAUGAGGCACUUGGCGGUGAUGUUCUCGAUAGGUGCAUCGAAGAGAGACACCCGAGGAGUUGUGACAAUGGCAACGGAUGCCAUGGCCAUUGUUUCACCAUCUUCAUCAUCAUCGUCAUCCUCACGGUAUUCUUCUUGAACCACCAACCCGCGAGGAGUCUUCCUGGUGAAGUUGUUCUUGUUGGGGAAGGACUUGGCUUUGUCUUUUCGAACGAACUUGCCACCAUUGUCUUCCUGUUUCUCGUAUGGACAAUCCGGAACGAAAUGGCUAACAUUGCCACAGUUGAAACAAGUUCUAACUCGUUGCUUCCCCUUGAAGCCACUUGAGUUGUUCUUGUUGAAGUUGGGUCUUGUAGUCUUCUUACUCCAAAACUGUCUUGAGGCAAGAGCCAUGUGCUCAUGAUAAUCAUACUUCGUGUCCUCGGGGUUGCUCUCCUCAUCUUCCUCUUCUUCUUCUUCUUCUUCCACACUAACCUUGGCCUUCAAGGCAAGAUUGGGCUUAUUUGCCCUUUGGGAACGGAGCACCGCAUUGUCGGCGGUCUUGUCCAAGAUGCUCAUUGCAACAAACUCAUCCAACACUUCACUAGAGGUCAUGGAGUGGAAGUCCGGUCUUUGGCGAAUGACGGAGGACAUGGCCUUGUUGUAGGGCAUCAUGGCCUUGAGGAACUUGCGCUUGAUCCAGUUGUCAUCCGUGUCCUUGCUUCCAUGAUCUCGGAGUGCGACCGCGAGUUUGGUCACUCUUCGAAAGAGCUCAGGAGGUUCUUCAUCCUCUUUCAUAGCAAACUCAUCGGCCUCAUCUUGCACCACUUCAUAGUUGGAGCGUUGAAUGCUAGCACUUCCUCGAUAGAGACGCUCGACACAUUUCCAUGCUUCUUUAGCCAUGGCAUGAGGUCGAAGAUGAGGGAGAUCUUCGGGAAGGAUUGCAUCUUGGAUGAUGAAGAGAGCACUUUCAUUGAAUUGAUUGUCCACUUCUUCUCAAGGAGUGAAGUUGCUUGGAUCAUGAGGAUAGAAACCUUCUUCAAUAAUUCUCCAAAGGUUAGUGUUCACAUGUUUUAAGUGACGCUUGAAGCGAUAGAGCGAAGCAUCAAAAUCUUCAUUUUUCACAUAUUUAGGAGGAGGACCGGCAUGAUUCAAAUGAGUAGAGGGGAUCGGUCCUCUAUACACCGGGGGUUCCACAUUGGCAAAGAUGCCGGUGCCAUUUCUACCACUAGUAGACGGACUCUUUUCACUAUUAGCUUCCCCCUUGUCGGGGUUAGCAUCCAUCACCUUAUUAAUGGGAUCACCCACUUUCAUUGGCGAGGUAGAUAGUUUGAGUCCCUCUAGGAAUUCAGAAAACAUGCUUUUAACCUCGGCCAUCAUGGAGGUUUUCAAUGUGUCUAAAGCCACAUUAAAUUCCUCACGAGAGACCGAGGUUCCCCCUUCGGCCGAAGACGAGACGGGAUUCACACCGGAGUGCUCCUCCGCACCGUCGUUCUUGUCAACCAUACUCUUCGGACGGCAAAGUCCUUAAUAAAGAGACGAGGCUCUGAUACCAAUUGAAAGGAUCGAUAUGGUUGACUAGAGGGAGGGGUGAAUAGGCAACUAACACUUUUUAGACUUUUCUUUAACAAUUUAAACCUUGCAAUGAAAUAGGUUGUCUAGAUGUGCAACUACGUGGACAACCUAUAUGAUGCAAAGACAAUAAGCACACAAGUAAGCAAUGGAUAUAGCACAAGUAAGUUUGCAAAAGUAAAGGGACAAGAUAACCAAGAGUGGAGCCGGUGGAGACGAAGAUGUGUUACCGAAGUUCCUUCCUUUUAAGGGGAAGUACGUCUCCGUUAGAGCGGUGUGGAGGAACAAUGCUCCCCAAGAAGCCACUAGGGCCACCGUAAUCUCCUCACGCCCUCACACAAUGCGAGAUGCCGUGAUUCCACUAUUGGAGCCCUUGAAGGCGGCAAUCGGACCUUUAUAAACAAGAUUGGGGCAAUCUCCACAACACUUGGAGGCUCCCAACAAUACCGUGAAGCUUCACCACAAUGGAGUAUGGCUUCGAGGUGACCUCAACCGUCUAGGGUGCUCAACACCCAAGAGUAACAAGAUCCGCUAGGGAUAAGUGGGGGGAAUCAAAUAUCCUGUGGUGGAAGUGUAGAUCGGGCACUUGUCACCCAAUCCCGAGCAAAUCAACAAGUUUGAUUGGCUAGGGAGAAAGAUCGAGUGAAAAUGGAGCUUGGAGCAACAAUGGAGCUUAGAGGUGGAAGAGGUAGUCAACUAGAGGUAGAAGACACCCCUUAUAUAGUCGUGGAAAGAAUCCAACCGUUAUCCACAUGUUCAGCCCGCGACACACGGUACUACCGCUCUAGGGGCGCGGUACUACCGCGAAGCUGUGCGGUACUACCGUGGCUGACCAUAGUACUACCGCGACAGCAGCACAGGCCGGAACUAGCCUGACAAGGGGGCAGUACUACCACUUGCGCGGUACUACCGCACCCACUUGCGGUACAACCGCUAGGCAGGAAAGUCACGGCCUAGGAAGGGCGCGGAUGAAAUAAAUUACAUCCGUGCCUACUUCCGCUGAAACUGAGGUGGUACAAAAAUCCGAUGCGGUACUACCGCUCGCGAGGCGCGGUACUACCGUGCGGGCGCGGAUGUAAAACAUUACAUCCGCGCCUACUACCGCGACACUGCGGUACUAGGUAGGAGGGUCACGGUACUACGACUCCUAGGGAGCGGUACUACCGUGGGGUCCCGCGGUACUACCGCGCUGGACGAGCGGUACUACCAUGGAGGGCACGGAUGUAAAAAAUUACAUCCGCCCCUACUACCGCACCGGAGCGGCACAAGGCCUGGGAGCCGCGGUACUACCGCUCCAGAUGAGCGGUACUACCGUGACACACAGCGGUACUACUGCGUGUACUUGCGGUACUACCGCAAGUACAGCAAUAGUCGUCAGAUUCCCGCACAACCAAGAUAACAAAGGGAAGCUCCAAAAUGCAGGGAAAGGAGGAACAAGUGUACGUGUUGAUUCCACCCAAACAUUUCCAACGCGGACCCCCUCUUAAUAGUAUGGCUCUCCUACGACUCAAAUCCACCAAAAAGAAACGUAGAACAACGCCGACUUCAAUAGUCUUCGAGAGGCACCGAAUCGUCUCAUGCCUAGAGAUGAAGUAUCUGAGAAACUCAAGGCACACGAUUAGUCCGCAAAUGCAUUGUCAUCAAUCACGAAAACACCUGAGGGAUAAAAUAUGCCCUUACAGCGGUCAACGCCAAAUAUUUGGCCAAGCGGAUCGGGGGUGCGAUCCAAACAACCCCUAUAAAUCAAAUAUCGUCUAGACAAAACAACAAGUUCCAGUACCAGAAUUCAUCACCAAACUCUAAAGAUCAAGAUCUCAAACCAAGUGUGGUGUCAUGGUCUUCAUUCUAGAAAUACAUGUAACAGCCAAGUGAGCAAUCAAAUCAUCGAGAACCAUCUUUUUGGUUCAUAACCAUCAAAUUCGUGUAAACAGUCUAGAGGAGUGGCUCAUCUAAUUAAAAUCUCACUCUAACAACAAUUUGACCUUAAACAGAAGUAAAGGCAUCAUGCGUACCCUAAAUAGAACAGAUAUUUACUCCUUGUAAACUGUGAGUAAUGAUCAAGAUAUACAAGCCCUAGAGACCAAGGAUAUAACAGCAGAAAGUCAUGCUUAAUCCAACAAUAACAGAACAUGCACAAGCAAAGUCACAGAUUCAAACUUCUGAUCCCUGGAACAAGUCUAAAGCAUAGAAGCAGCCAUAGCUCACCUUCCAUGCAACAAUGACUUAUAUUUGGACAUGGUGAGGUGGUCGCAUAAGCCAUCGGAUCAGAGACUAGGAAGAACACAGGUUGAUGGUGUCAGGCGUGUUGCUGCUCGCCAUCUUGUUUUAGUCUCCAUCCACACGCCCAUGCUCAUCAAAGGUGAUGUUCACCAAUAAAGCAGGCAAUAAAGAAGAAAAGUUUAUCACACACACACACACACAGAGAGAGAACAAUGCACUAAACAACAGGUCAAUAUCAUCGCAACUUAUCCAUUUGACAUGGUAUCAUGAUGGCCGUGAACCAAGAGCAACGAAAGCCGUGGCUCGAUGACCACAAGGCCAGAGCAGCGGGAGUCGAGGAGCAGAGAAAGGAGAGGUGCUGGGGGAGCUCACCAUGGUUGUCUUCUAGCCGAUGCCCAACAUCGCCGCCUAUGUGGCUCUACAGCAGGGCCAAUGGAAGAUGACGAGGCCAAAGACUAAGCCUACCACCACGCACCUUGCCUGGCAUAGUGAACCUCUUCUCCUCUGCAUAGGUGAUCAUGUUGUACCAAAUCCUACACAAGGACAACACAAAAAACAAAUCUUCAGGGUGGUAAUUUAGUACAGACAACCUAAUGAAUUGUAUAAACUCCAAAUUUUGUAAAACCUGAUCAUAACAAGUGGAAAAAAUAGUACUUGGCCAAUUCACAUUAAAUCAAUAGAAACCGGCAUUCAUGGUAUUCUACUGAAAAAUAACCCCUGGUCCUAAACUGAGAAAAAUAAAAAUGAGCAAGCCUCAAAAGCAACCUGCCUUGUCAGUCCCAAAAGGCUUAGCUAGACCUGGACCUCUACAUCUAAUUCAAGCCCCAAGAGGCUAAGGUUCUUUUUAUGGUGUGUAGAAAUAUUUGAUAACUCUAUAUUAUAGUUCAAAUAAGCACAUAAAGACAGAAUCCUACUGGAAUGUAUAAUAACAUCAAAUAUUCAUAGUAUACUACGUUAGUUUACUAUGGCAGUUCAUUUUCUUCUCUUUAUUACUUUAAUGUCGAAUUUUCAUAGCCGGUCAUCCUCUACAGCCGAUCCUAGACAUCACGAAUCGGACCAACUUAACCAAGUUGAGACCACCAGAGUAAAGCCUAGUUCAUCAUCACAUAACUGAACCAUCUAAUAGAUCACAUAAAUGGAAGUUCAGUUCUACCAGAUUGCUAAAUCUAUGGGAGCAACUGUCCAGGAAAGUGUAUAUAUCGGUAAAAAAAGACCAGCAACAUUUCGUGUUCCACUAUCAUGGGCUCAAUGAAAGAUACAGCUGGGCAAGGGGGUAGUGCAGCUCGGAGAGAGAGAAAGGUACCUACCUCAAAGGCCAGGUCGGAAUGGACGAAGACAGCAGUCCCCAUCUGCGGUGUCUUGUACGACACCGGACGAAAGAGCGCAUAGCCUCGUCGCCGACAUAAUGACAAAACUGGUGUUUGGCAUGGCCGCAAAGUUGCUUUAGAAGUGCAUCUUCAGAACAUAUGGCUUUAGGACCUUGGUGAUUGCAGGUGCCCUAGUUGGUGCGAGAAACCAAGUUGGCUAAUUAAGUUGAUCUAUGUAAGCCAGGACAUAGAAAAUGAGAGUUAGCCAAGAACACAUGCAGUGUUUCAUAAAAAACUGCACAAAUGGUUAUCCUUAGCACACAACAAAAAAGGUGGUAUAUGUUUCAGAUUCUAACUCAAGGAUUGCAUACAAAUGUAUAAUGUAUCAUAAAAAGGGCACUCAAGUUUGAUGCUUAUUGUCAGUUGAACCCAAGGAAAUCAUGUUACAGUUUACAUCAUCAUAGUUCAUCAUUCUUGCAGUGACAAUUUCAGCAGUUGAGAAAGUGAUAAAGUGAUCCAGUAAGUAGUAAUCAAUUCAAAACCGAAUGCCUGAAAGUGAAGAAUUUUUAGUAUGCAGCAGUUAAGUCACUUAUAUGCUAGUACAAAGUGGACACACAGGAUAAGAUUUUUAGGAGUUCAUGGAAGACUAGUUGUGUUGGCCCCAGUGUCCCGCUUUCAGCCUUUUCUUCCUAAAGCUUUUAUUCAAGACUUGCAGCAAACCAUUUAAACAAGUCAACAUACUCCAAGCACUUGAACCCCAAGGAGAAAAACUGAAAGUGCUACUCCAACUAGACAUAAAUGAGGGUUAUUAAACCAGGCAAACAUCUUUGAAAGGAACAUCAAAACAAAUUCAGCAUGGAUGUUUUCUCAUUUGAGACUUGUAGAACUUCCUAACGAUGCCACAAGCAGGAAAUGAAAUUUUAACUUUAAGAAUAUUGUAUUAGGUAGACAUGUUGUCCUUUGAAUGCCAUCAUUAUCUUCUUCCGUGGCAUAUAAAGUUAGGUGUGGACAUGGGUUUCAUUGUUCUGGAAGAAGCAUUCGGCACAGACCCCUGUAAGGUUCUGAAGAUGAGCAAGAACGACUCGUUCUUCCUUAACAUAGGAGGGAAUUAGAGGGAGCAGGGUAGAGAGGAACGAAAAUGAGCUUACCUACGCUGGAGUUGGUUCUGUCCACCAGAGGCGAAGGGAGAGCCGAGCCGCAUGUCGGGUAAGAGCAGCAGGGGCGCGGUCGGCGACCCGGUGCGACUAGCGUUCGCCAUCUCCGCCUCCGUCUGGCUGCUACGCGCCUCUCGUGGAUAACCAUGUAGGCUAGUUAAGCUAAUCUGCGUAAGCCAGGACAUAGGAAAUCAAAUUUAGGCAACACAUGCUAUGUUUCAGAAAACUGCAGAAAUUGUUGUCCUUAGUACAUAAAAAACUAGGUGUUAUAUGUUUCAGAUUCUAACUCUAGGAUUGCGUACAAAUGUAUAAUGUAUAUCACACAAAGGGCAUUCAAGUUUGAUGCUUAUCGUCAGGUGAAUCCAGGGAAAGCAUGUUACAGUAUACAUAAUCAUAGUUCAUCAUUCUUGAAGUGACAAUUUCAGGAGUUGAGAAAGUGAGAAGGUGAUCCAAUAAAUAGUAAUCAAUUCAAUACGCUAUUGGCUAAAAGUGAAGAAUUAUUAGUUAGCACACUAUAUAGACACACAGUAUAACAUUUUGAAGAAUCCGUAACAGACUAGCUGGUUGGUCCCAGUGUCCCACUUUCAGCCUUUUUUCCUAAAGCUUUUAUUCAAGACUUAAAGCAAACCAUUUAAACAAGUAGACAUACUCCAAGCACAAAGUUGGGACGUGGGAGUGGCCAAAGAGCUGGAAAUUUCUUUAAUCAAUAAGUAUUUUGCUUCUACAGAAAUCAAUAAAAAUACAAAACUUCCACCGAUAUAUUCAAUACAAGAAGGCCCUCGAUUAACGCUAAGGCAUAUUGCACUGGCAUAUCCAGGGUUGAAUUCCAGACUAAACUGAGAAACCCUUGAGUUCAAAAUGAAUAAGCAAAGAAUUUUCAUGCACAAGAAAACAGACAAGGAAUGUUCACUUCAAGAAACCAUAAAUGGAAGAUUAAGCAAAUCCACUUGUGUUGUAACAAACACUAACGAAGUUGUCUUAUCAUUUGAGACUUCCAGCACUUGCUUACAGUACCACAAGCAGGCAAUGAAAAUUUUACUCUAGGAACACUACCGGGUAGGCAUCUUAUCAUUUUCUUCCAUACAAUAAACAAUUGGGCAUGUGGACAGGGCAGGAUGCAACUUGCUUCUUCAGAGGAUAAACUUUUCAUGCACAUUACAAACACUAUCAGAUAAAUUUAUUCCUUUAUUAUGUACUUAAAGCUGAAUAACAUUUUAUUCCGUUACAACUAACGCCAUUUAAUCAAAGGAAAACUUUCAGAUCCACAAAUAAGCAGUGAAAGCACAUAUGUUAGGCAGGGUUGGUAAAGACAGUUGAAAAUCAAAGGUUGUUCAUCUCCAGCCUCAGAAGUUCGUCGACGUAAAUUAAAGCACAUACAUAGCAGAUUUAACUGGAAUCAAAAUCACAAGGCAACUCUCUCUCUCUCUCUCUCUCUCACACACACACACACACACAAACACAACCCUGAAAUUCAUUUUUGCUAAAAGAGGAGAAAAGAGAGGGAAGACAGCAAGUGAGACUCACCAUUGCAGUUGAAGUACGAGAUGGACUCGCUGGUGCGGGGCGUGCACCACACGUCAGUCUGUCUCAUCCUACCUGACCUGCAUGAGGAAGAAAACCGCACAACAUCAGGGAAAGGGGAGAUGAGCAAAUCGAAUGGAAUCAAACCAAGCGCAAGCGGACAGUGCAACUCAGAGAGAGACAGGUACCUCUCAGUGGCCAGGUGGGAAUGGACUACAACAGCAAUCCCCAUCUGCGGUGUCUUGUACGACACCGGAUGGAAGAGCGCACAGCCCCAUCUAGAGCUCACUGCCAAUCUAACUUGAUUUUUAUAAUAUCUUUCUUUUUUGGGGGAAAAAGAUAGACCUAUUGCGCAAAUGAAUCUUAAUCAUUCACUGUCCUCUUGAAUAAGAUUCAAGAAUGAAUCUGACUUAUUUGGUAAAUGAAACAAAAUUACUGUUUAACAUGCAUAUAUCAUACAGGUCAUGCCAUUUGUCCAAACAAUGAGGAAAGGUCCAUCUUUUAACUGCCACCAACGAAAUUACCUAUCUCUAGAAAUCUAUGGUCCAGUUGGUUACCAUUGCAACUCUAGCUAGGAAAUAUAUAUUGCACAUCCACCAACAACAGGAACACCAGCACAAACAAAAUGGAGAUUACAAACACCUAAACAAGGCCCUUCUUGGCCCAUGAUGUAAUUCAACAAUUGAGAAAGUGACAAAGUGAUCCAGUAAAUAGUAAGCAGCAGGAAUGAUACCACAAGCAGGAAAUCAAAGCUUUACUUUAGGAAUAUUGUAUCAGGUAGACAUGUUGUCCUUGAAUGCCACCAUUCUCUUCUGACGUGGCAUAUAAAGUUAGGUUUGGCGAAAGUGUUGGAAAUUGCUCUAAUCGAGAAGUAUUUUUCUUCAACAAAUUUUUAAUAAAGAUACAAAAAAGGCAUUCAAGUUUGAUGCUUAUCGUCAGUUGAAUACAAGGAAAGCAUGUUACAGUUUACAUCAUCCUAGUUCAUCAUUCUUGCAGUGACAAAGUGAUCCAGUAAAUAGUAAUCAAUCCAAAACUUUAUGGCUGAAAGUGAAGAAUUUUUAGAAUGCAGCAGUUAAGUUACUGAUAUGUUAGAUAUAACAUUUUUAAGAGUCCAUAACAUACUAGUUGGUUGGUCCCAGUGUCAUACUUUCAGCCUUUUCUUCCUAAAGCUUUUAUUCUAGACUUAAAGUGAACCAAACAAGUAGACAUACUCCAAGCAGUGGACCGUAAGGAGAAAAACUGAAAGUGCUACUCCUAGAUGUAAACGAGAGUUACUAAACUAUACAAACAUCUUUGGAAGGAACAUCAUAACAACUUCAGCAUGUAUGUUUUCUCAUCUCAGACUUGCAGAACUUCGUAACGACACCACAAGCAGGAAAUGAAAGUAUCACUUUAGGAAGAUUGUAUCAGGUAGACAUGCUGUCCUUUGAAUUCCACCAUUUUCUUCUUCUGUGGCAUAUAAAUUUAGGUGUGGCCAAAGUGCUGGAAAUUGCUCUAGUCAAGAACUAUUUUGCUUCUAUGAAAUUGUAAUAAAGAUAUGAAAACUCCCACCAAUAUAUUCAACACUAAAAGGGCUUAACUAAAGCUAAAGCAUGUUGCAUUGACAUAUUCAGGGCUGAUUCCAGAUUGAACUAUGGAACCCCUUGAGAUCACAAUGAGUAAGCAAGAACUAUCCUACGCAAGAAAACCAACAAAGAAUGUUUUCCUGAAGAAACUAUAACUUGGAGGUUGAACUAAAUCCACCUAUGUGGUCACAAGCACUGAUGAAAGUCGUCUUAUCAUCUGAGGCUCGCAGAACUUGCUAACAAUGCCACAAGCAGGAAAUGGCAAUUUUACUCUAGGAAGACUAUCAGGUAGGCAUCUUAUCUUUCUCUUCCAUGUAAUAAACAGUUGGGCAUGAGCACAAGGCAGGAUGCAACUUGCUUCUUCAAAGGAUAAAAUUUCCAGGCACAUUACGAACACUAUCAGGUAAAUGAAUUCCUUUAUAUACUUUAUAUGCUAGUCAAUGCAUUCUAUUCCGUCACAACGAAUUCCAUUUCAUCAAAGGAAAACUUUUAGAUCCACGAAUAACCAGUGUAAGCAGAUAACUUUGGCAGGUUUAAUAAAGAUAGAAGACAAACAACGGUUGUUCAUAUAAAGCAUCAGAAAUUACACGAUUCAACUCGAUGGCGUAAAUUAAAGCACAUACAUAGCAUACCUCUCUCUCUCUCUCUCUUCAUACACACACACAAAAAAAAAACUGCAGCACGGAUUUGCCAAGGUCAAUGAUGACCGGCUUCGCCCUCUGAAAUAGGCACGUACAGUACAUAUUCACAAUGCCAUAUGUUUACAUCCAGCCACAUCGCGCAAAAAAACGGAGUUCAUCUACAAAAGGCCUACUCCUUAACAUUAUAUCACACAGACUGAACUACUUACUACUAGCACAACCAUGAAUCUCUAGAUAUAGAAGUAAAACUUUGUUGAUUCAUGACAUCCACAGAAGACAAAGAAAGGCUAACAUCCUUAGAAGUUACAAACAGCAGGGAACAUUUCAUAGCUCUGCGUCUCCCUCCGUCUCUCUUACUCACACACACACAGCAGAGCAGACUGAAAACUCAAAUGCAUUUUUGCUCUCGGAUGGAGAGAAAAGAGAGGGAGGACCACAAGAGAGACUCACCAUCACAGUUGAAGUAGGAGAUGGACUCGCUGGUGCGGCGCGCGCACCACACGUCAGUCUUUCUCCUUCUACCUGACCUGCAUGAGGAAGAAAACCGCACAACAUCAGGGAAAGGGGAGAUGAGCAAAUCGAAUGGAAUCAAACCAAGCGCAAGCGGAUAGUGCAGCUAAGAGAGGAGAAAGGUAUCUCACAGUGGCCAGGUGGGAAUGGACUACAAGAGCAAUCCCCAUCUGUGGUGUCUUGUACAGGACCAGAGAGAUGAGCAUACGGACCCAUCUAGAGCUCACUGCCAAUCUAACUUGAGUUUUCUACUAUCAUCUUCUUUGGGGGAAUAAGAUAGACCUGUUGUCCAAAUGAAUCUUAGUCAUUCACUGUCCUCUUGAAUAAGCUUGAAAAUGAAAUCUGACUUAUUUGAUAAAUGAAACAAAAAUACUGAUUAACAUGCAUAUAUCUACAGGUCAUGUCAUUUAUCCAAACGAUGUUGAAAGGUCCAUUUUUUGACUGCCACCAAUGAAAUUACCUAUCUUUAUAAGUCGAUGAUCCAGUUGGUUACCACUACAACUCUAGCUAGGAAAUACAUACUGCUCAUCCACCAACAGGAAGACCAGCACAUGGUGCACAUCCACCUACAGGAAGACCCGCACAUGGUGCACAUCCACCUACAGAAAGGACGAGAACAUUACCUGAACAUUGGCUGUUGUUUGGCAUGGUUGCCCCCUCGCCUUGUUGCACCUCUCUGUGUCGUCGUGCUCCAGAUCAUGCGCGCUGCAGUACUCUUGCACAUCGGCGCGCUCGGUCUCGCGGGCCACAGCCUUGCAGCCUCGCUGACUUGCACCUGACUUAUUUGGCAAAUGAAACAAAAUUACGAAAUAGCACACAUAUAUAUCUACAGGUCAUGUCGAUUGUCUGAACAAUGAGGAAAGGUCCAGUUUUUUUAUGGCCACAAACUAACCAACGAGAUUAGCCAUCUCUAUAAAUCUCUGCACCAGUUGGUUACCACAGGAAAUAUAUGGUUUGCAGGAAGCCGUGAACAGGGUACAGGAAGUGGAGCGAGAAGAUUACCAUGAACGCGGUGUUGUUUGGCAUGGUCACCGCUUCGCCUUGCUGCUCCCUCGUGUGCGCCUUGUUGCACCCGCGUGUGCUCCUGCACAUCCGCGUCCUCGGGGGUCGCAGCCUUGCGCCGCCGCACCUGUGCACUAUAGUCUGCUGCGUGCCUUCUUAGAGAAGAUGAGACAUCAGAGAGAGAGAGAGAGAGAGAGAGAGAGAAGAUGCAUACCCGUCCCUUGUCGAGGUCUUGAAGGAGAGGGAUCCCGAGCUCGGUCGCCAUGGCCGCAGGCUAGGGUUUCGGGCGCGGGGAGCGAGAGACGGAGAGCCGUGGAGGUUGGACGCGGCGGGUGGCUAGGAGGGGUGGAAGGAGGAACGCGGUAGCGGUGGUUGCCGCGGCCUGUGGAUCUAGGGCUUCCCUCCGAGAAAGAAGAGAGGGGGGGAGAGGAGAAGGUUGGGGGCGCCAGCGGCGCGGUGCAAGGCGGUGGCGGAGGCGGGAGGUCGCCGGUGGGGUGGGGAGAGGAGGUCGGCGGCGGCGGCGGAUUGAAUCGAGGGGAUAUGAGGCGAGGAGGAAGACAGAAGAGAAGGAAGCGGCGGAUUGGGUUUGGAUUUGGGCCAAAGAGAUUGUUUUUGGUUGGUUGGUUGGUUGUGUUGGAUACUUUUUCACAUUCAUCUUUUGAACCAAAUCUUUCAGAGAGGGUGGGAGAAUUCCCACACUUUCGCUUGAUUGAACCAAAUAUUCAUGAAAGCGCGGGAGCGGUCCAAUAUCUCGGUGCCAAAAUAUGGAAGCGGCGAGGUGGGUUGGGUUUGGCGCUAGUUAUCCAUCCAACGAUGCCAAGUGGCCUCACUUUAUUGGUCACUCUUGACCUCCCACGGAUUGAUCAUCCCUCUCCAUCAGAUCCCAACUUUCCUACUAGAUUCGACGGUGGAUACCUCGCGUCACGUGGAUCAUGCUCCCUGCUCUCAGUAAAACCCGACGACCGGCUCUCACAUGAAUUUCUUCUUCAUUUAUUGUUGUAAAUCUGGAAAAAAAUCUAGAAAACAAGUUUGAUAUAAAUGUAUGGAACUAAAAUAUGUUGAAUUUUUUUACCAUAGCCACUAUUAUUUUUUCAUCAUGUGGGACCCACACUUGUGCUUCAAAGUAGCACCAGGAUCUUCAUGAUAGAGAGUCUCUCAUUUUGUCAUUUUCAUUUACUAGUGGGAAUUUUUCAUUAUAGAACUUGGCUUGUAUAUUCCAAUGAUGGGCUUCCUCAAAAUGCCCUAGGUCUUCAUGAGCAAGCGAGUUGGAUGCACACCCACUUAGUUUCUUUUGUUGAGCUUUCAUAUACUUAUAGCUCUAGUGCAUCCGUUGCAUGGCAAUCCCUACUCACUCACAUUGAUAUCUAUUGAUGGGCAUCUCCAUAGCCCGUUGAUAUGCCUAGUUGAUGUGAGACUAUCUUCUCUCCUUUUGUCUUCUCCACAACCACCAUUCUAUUCCACAUAUAGUGCUAUAUCCAUGGCUCACACUCAUGUAUUGCGUGAAGAUUGAAAAAGUUUUGAAAAUGUUAAAGUAUGAAACAAUUGCUUGGCUUGUCAUCGGGGUUGUGCAUGAUUUAAAUACUUUGUGUGGGGAAGACGGAGCAUAGCCAGACUAUAUGAUUUUGUAGGGAUAACUUUCUUUGGCCAUGUUAUUUUGAGAAGACAUGAUUGCUCUGCAAGUGAUAAGGCUUCUCUACAUGCCAUGCAUUCAAGAAUCGCUAUGUCCUGCAUCCCUUCAAUCACCAAUGCUGAGCUUCCCAGGUAAUUUCCCUGUUCAUCGCGACAGACAGCCACCGCCGCCCCUCUUCCAUAGCGUUUAGAUACCCCCGCGUCGACAUGGAUUUUGACGAAUCCUGUCGGCGGUGCCAUUGGCCUUACACUGCCUGUUGCUGCUGUCCUGGGUGCUGCUGCUCUCGGUGUUGCAUGUUAUUGCUCUUUGACUAUCUCCAGCUCAACUAGAUAGCGAUUAAUGAAUGCGUGGGUCGCGUGGGGGCUCUAGAAAAUGCCUUCGUGAAUUGCCUUUCUCCCCGCUAUCCACGUUGCCCACAGUGUUACCGCCAGUUUCACAAAAGCCUCAUGCGAUAAUGAUCGUAUUAAUGAAAACAGCCACUGUUUAGCGCUCAGCUCGCUUGAUUCCAUCAACUGGUCCGCUAACUCCUCAUCCGCCAGUGCCCAGACGCACCUGGACAUAGAGCAGUCCAGAAGAGAGUGCCUCCAAGAAUCAUGUGCACCACACAAUCCGCACGAACUUGAAGUCGCCAUGUUUCGAUGUUCCCUGACAUCCUCCGUGGGUAAUGAGUGCCUCGCAAGUCGCCAUAGGAACAUCCUUAUUUUCCCCGGGACGCUGACAUGCCAUAUGGACUUCCACGAACUCUUUUCUUGCUGCAUAUUUGAAGCUCCUGCUGUCCCUUCGAGCCAUGCUUCUCUUCUUUGCUUUGUUGCUAUUAACAUCUUAUACGCGGAACGUACUGAGAAGGCGCCAUUCUUUUCAAAAUUCCAGCACCAGCAGUCUGGAAGAUUCAUAGUGCAUAGCGGGAUGCUAAGAACAUGAGGUAUAUCUAUGGGCAAAAGAACUUCUCUGAUCCCUCAAUAUUCCAGCACGCCACCGUAGCGUCUAUUAAUUCAGAAACAUUUUCUGGGGGGUUUGCAACUCUGCUUCUAUAAGGUCUCAGGAAUUCAUCUCCUGGGAUCCAAUUAUCAUUCCAAAUAUUAGUGCUUGCACCAUUGCCAAUCCUUCUAAUUAGACCUUGUUUCAAUAUAUCUCUUCCUUCGACUAUUGCCCUCCAGAUUUGGCUCGGGUGGCUGCCGAUGUUGGCUUCUAGUAUUGUUGUAUUUGGGAAGUAAACUCCUUUCAAGAUUCGGGAGCUCAGAGCGUCUGGAUUUUUCAGAAUCCGCCAUGCCUGCCUAGCAAGCAAGGCUAGGUUAAAAAGCUUGAAGUCCUUAAACCCUAAUCCUCCCAUAUCUUUGGGUUGCGUCAUAUCCUUCCAGGAUACCCAGUUUGGCUUUCGCUUGCCAUCUCUACUCCCCCACCAAAACUUGCGGAGUAGCAUGUUCAAGUGUUCACAUAGCCCCCGCGGCAAUUUGAAGCAAGACAUUGAAAAAACUGGGAUAACCUGCGCAACAGACUUGACCAACACUUCUUUACCUGCCGUGGACAUGGUUUUCUCUAUCCACCCUUGGAUCUUGUUCCACAAACGGUCCUUGAGAUAUUUAAAGGCCCCAUUCCGUGACGAGCCCACAUCCGAUGGCAUGCCGAGAUAUUUCUCAUUAAGUGUCUCCUUGGGUACAUGUAGUAACUCUUUUAAUUUUGAGAAAUCUUCAAUAUUUUUUUUCAAACCUGGAUCUCCAGGACCGAAGCAGGAUGCUCUAUCCACUGGGCCAUCUCAAUCCUUCUAGAGGAAAGUAUCAUUUUCCCCCUGAAAUCCUCUGCAAUGGACCAAUUUCCCCCUCAACUCUAAUACUGGAUCAAUCAGCCCCUCAAAUCUGUAAAACCGGAUCAAUUCUCCCCUAAGGUGGUUUCAGACUUGAUUUGGAGUGGUUUUCACCCAUACCAUGCAUUUCUCUGGAUUGACCGUGCACUUCACUUCAUAACAGUUUGGGUGGAGAUGACUGCUUCAGUGCGUCGAGCUCGCCUCCGUGGCCGGCAUGCUCGCCGCUCGUUGUCUUCUUGGUCUCCACCAGGCUGCCGCUGAUGUACUCCCACCCGAUACCUACAACGUCGUGCCGCUGCUCAGGUCCAACCGCCCGCAAGGGAACCGCUCUGUGUGCCUCGCACCACCCGGAUUGGUGCCCCGCUUGGACGUCGUAGAAGAUGAGCUGCAUCAGCAUCGUGGACGCGCGCAUCCGGCGGCCCGCUAUCACGCCCUUGUGCCAGGCUUGCAUCCUCUUCCUCCGGCAAGCGGCGAUGGUGUUCGAGGUGGCAGCCUUGCGGGCAUCAUUUUGAUGAGCGUCUCCAGCGUGUCGGGGUUGUUGGACGACGGCGGCGACGAGAUCUUGUCGGCUCCGAGCUCUGUCAUAGGCUGUUGCGGCGGAGACGGCUCGGGGCCCCGGUGCCGGCCGCAUUUUCUCGCCGGUCUGCGUGGCCGCUGCGCGCGGUGGCCACUCAGUACUGGCCGAGGUUGAAGCAGCUCUAGUUCUUGCGCCGACCGUGAGCCCUGCUAAUGGCCGCUUUGGGCAGCUUGUUCUCGUUCCCGGCCUGGCAGCUCGAGGUGGAGGAGGACGAGGAUGAGCAGGCAAAGGCGUCGCGCGGGUAGGCUGGCGCGGGAAGGAGGCGGAGCAGCUCGGAGCCCUUGAGCACGUACUCGACGCCGCUGGCAGGUGCACGGGAUCGUUGGCGGUGAGUCGUGCCAGACGUAGCCGGUCUUGUAACUCUGCUUGGAGGACCAAGAGUAGGCGUCUGCCAUGCCAGCGCCCCGGAGCACAGUCAGCCUAGUCAACGAGUCCAGUCAGCGAGAAGUGCACGGUCUGGGUCCAAACCACUCAAAAUCAAGUCCAAAACCACCAUAGGGGGAAUCGAUCCGGUUUUAAAGAUUUGAGGGGCUGAUUGAUCCGGUAUUAGAGUUGAGGGGAAAAUUGGUCCAUUAGAAAGGAUUUCAGGGGGAAAACGAUACUUUCCUCAUCCUUCUACUAUAAAAUAGUGGGAUUUUACAGUAUUGUAAUGGACCAAUUACAAUGCCGGGCCGGCCCGUUUGGCCAGCUCUAGUAGUCAUUGGAUGGGAAGACGGGACACGUGGGCGCAUCUAGGCAAGGGUAUGCACGGGAUCGAGUUGGCUACCGGCAUCCAAGAAUUUUUUUUCCCUCCCCGCGCCAGACCUAGCGAUGACUCCUCCCCGCGGCGAGAAGCUUCAGGCGGCGGCGGCGGCGCAGGUAGGGUUUUCCCACUCCCUGGCCCUCAUCCUCCCCGUCCUCUCUACGCCGGCUGCGGAUCUUUAACCAUCGGCGGCAGCGGAUCUUCAACCCCCGUCGGUGGCGCAGUUAGGUUCCCACUCCCUCGCCCUCCGACUCCGAUCUCCGGCGGCGGCGGAUCUUCAAGCCCCGGCGGCCUAUGUCGCUGGCCGGCGCAGCCACUCCUCCCGCCCCGUCUCGCUGGCCGGCGCAGCCACUCCUCCCGCCCCGUCUCGCUGGCCGGCGCAGCCCCUCCACCCGCCCAUCUCGCUGCCCGGCGCGGCCCCCAUCCGGACCAUCUUGCUGGCCGACGCUGCCCCUCGAUCCCGCCCUUCUUCUUCCCCUUCUCUCUGACAUCUUCUUCUUCGCCUUCCUCUUCCAUGUUCUUCUUCCCCUUCUUUCUCUUCUUUUCCUUGCCCAGCCAGUCCCCUUCUAAGUUCCUCCUCUUCCCUUGUUCCUAUUCUUCCUCUUUUCUCCAUUUUCCAAUUAAUUUACUAACCAUAGAUUCAUGCUUUGCAGGUCUCACAGGUCAUGCUGAUAAGGGGAACCCCGGGAGGCCGAGUUAAGGUACGAGCUGCUCAUUGAUUUAAUGAAGGGAGCCAUGCUAAAUUGUCAUAGAUUAGAUGAUGCAUGCUGAUAUAUCAUAUAUGGGGAUAAUUGACGAUAACCCCCCUUGUUGGAAAAUCCUUGAUCAUAUACCCCCCGCCUCUGUCUCUGACGUGUAGGGUUUAAGUGGCCUAGGGGGGUUAUCAUUAUAUGCUCUAUAUUGUUGUGUGCUGGUCAUGGGUGAUUGAUGAAUGCUUAUGUGAUGUGAUGGUGAAAAAAAUGUGUGAACCUCAAAUAGUGCUCUAUGUUGUAUUGAGAAUUAAAUUUAGCAUAAAACUGACAUGAUGUGUAUGCAUUGUAGUUGCAUCAUAUCUCAAGUGGAUUUGGUCGCUUCUAUUACCAAAGAAAACAAAAGAAGAAAAAGGAAAUGAUUAUAUUUCUCUUCAGUCACUUUCGUUUAAUCUUGUCUACCUUUUUUAUUAUUUAGUUAGUUAUGUGAUUUUUUGGAAAAACAUAACAUGCUGGAUGCAGUGGAGUGUCAUUCUUUAGUUUCAUCAGUCAGCUUUAUUUGGUUCCUCGUUCUCAUUCUUCAGUCAUCUCCCUUGGUCAAUGUGACUUGUCAUUCUUCAGUCUUUCACCUGCUGAUUUAGGAUAAUGUAGCUGAUCAACUUGUUCCAUUAUCAGAUCUGUUGCAUAUACUAAUGCUACUGUAUUUUAUGAUUUUGCUUCAGUCAUAGUCCUAUCAGGCCAGCAGCUCCAGCAGCAACUUUCCCGAGUUGCCAGGUCCACAACACUUGUAGAAGAUAUGCUCUCUGGUGCAGGUCUUCCUGCUCUUCUCCCCAUUUCAUUCUUUAUGAAAUUAGAUGAGAAUUACAUCCACAUACUUACAUGGUCUUUAUUACUUGUCAUCUAGGAUGAAGGCUAAAUUUCUGUCCGGAAUGUUGUAUUCAACGUUUCGCCUGGGCCGUUCUUCUGUGCACCCCGGCUGCCAUGGAAAAUCUACAAGAAAAUUUUCAGAGAAGGCAUCUGGUCCAGUGACUCAAAGAAUGUACGUACACUCAGCCACAAAAUUAUCUUUCAAUUGUAGCUGAUAGCUUCCAUGUCACAUAUUGUGACAACAUCAUCGACUAAAUCAUUUCAUUGUUGCACAAGGUCACCGCCCAGAAACUUAUGUCACUCUCACUCCCAACAACACCGACCACCGCUGUCCCCUCCUACCCACAAUCCUCCUUCCUUGCCCUCCUCCGAUCCCUAUCUCUGUUCCUCUACAUGCCCAAGUAGCUAUGCCCACAGCUACCUCUCCCAUGCCCUUACAUGUGAAGGCUAUUGCAUUGGCAGCUUUGCAGCAGCAUCGCCGCAGAACGUGCUGCUGGGAAAAGGUACACUAAGCUGGUAUAGACCAUGCCAGUCAAAGUAGUAUACAUGGCACCACGUCAGCUAGAGUCAAGGGCGCACUUUGUCCAGUUUUAGCGUCAAGGAGUGAAAUUUUGGACUUUGCGAAGAGUUGAACGAAAAAUUGGCACCUGCGGCCUCAACACCCCAUCUUCAUGGGAACGCUGACUGACUCAGAGAAUGGUGGGUCUGUGUAGCGUGUAGAAGCGUCCUAGAGGGGGAUACAGCUGUGUGCAGCAAGUCAAAUGCCAUAUAGAAGUUGAACAAUGCAUGUGUUGUUGCAAUUUCGGAGUAAGCGGAUUACUGCAAACCUUUGUGGUGUUAGUCUACACAGUCCAUGUGUUACUUUGAUUGGAUUGUGAGUAUUCGCGAUGCACUGCGGACCUUUGUGUUGUUAGUAUACACAGUACACGUGCUACUCUGUUUAUCAUUGGUAUUUGCAGCAUUACAAUUAAGAAGACAUGUUUGACUUUUUUUUUGACAUGGAACACUCGUAUUCCAUUAAUACACGGCUAAAUCGCCGGUUACAGCACGGGUUACAUCAUCAGGAUAGUUUGAAAUCCAGUGACUCGAAGCACCAACCGGUGAUCCCGCACCAAAAGCCGCCAACACAUGUGCUGGCUUGUUACUUUCACGUGGUGUGUGCACUACAAUAGACUGAAGAAAUUGUGUGGCAAGCUUUAGCUUGAUAUCUUGAAACACCUGACCCAGAGGAGACAUAUCAUAGGCAUCCGAUGACACGGCUUGCUGAAGAACGAGGCAAUCAGUCUCAAAAUGAACUCUUCCCACCCCCAUUUGGUCAGCAAGGGCUAUCGCGUUCAGCAAGGCCACUGUUUCUGCAUGUAGAGCGCUCGAUAAAAAUUGAGAUGAGCCAGCUGCAACAAAAUUCGUAUCACAUGAAGCAUCUCUGCAGACUAACCCCCAAUCCCCAUUGCCAGAUUGAUCUUUGUAGGCGCCAUCAAUGUUUAUCUUCCAAGUUUGGUGCAUGGUCAUCUGAUCGGCUGGCUCUUUAUUUAAAAAAUCCUUCCACUCAUUUACAUGUAAGCGUACAGAAUAUUGGAUUUCCUCUAUUGUUGCUCUGCGUUCACCAUGGUUUCCACGAUUUCUUUCAUGCCACCAAGACCAAAGGAGAGCAACAGUGGGCAUUCUCUGUACCUCAGGCAGUCGGGUAAUAGCAUGCACUACAUCCUUUGCCGAGACAAGUUGUGCAAGAUGCAAUCUCACCUCCUCCAACUGCAGUGCUCGCCAGCAUGGUUUCACCAUUUUACAGUUCAGAAAUAAAUGCCCCCCAUCUUCAAACAGCCGACCACAGACGGCACACCGCGUGUCAAGCUCAAUACCCUUCCUACUAAUGUUCAUGUAUAAUGGGUGACUGUUAUGAGCAAGUCUCCAUAAGAAAUGAUGCACCUUUGGGGGACACUUUUGCUUCCAUAUUGACUUGAAUAGCUCAGCAUCCCGUUCAUCAUUAGAUGAGCUUUCCCCCCUUUGCCUGUUAGACUCUCUCUUCAACAUUGCCACAUGCGCCUUAUAUGCAGACUUAACUGAGAAAAUGCCUUUACUGUCGAGGUGCCAAGCUAAAAAAUCUCUGGCCUGAUCAUUGACGGGGAUGCUCAGAAUGUAUGGCACGUCAUCUUGGUGAAAACAGUCUUCCACGAGAGCUUGAUCCCAGGUUCCGGUGGAAGGAUCAAUUAAUUCACAAACCCUGGUAAAUAAACUUUGUCCACGAGGGUUAGAGGGCCGACGAGUCACUCCCCUUGGAAUCCAAGGAUCUUCCCAAAUGUGGACAUCUGUCCGUCCCCGAUUCUCCAGAUCAUCCCCUCCUUAAGCAGAUCAAUGCAUGUUUGACUUGAUAGAUGCUAGCUUGGCCGUAUCUUGCUAGCUAGGAGGUGGUCAAGCACCAUACAUCAUUACCUUAGCAAGCACAGUAAUGGAAGAUAUCAGUACAUUAUUUCAUAGAUGUCAUGCAGUGUUUCGUUUUGCUGUUUGCUCUUUCUUUUGCACUAUACGUGAUGCCUGAUGCAUUUGCAUGAUCAAACUGCAUGUGUUCUCUAUUGCUGUAGCUUUGGUGAUGACAUAGUUCUAACAAGAUUUGUCUCUCCUGUGUUGCAGGCAAUGUGCCAAGAAGUAUGAUCGCGCUGAGGAUUUGGUGUGUCCAGUACAAUACUUUAAAGAAGAGUUAGGGUUCCUAAAAUCUCUGGAUGAGAAUGAACUUCUCGGAGCAGCUGAAAAGAAAGGCAGGUCUGAGGUCAGGAUGGAGGUAGCGAGAGCAGCAAGAUCGCUGCCUGAGCUCAUCUUGAAGAGACAUGCUAUUGGAAUAGCCUGUGGUGACAGCCUGAAGCUAAGCAAUAUCAGGAUUUCGAGGUCUAUUGGCAAGUUCGUAUUUGUCGAACCCCCAAAACCUACGGAUAGAUGCCUUAGGCUCGUAGAUGACUUCAGCCGUGGGGCAGAUGUAUUGGAGGAGCUAGCAAGCUCAGUUUUGGGCCCUGGUGCUCGGAUGCCGAAGGUCUGGGAUGAUUUCCUUGACAAGUUAAGAGAGCAAUGCCCAAGAGUGCACAUCAUAAUGUAUCACUCACUCUUCUUGUCAUUGAAUCUGAGGUAUUGUCUAAGGGUCAUUGUGGAUCAGCGGUUCCGCAAGGACUUCGGUUCACUGAAGAAGGAGCAGAAGGAUGCUAUCCGGAAGUUCAUUGAAAAACUUGGCAUGACGCGCAAGGAGGAUCUGCCCUCGCUCCUGCUCAGGAAUGAGUUUCUGAAGUUUGUCUCGUUAAGGUCAAGAAAGGGCGCGCAGGGAAGACGCGGGAAAUCAAAUUCACAGCUGAGCACCCAGGAGGCAGUCUGGAGUGACAAAGGCCGAUCCAUCAUAGCCUUCAACAGAGAUGGCGUCGUCCAUGGUUGCAAGGACGAUCCGAAUGACAAGGAGAUAGCAGCUAUGCCCAACAUCCAGAAGCACUGGAGGACUCAGGAGAAUGUCAUCCAGUUACUGUGUGAGGAGUUUGAGCUUCUUGAUCAGUCAUACAUCGAGCUGUGUGAUGACGAUGAGAAGAUACUGUGGAAACUGGUGAGAAUAUGGGAGCUCUUUGGCGAGACUGAAGGCUAUUGGCAGGCUGCCAUUGCUGCAUUACAUGAAGAGUCAAAAGCUUCACUGGCGAACGGUUCAACCAAGUGUGAGGUGGAGUAGUUUCUUUAUUCUGGUUCUGGUGUUGAGUGCCUUGUAAGUAGGCUCCGUGGCUUUUUGACCAGGAUGCUGUGUGUUGAUGCUGCUCUUUUGUCAUGUGUGUAGGUGGCUCUUUGCAUGUAAGAGUAACAGUUUACUCUCAGUUUAGGUUGUUCCCCGUAAUGAGAAUUUGCUAGUAGGUUUGGAUCAUUCUCCGAGUCCGAGCUGCCUCUGUUGAGUUGUAUCCUGAUGGUAAUUUGGUGCAGUCUUGAACCUGUCGAGUUGUAUCCUGAUGGUAAUUUGGUGCAGUCUUGAACCUGUCGUGUCGAUGAUGAUAUGUCUGACUACUCUGUUGAGUUGUGUUCUGAAGGUGAUAUUUUGGUGCACUGUUGCACGAAAUAAGUUGCAAUUUGUGGUCAUUCGCAGUUUGGCUGGUUGUCUCUUUUGCCUCCGUCCUAAAAUGCAAGAUAUGUUUUUACACUGAUAGUGUCAAAAAAAAUAUCUUUCAUUUUGGGACGGAGGGAGUAGUAGAGUAAACUACGACUACUCAUUUUACUUUAUGAUGAGAGUAUAAGAAAUGCACCUAUGAGUUUCCGAUAUUUCAGCCUUGACAUGAGUGAUUGUAGUUUUGAGACCACUAGCUUAUCAAUGUAGACGAAAAUAUAUCAGUUGGUGAAUGAACGAACGCAUAUAUAGGCGAACAUCUCUCGCAGCACAGGCUUGUUUGCAAACUGACAAACAGAUGUUCGUUGCUCUCUCACCACAAUACAAGAGGACAGCAAGUGAUUGCGUUAACCUGGAAUCAACAAUUUAAGUACUGGAAAAUGGUUUCGUGCAGUCCGAAGGCACGGUGAGAGUGGAGAGAUGAACGCGGCGAUGAGCUCGACGAACGUGAUGGAACGGGGCAGCUACGACUGACUGCGGGGGACAAGACAAAGUUAUUUAGGUAAAAAAUCAUCACAGUUGAGACUAGGAUAACAAAUUGGUACUACAUUUGUGCCAGUGUACAAGAACCACCAACUCUAUGUCUAAUCUAUAACGCAGAGCAAUGAUUGUUGAAUUUGCUCGUGAAAACAACGAAACUGACAUCUUGGGCCCACCUGUCGGGUUGACAUGGCAAAGACCAGGCACACAAAAAAACAUUGAUCAGCUGAGGUGGCAAAUGAGACGCGGACCCCGCCCGCAUAUCAGUGACUACAUGAUCAUCUUCUUCCCAUCUCUCUUUCUAUGAGACAUUACAUCGAGCAGCUUGUGGGCGGGCAAACUGCAGCGACCAGUGGCAGCAGCGAUUCACCAUGGUGGUGGGGGAGAUGGGCGCAGUGAGUCCUCCAAGGCCGAUGCCGUUCCCGUCUGCGUGGACGCCCGAGCCAUCCUCGCUUGUUCGAGCCGAGAGCUCCAUGGCCACCAUGGCAUGGCAGCCGAGCCGCCUCAUCCUGUUGCCCGCACGCCUAGCAGCCGCGAUCCGCACCACUCUCGCGAGAUCCGGCACCAUAGUCGUGCCCGCGCGUCUCACCGCCGUCGACCGCCAGCUCUGGCGGCCACACCAGUCACUCCAGAGAGCUCUCUCCUACAGCUCGCCGGCGCGGCACGGCAACACCACUUCCUCCCAUGUCUACAUCUGGCCAAGUGGCUAGCGCCUCCCGCCGGAGCGGCACGACACCACAUCUGCCAAAGAAGGGGGAGGUAGUGGGACGAGCACAGCGAGAACCUCUUGCUCCCUCCUACAGCUCGCCGGCGAAGGACCUGGUCAUCGGGCAAGGAGAGAGAGAGGAUUUGGGGGAGAGAGAGACGGGGGAGGAGGAGAGUGGAACAGAUGAGAGGUCGACGGGUGGGGCCUUUGGCCACCUCAGCAAGUUAUCCAUGUAGACAUGCCAUGUCAUCUUGACUGGUGGUCUCCACCAGUCGGUUUCACUGUUUUCGCGAGUAAAUGAGAGAAUCGGUGCUUCGCGUUAAUCGUUAGGCGCAAAUUUGAUGGUUCUUCGUGCCCUGGUUCAUACGUGAUACCAAGUUGUCCCAACCGUGAUGGUUUUGGGUAAAUGAUUCGACGAGACAAGUAAACUGGAUGUGCAUGGUCACACACAUCGGCCGAAAUUAUUAGACCAUUAUUUUAGUAAAGGUCCACCAUAAUACUUUUUAUAAGAAAAGUCUAAAGUACCCUUAUGUAACACCUUGAUCUUUCCUUCGCAAGAUUGGACUCCUGUCUUUUUCUUUCGGUUUUGUUGUAUUUUCUCUUGAUCUUGGGCGUAGGAAGAUGGUUACAUGGCAAUGCCUUUCCUUCAAAUCAUAGAUUCUUCUCAUUCCAUCCUUGCCACCAAAAAAUGUAUUCUUAGGGUUUGCCGCCAAAACCGUGCUUUCCGAAGUAUCGGGAAGAAAACCCUAACUUCGAGAGUUAUAAAGGAGCCCUAACUUCCUUUGAUCCACUGCCUCCAAAAAUUCUCCCAGAGACUCUCCUGCAUCUAUAAACCCUGGAUAUGCAAAAAUAUUGAAGUCAUAUGCAAUAUUUCUCAUUUCAAAUUAAUUCCUUUUCCUGGCUGUGAAGGAAUUAAUUCCAGGAAAAUAUCUAUCCAUCUACAAUUUUUUUGGAAACUUGUGGAUAUAUUCCUUGUGUCUAUCUUGAUUUUCCUUUAUAGAAUCAAUAUUUCACUACUGUCUAUUUCUAAAGGAGCUACCUUUUUAGUUGCUUUAAAAUUUUUGAAUUAAUUUGUGGAGCUUCUCGUGGACCAACCUUCAUCAUUUUGAUCAAUAUAUCAAGAUCCAUAGUUGAAAUUCUGAGCAUAGCAUCCAUUCCCAAUUUUUGAAGGAAGUGCUUGAACCCUUGAUCCAUUUGAGCUAAUUUUGCACAGUGAUUAACAUUGACAGAUCUCUCAUGAAAACCAAAAUCCAGCCCUAUCCAUCCAGCCAAUCCUCCACAAAUAUUUGCCAAAGUUUCUGUACAGACUUAAACCUUGUGAAGGAAGUAUCCUAAAGGCUUCCCAUUUACCCUCAAAAUUUACCGGGGGUUUAUCUUGGUAAAUGAUUGCUAUCCACCAAAAAUGAGCUCAUUACCUUAAGCCAUUUAUUCUCAGAUAACUAUCAAAGCAAUUUGUCCAGAUUGGACUUUUGUGAAGCAAGUAUUAUUUCCCCUUAUCAUUUUGUUGUAAACCAUCACAGGGUGAUGGACCUUUCUAAAGUAUUUCUAGACACAAAAAAUCACAUAUUUUCACCAAGCUAAUCUUCCCCAGUACACCACAAACACAUGAUGUUCAUCAUCUAAGUCAUCUCAAAUCAGUCCAUUCUUGACUCCACUGCCAUCCAAGACAUGACAUAUCAACUCAUGGAUUAUUGAACGCACCAUAUAACGCAAUGCACGUGGUGACCGUGCAUGUGGCCUGCAUUAAUGGUGCUCUGCGCCGUGCCUCGCCUCGGCCGACAACUCCGGCCAGCCUCCUCUUGUCCCUGCGUGUCGAACACCUUCUCCAUCAAACACCCCCCCUCCGGACCCCUCUCCCCCUCAGCCACUUCCUCGCCGCGCCCCGGCAAGAUCCGCCGAAGCACUGUGCCCCCGUGAUUUCCCUUGUCCACUUCCCUGUGGCCUCUCCUUCCCCCGUGUUGUCAUGUCGCAUUGAUUGCAUCUUCAGGUCGGCAGAGCGCGUCCAAAUCCAGCUCACCGGAGCACUUGAUCUCCGGCCAGCUCUUCCGCCAUAUUUGUCGUGUCCUCUUGGGGCGCCCCCUCCCCUCUAUGUAUAGGUGGAGAGGCGCGGGAAACAACCCCUCCAAGCCCUAGGGCGCAGCCAAGGGGGAGAGGACUUGGACUCCAAGUCCAAUCCUAUUCCUACUAGGAAUCCCCCCUUUUUUUUCCUUCCCUAGCCACAUGGGCUUUUGAGGACUUGGUGCGCCUAGCCCAAUAAGGCCAGGGCACCUCCCUUCAGCCCAUGCCAUCCCUCGGGUCAUGGUGGACCCACUUGUGGACUUCUAUACCCCUCCGGAAUCCUCUAGGACCUUCUAGAAGCUUCAUGGUACAAUACCGAAAAAACUGCACCUUUUUUCGGAACCCAAAAUAUGACUUCUCAUAUAUAAAUCUUUACCUCUCGACCAUUCUGAGACUCCUCAUGACGUCCGGGAUCUCAUCCGGGACUUCGAACAAUAUUCGGUUACCAAUCAUCAAAUAUCCCGAUACUACUCUAGCGUCAACGAACGUUAAGUGUGUGACCCUGCGGGUCCGGGAAUCAUGUAGUGAGGGAGCUCUCUGUCGAGCCAAGAACUUCGGUUCCGAGGUAGUCUUCAUCAAGAGUACCGUCCUUGGCAUAGAAAACCAGUUCAGAGGCUACUGACAGUGUCCUGGAUUAGGGGGUGCUAACCUAGUCGGCCCAUGCUCCUUGGAUUGGACCGAUAGGCCCUCAGUCAUACGCAAGAAGGACUCUGGAGGCCGUACGCAGGAGGCGUGAUCGAUACUACAUCCAUCAAAGACUUGUCGUAUACUCGAAGAUAACUCAUGUCGCCUUGUGCCUAGAUGCCGACCUUGUGACCCUAGAUACCCUACAUGCAUGUAUAUAAGCCGUGGGGUUUAGCCCGUAGAGGGGACAUUAACGCAAUAUCAUUCACCUAGCCCUAGAGUUAGACCACAUCUUACGAUCCCGAGGUAGAUCAACUAUGUACUCGAUACAUCUCCAUUAAUAUAAACAAGAGUAGGACAUAGGGUUUUACCUCCAUCAAGAGGGACCAAAACUGGGUAAAACAUCGUCUCUCUGUUCCUAUUACCAUCUGUCCGAGAUCGACAUCUCGGGACCUCCUACCCCGAGGUCUGCUGGUUUUCACACCGACACCAGCCUUCUUAUCUACAACAUCUCAUAUGCUUCAUGGUGCUCAAAACGUCUUUGGAGCCCCGGUUCUAAGCCGUAAAGCAUGGCGUAUUGAACUAUUGUGUAGUCAUCAUUUCUUGUCUGCCAGACGUUCAUAGUGUGUAGAUUUGCGGGAGCGAGUGGCUCACCUAGCGGUGCAUCAAAAACAUAAGCCUUUUGUGCAGCAGUGAGGAUAGUCCUCAUAUUACCGACCCAGUCUGCAUAGUCUUUUAACCUUUUCUUUUUCUAGGAACGCAUUAAAAUUCAGACUAGCUACAGUGUGAGCCAUUGAUCUACAACAUAAAUUUUUAAAGAGAUUUAGAUUAAGUUCAUGAUAAUUGGUUUAGUUAAUCAAAAUACUAGUGAACUGCCACUUAAAUCAACAUCCCUUAAGUUGUGUAAGUGUUACAUGAUCCAAAUCAACUAACCCAUAUCCGAUCACCAUUUCAGAUGGGGUGGUCAUCAAUGGUGAACAUCUCCAUAUUGAUCAUAUCUACUAUAUGACUCAUGUUCGACCUUUCGGUCCUCCGUAUUCUGAGGCCAUGUCUGUAUAUUCUAGGCUCGUCAAGUUUAACCCAACUAUUACGCAUGUGUAAAACAUGAUUACAUCCGUUGUAUGUGAACGAAGAGUCUAUCAUACCUGAUCAUCACGAGGUGCUUCGAAAUGACAAACUUUUGCAACGGUUCAGCUGGUUCCCGUGCUACUGCUAGCCAUUUACCCCACGCUACUGCUAGCCAUUUUCCUAGUAGUGUAGGGGUGCACAUCUGACUAAACAAUUUUUUCCCUGUUGUUCAGACUAACUGACUGAAUGGGUUUAAAACAUGUAAGCUUUUUUUGAUGCAAUCUCGUGAAACUCUUUAUUAAAUUCUGAUAAUGUUUAUAGGGACGAACGUAAGAUCACCAGGAUGGCGCAUCCAUACAUGACGGCCGGUUCCUAGUGUAAGAGCAUGUUUCGCUAAAUUGUGAGCCUCAAUAUUCGAGAUUCCAUACGCAUAACUAAAAGAACAAGUACUACAUCGGUCUCAAAGUUGGAUUAAAAUUAAGACAUUUAUUGUGUAUUUUGAGACGGAUGGCGUAAUAGAUAAACUAGAGUGGUGUAAAAUUUCUAGAAGAAUGGCACCAUAAACCGCUGCACUCCCAUGCACUCCUCCUAUAUACACUACUCGCAAAAGAAGAAAGAAGUAUACAAAUCACCCCAAAAUCCAAUCUUUGGGAUUAGGGCUGGAAUUCGAGCCGAGUCGAGCCAGCUCGGCUCAACUCGCUAGAGCUCGUUUCGUUAACGAGCUAGCUCGACUCGACUCGUUACUAUAACGAGCUCAAACCCAAGAUUGGCUCGACUCGUAUAACUCGCGAGCUGGCUCGUUUAGCUUGUUAAGCUCGUUAAAUAUAUAAACAUAAAGCCCUCAAAUAUAAUAAAAAUGAUUAUGUAUAUAUUAAACAUAUAUAUCACUAAACAAUUGUAAUUUCCUUGUAACGCAUGAGUCUUUUAGGAGGCUAGGCCUUCAACGGGUAGACCUUGGGUUGUGCGCUUGGGACCUAGGUUGUUUAGUGGCCGAUCUUUCUUUGUAUUGGGAUUGGCUGAUCUAUUGUAUCAAGUCUAACGAGUUACACGAGUACUCGUGAGAUUGGCUUGUUUAACUUGGUUUGUAAACGAUCUUAAACUAAAGCUCGGCUCGACUUGUUAUUCUUCGAGUUCGAAUCGAUUCGAGCCGAGUCACGAGCUACUUGUUUAGCUCGCGAGCUUCGAGCUUUUUUUCCAGCCCUAUUUGGGAUACAUACCCCCUUGAACUCAAAACCGGGACAAAUCACACCCUCAAAUUACUAAAACCGGGCAGUGGUUUCAAUCAAAUCUUGAGCUGUUUUUGUCUCCCCUGAUGCCGAUUAGAUGCUAACAAGGAAAAAAACUUUGAAUGGGGCCCAUUAGCCAGUUGCCCCCUUGCUUCUCCUCUGUCCUCUAUUCCCCUUUGUCUCUCACGCGGAGAAAAUCCCCACCUCGCCUCCAUCCCCAUCAUCGGCGCGGGCCUCUGGCUGGCGCACGUAGGAGCAGACGGCGUUGCGGAAGGCGCAGCAGCCGCAGGAGCAGACGGCGAUGAGCAGCAGCAGCACGACGUUGACGAUGGUGACGUUGUGCCACUGGCAGCGCAGCUGCUCCAUCACGCCGGCCCUGCACGACUCGCAGCCGUAGCAGAGCACCGCCGGGUCGUUCUGCCACCGGAAGCAGUCCUCGUCCUGCACCGCCACCACCAUCGGGCCCAGCCUCGUCACGCCGCCGCCGUAAACGCCGUAAACGCCGCCGCCGAGACAAAAACCGCUCAAGAUUUGAUUGAAACCACUGCCCGGUUUUAGUAAUUUGAGGGUGUGAUUUGUCCCGAUUUUGAGUUGCCAAAGAAAGAUUGGAUUGGAUUUUGGGGUGAUUUGUAUACUUGUUUCGCAAAAGAAACCCAAAAGAGGGAGUCCGUCCAGGGACCAGGGAAGACAAGGCUUUGCGUGGGCUGAUGCUUGGUAAUAUGGCCCAGUCGGCCCAUGGUUAAUUAUCAUCAUCCAUAUACAGAGUUACAGACGAGAAGAAAGGCGUGGCUUUCCUCGUUCCAUCCCCCAAUCUCGCCGCCGCCGCCGCCGCCGCCGCGCCUGCUUCGAUUCGUCGAGUCCCGUUGCAGGUAUUGCUUAAUCUUUCCCGGUCGAUUCUUGCAGAUUGAUGGAUUUGUUGUUUGUAGAUUGAUUUUGCGUCCUUUUUGUCUAGUUGGUCCGGAUCCGGAGGCGGAGCCGGAGCCGGAGAAGAAGAUGAAGGCACGGCAGUUGGUGAACGUGGUGAUGCGGAGGUACGGCAUGGGCAGCAGCCACUAUUCGGUGAGCCGCAUCAAGCCCGAGGAGCAGCUCUUCUUCCCAUCAACCAAGGAGGCGCGGGAAGCAUCCAGCACGGGGACGGGGGAGAUGGAGACCAUCUCCAGGAUGCCCGCCGCGCCCAGCCUGAGCCUCGUACGCUCGGCGGUUCUGGUGGAGAGGCUGGAUUUCCUCCCUUUCUACGAGCGCAAGAUCCUCUGCGUCGACGCCCAGGGCCGCACCGUCCUAUACGACGCCGACGCCGACGCCGACGCCGGCCUCCUCCAUCCGCUGCCCUCCCUCAGGGGUCCCAAGGGGCCCAACCCCAUCUCCUUCUCCAUCCUCGACAGGGAGCCUCUGGACCCGCGGCGGGCCGACGUCCUGUACGUCAUGCCCAGGUGCCCUCGGCGCUACGACUACUACAGCUUCGAGGCCCUCAUGUACAGCGACCCCUCCAACGGCAGGAAAGGCUGGCGGUGGCACCGCCUCCCGCCUCCGCCCGCCUCCGCCAACGGCUGCCACGCGCUCGUCGACAAGGACGGCGGCGGCGACCCCAUCCUCGUCGUCUCCUCCGCCGACGGCACCCACUGCUUCCACACCUUCACCAACACCUGGUUCGAGGCUGGAGGCUGGAGGCUGCCGUUCGCAGGCCGUGCCCACCGUGUUGCUGAGCUCGACAACCUCUGGUUUGGCAUCGCCCGCGCCUGGCCCUACGACCUUUGCGCCAUGGACCUCUACCCCCUCUGCGGCGGCCUAUGCCCCGAGGCCGAGGCUCCGCGGCUGGCCUACAGCUGGGGAGACCACCUUAGCCUGCCGGACGACUGGGAGAUGAUGGACUGCAGCAUGGUGUACCUGGGCGGCGGCAGGUUCUGCGUCGCCAAAAUCUUUGAAUUCUGCCACGGCGAUGAUGACCGCAAGGGGAUGGGUGUCAUCUCUGGCUUGGAGGUGGUGCGCCAAGGGGAGCCAUCCAAACUCGUCAUGGUCAAGCACAAGUCCAAGCUCUACAAGUUUACCAGGGAUGAGAUCCAGUGUAUCCUCUAGACUAGAGCAAAUGAACAAUGUUCAUGCUAAGUAACUACUCCCGGAGGUAGAUGAGGGAGUAGCAUGGGAGCAAACAAUAUCUGGACGAGUGCUAUGUGUGUGUUGGCUAGUUUCUUGGACAGCAGCACUUGUGUGAAUGCGAAUGCGAUUUGAUUUUGGUUGUAAUGUAAAUUUCCCCCUGCCUGGUACCGUUUGUUUGCUGUCACAAAUCUAACUUGUUUUAAAAUAUUUAUCUUAGUUUUAGCAGCUAAUUACACAUUUUGUAUGUAGUGAGCAAAAUAUUAAUCCCGGCCUGGGCCUGCCUGCACCAAGACUCUGUGUAUACUAUUUAAGCUUGUCUCUAUCUAUAUGCACUUGACUUGAGUCAUCAGGCUCCUUUGUAUAUUUAUUAGUUGUGCCUCUACUUCUCUACAGAUUUCUUGCAAACUGUGAAGAUGGUCCUCUUUGCUCUGCUAAUUUAAGUUCGUCAUAUAUAUAUUAGAAAUAUCUGCUCCAAAAAAGUUGAAUUCUCCAACAAAGGAGUCCAAAUAUCUGCUUCACACUUGUAACUGUUUUAAAAAAAAAUCAUCUUAGCUAAUUAUGUUGGCACAUUUGUUAUGCCUGGCCUGCAUCCCUCAACAUGUGUGGGGAACCUCGUCUUCAGUUCCUCGGUUGCUUGUCAGACCGAAUAAGACUAAAAAUACCAGCUACCAGUUCCUCGUCUUCAGUCAAUGUUGACAAUGGAUAUUAACUUAGAUUUUCCCAAGAUUUUGGCUGCUAUUCCGAAUUACUCUAUUAUUCCGAAGCCAAUGAAAAGUAAGUAGAACCUACAAUGGAUACUCGGUUCCUCGGUUGUGGAGUACAUACAAUGAGUUCGGAAAAUACACAAUCCCAAAAUUGACUCAAAACGCAUACCAGCUACCUGGAAAAUUCAAAAACUGAAAAGCACACCAUACGUCCAAACACUCUUGACUUUCAUUUCUCAUCUGACUCCCAAUUUGCAUACUCAGUUCUUUUUUCCAGAACACCACCUCUCUUAUUCGAACUUGUGGAUUUUUCCUACUGCUCCAACUACAGGAAGGCGUUCAUCAAUACCAAAUUCGAUAAUUUCAGCAACUUACACACGUACUCUAUGAUGUAGGGCCUGUAUUAUUACAAUUACUUCACUAGAACAACUUGUGCAGAGUAACAGCAGCUGAUCCGAUGAGCUGGAAUUCCCGCUUCAAUUGGACUGGAAACAAAGUCAUCUGAGAUCUGCCCAUCUAUUUACACGAUUCAAAUCCUGCACAACCCAACUUACCCACCCAAUCCAUCUAAACAAAAAGCUCCAAAGGAAAAAAAAAACAUCCAUAUCGAGCUCCUCACGCCUUCACACUCAGCGCCCCACCUUGAUUCUGCUUUCAGUUUCUGCUUGAGGCCUACAGAUCGAUGCCUAUAAAGAUAAAUCAACAUUUCUGAAUGUCAGCAAACGACAAGUAGUGCACCAUAGUGACAGACAGAAACAAACAUAUCAAGAAUAGCCAUCCAUACUUCGAAUCCUAAUAUGGAAGUGCUCCAUCGUUAGCGCUGCUAGGUCACUCAAACUAGCUCUGCGCCAUCAAAAAAUAAUAUGUGAAGUAGAAGUAGCAACUGGCAUUAACUUGAGACAAGAAAGAGAUUAAUGGCGAAUUGCACAACCAAGGGUCUUGGUGUGCUGCUUCUCAUGCCAUUGAAAAAAAAAUAUUUGUUACGAUAAACUCUAGGCUUUUAUGCAAACAGUACAAGUAUGCCUAAACAAGCGUCUUUGCUGUGCUGCUUCUCAUGCCAUUGAAUAAAACAGUUGUUACGGAACACUGUAGGCAUCUGUACCAACAUUAAAAGUAUGUAAUAUGGUGGUGCCUUUAUCAGGGAAAAAAAUGUAACGUGCUGCCAAGCAUUCAUACAUCAGAACCUAAAGCUGGCAGAUGCAUGGUAAACUUGGACAAGAAAAGAAAGUGAUGAAAAUAUGAGAGAUACUUACCCUCAAAACAUGGUUGAUUUGAGAACAAAUAAACCUAGCCUUCAGCUCCUUAACUUUAGAGUAAGUCAGCCAUACUAUCAUUGUUAACACGCCUGUUCCAGGAAGUUCAUUGUGUUACUUACAGUUGAACAUUGAUAAAGCUGCCAGCUGCUAGAGGGACUCUUCAAAAUAGCGCUGAUAUUCACACAACAGAAUUUCCAAACAUAAAGGUAUUUGUUUAUCUCUAAUUUCAUAUUGACACUUGUGCUGUAUUUAUUUUCCUAUCCUCUAUAUUGAGCUAAUCCAUGCUAUCAUGUUAUUAGUGUGUGUUGGACUAUCUACCUUGCAUAUACCACAGCAAGCAAAAUAACAGGCUUUUAACGAUGGAGGAACGUUCCCAUUUAAAGACCUAACAAACAUGCCCGAAUGUCAGAUGAGAAGAAAGCUGGCGCAUCCCGACAUCAAAAGAAAGCUGCAGCAGCUCGGGGUGUUAAUGUCAAUGAACCACCAUCAUCUUCUUUGCUAGGGUCUGUUGACCCUACCCCUUUAUGUAACAAAACAUAUCAACAAAUGGUAAUUCGACACACAUGUUUUUCAUUUUACUCCUGUACUACGUAGCGUCCCUCGAAUGCUCACAUGUCUAACAUGGUUGGCUAUUGUGCACAGGUGAUAACACAAGUGGGGCUGCAAACCCCACUCCUGUUGAUGCACCGUUGCCACAAAAUCGUAAAGGAAAGAGUGGUCAAGGAUGGCAUGCCCGGCUUUCUGACGAGAAGAAAGCAGCAUGCCUGUAGAAGCUGCUAAUAUCCUGCCAACAUUGCUGACAAUGGGCCUUCAGGCUCCACUAGUCUCUCUAGGUCGCAUGGGCAGGCAUGAAUUUAGGGGUUGGCAUGUAAAAGUUAAAGAUUACAGUCAUAUGAAGUUGGAACAGCAAACUGUAUAAUACAUAUAAGAAGGAACUGAGCACAAUUAGUAUACAUGACAUGCUGCUGUGAACUGCUGCAGUCUAAGAACAUGGUUAGACAAAGAAGAAAACAGCUCAUAUGGUAGGAGCCACUAAUAUUGAUCUAAAGGAUAAACUGGAUGCCUGCAUAGCUGACACAGGACUUGUGUUUGAUCAUCUGUAGUUGGUCUGUUUCAUCAUGCACCACCUCCACACCGGUCAUGACAGCAGCCUGAUUGUCACUCUUGGUCCUGCCCUCGUCCCCAAUGUCAAAAACUUUGUUGAUGCAAAACCUGCCGGCUCCCAGGUAGAGCAGGCAGCCCCUUAUUUGCACCCAGCCCUGAGGCGGGUCGAGGACUUGCCACUCACGUAGCAUCCUGGGAGCCCCGGCGUCGAGGCUGGAGAGGUCCGACGCGCACAGGUUGUUGGGGCUGCUGUCAGCCAUGCCGAACCAGAGGUUGCCAAGCUCAGGGACAUGCUCGGCCCGGCCGUAGAAGGGCAGCGCCCAGCGGCCAGCCUUACUCCACUUGCGGCUAGCCGUGUCGAAGCAGUAGGUCCCGAUGGGGCUGCGCCCGGAGGAGGAUAUGCAGAUGGUGGAGCCUGCAUUGAGCAGCGUGUAGGAGUGGAUAGCGGUGCAGUCGUAGGCCGGGUCGUUGACAUAGGGCGGCGGCGGGAGCCGGCUCCACUCCCAGCAGUUGUUCUCGCCGUAGGCGAGGGACUCGAAGCUGCACGAGCUGCGGCCGGUGGGGAACCUGUCCAUGACGUACAGAGCCACGGCGGCGGGGGCGGGGGCGCCGACGCGAGCGAUGGUGAACGAGAUGGGGCUGUCCCCCUUGGGCUCGCCGAGGCUGGGGGCAGGCUGGACGCAGCCAGAGCUCGCGUCGCAGAGGAUGGUGUGGCCUGCCGAGUCCACGGAGAGGAUCUCGCUGCUGCUGCUGCUGUCGCCGCCGCGACCGUACAGGGGCAGGAAAUCGAGCCGCAUGUCGUCCAGGCGGUACGCCUCGAGCCUGAGAUUGGGCUUGGGCAUCCUCGACAUGGCCGGAAUCUUCUUCAUGGGCGGCGCCGCGGUUCGCGCUUCCUCUACGGAUGCGUAGAAGAGCUUCUUCUCGGGCUUGAUGCGGCUCACCGAGUAGGUGGUGCCUGUGCGCAUCACCACGUUCACCAACUGCCGCGCCGCCCUCAUUUACCUGCCCUCUCACAGCAAAGAUUCUUUCUGAUACGAGGUUGUAACAAGAUCUCUAGAGAGAAGGAGAAAAAUCGAACAGGAAAGAUUGAAUUUUGGGAGCAGCAAUACCUGCAGCAGGGGAGGACUCGACGAAUCGAAACGAGCGCGGCUACUGCGACGGCGGCGGCGGCGGCGGCGGCGGAGAAUUGGAAUGAAACAACGAUGGGAUCUAGGUCUUGCCCCCCCCUUUCACCUGAUCAUAUUAAAUGGAUCAAACAGAUGGGUAGACAAUGGGCCGACUGGGCCGCAUUACCACGAAAAUUCAUAGAACCAAGUAGCGAUUUCCACUAUUUUCAUUUUCCCAGAAUGUGUCCCAACUAACUUCAAAAAAAAAAAGAAUGUGUCCCAACUUUUUGCCUAAUUUUUCCCAGAGAUGAUUGAUUCAACCUCUGAUAAAAAAGAUAUAUACCUUAGUUCUAUGUCAUCUCUUCAACAAGUUUAGUAAUAAGCAUAAUGACCAUGUUGUUCCGAUUGAGAGAAGAACCUAUAACUAGCUUUUCGGGAAAUUUCCAAACAAACUAUUUCAAUGAAAUCUUUAAUUUCAAUUUAUUAUGUUCAACUUUAUGCAUUCCUCUAUCAUAGUACAUUGAAUAUACAGAAAUGGCUAUAGCAGAGUUUCUGUUAUUCGUAUUAACAACCACUCCAGGGAGAAUGUUUUUUAUGUGGUGCUAAUGAUUUAAUAACUAUCUUUGUAGCUCCAAAAUGUUUCAGUUUAUAUUCCUACCUAUUGUAUGGAUAUACCAAAAAAGAUCUAUGGUCUAAUGAGGCUACUAUGAAAUUGUGAGCGGUCUUAUCAAUACAAAAAUGUAUAACUCCCCGGAAUUUCAAUUGUGCUUAUAUCCAUCAUUGUAGGACUUGGGUUCAAGCUUUCCUUAAUCCCUUUUCGUCAAUGGACUCCUGACGUCUAUGAAGGAGUGCGGUUCGCUUGACAAAUUCCCACCUCUAUAUCUAUCUCUGAGGUGUUUGGGUUUUACAGAAAUCCAUAGACAUGCAGAAGAGAAAUGCUAUCUCCACUCCGACCCAGAUAUAACAUUUACCAAAAGUUUACUGUGAUCCUGUUGUUUAAAUAACAAUUAAGGUGAAGCAGGGUAAGGAACAACGGAUCUCUUUAUGAUGAACAGAUCCAUUUUGCAAGGUAGUUCCUGCAAAGAAUCGGACUAAUAACAUAUACAAUGCUUGAAUUAUCGAUGUAGAUGCUACAUAGUAGGUUCUCAUCCUUCAGAGAUUACAAGUGUAAUAGGAGCAUCCGUUGACAAAAGGAUCGCCCUAAGAUGACUAUCUCAUGGCUAUUGGGAACGAAUCAAAUCAGAUGCUUCUAUUUCUCAGCCUUUCUGACUUGCUCCUACAGAACCAAGGUCAAAAUGAUUGAAAAAGUCAGCCAUUCACAACCACCGAUGAAGGAUUCCUCGAAAAGUUAAGGAUUAGUAGUGCUUUUUUGAAAAAGAAUGGAUUCGGCCUUAUACAUACGCGAGAAAGGUAAUAAAAAAAAGAGAGAAUACGACUUCUUUUUUAUCACUUAGGAGUUGUGCGAGAUGAAAGUCGCAUGCACUCAUCAAUGGGUUACCACUUUUUCUUCCCUUCACCAAAAUUUGCCGCCCGUGCAUCUCAUCUCACCAGCCCUGACUCAGCAAUGCCCCAACACCGACAAGCUUGCCCACAAGGUCAUCCCGCCAAUCCUUCUACUAUAUCGUGCUCUUGAAGCUCUGUGCCGCCCACUGAACUAUCUGUGGCCCGGUAGCCUUCGACUCUGGUGGACCUCCCUCACCACCCUCCAGAACCUCUCGGCCGCCACAUGGUCUCUCCAUGACCCGACCUACUCUGGCUCCGAUGCACAUCCCGCUGUGGCUCUCGUGAAGCACCCGCUAGCCCCGUGAAUAGGUCGACGUUGUAUGUGUGACAUUGGAUUACCGCUUCUUCGGUAAACUAANNNNNNNNNNNNNNNNNNNNNNNNNNNNNNNNNNNNNNNNNNNNNNNNNNNNNNNNNNNNNNNNNNNNNNNNNNNNNNNNNNNNNNNNNNNNNNNNNNNNNNNNNNNNNNNNNNNNNNNNNNNNNNNNNNNNNNNNNNNNNNNNNNNNNNNNNNNNNNNNNNNNNNNNNNNNNNNNNNNNNNNNNNNNNNNNNNNNNNNNNNNNNNNNNNNNNNNNNNNNNNNNNNNNNNNNNNNNNNNNNNNNNNNNNNNNNNNNNNNNNNNNNNNNNNNNNNNNNNNNNNNNNNNNNNNNNNNNNNNCCAUCGACAACGUAUGUCACACUCCUCUCGCAAUCUAAUAAAGGCAGCAUACAUGUAUGAGUAUGCGUGGUGAUCAUGGCGUCGGCGGCUAUCCACUUCUUAACUGACCAACCACUUCAUUCAUGGCUCCUAUAUGAUCAUCAUGGCGAUUCUAUACUAGAACAACUGACGACUACCUCGUGCUUGUUAUGUCUUGAUCUCCAUUGGAAAUAAUUAAUCUCCAAUUACUUAUUUUCCUAUAAAUUAUCCCAACAAAAUCAUAUUAUUAUACAAUUGUUGCCGAUGUCAUUAAAAUUAUUCUAUGAUUCUCCUCGUUGUCAUUAUAAUUAUUCUAUGAUUCUCUCAAAUGAUAUUAAAAAUUGUAUCAGUGAAUUGCACUCUUCACAUGAAAUGACAAGAAGUAGUGUACGAGUAAUUAUGAAAAACAUGACUGAAUCACCAUACACGAUUUGUGUGUGUAUAUUGUUUUUAACCUGAUUUGUCACCUCUUGACUCAACGGUGGAGCGCGGCAGCGAGACGAAACUUGGAGCCUAGAGCGGGAUAGUAGGACCCUAUUUGUUGGCAGGGUGAGUUUUGGACUUGUAGGGGCGAAUGGCGACCCAUGUUAUGUGUGUGCCCAGUUUAGGUCGAGUGCAUGAUGAUUGGUAAAGGUGAUUUGUGUGUGACUUCUAGACAAAUUGUAUCUUCAUUUUUCCAAGUAGUACAUAGACUUUUAUUUGAAUUUGAUUAGAAUAUCAAGUGGUGUUUGUAAAUGGUCCAACAUAUUCUACACGACUUUAUGAGGUUUUAGAAGCAUUGUCAUUGGCAUGCAUGAUGUCCUACCAACCGUUAUUUAUGGGGAACAAUUUUGCAUGGCCUCACGCACACCACACACAAAUGACUGGUAUUGCCGACCUUUUUUACGUGAAAAAUGAAAUAAUCCAUAUAUUACUAUCGCAUAUGGGUGGUGCUAGUCAGGUGUGUCGACACAAUAAAACAGUGGAAGCAAAAAGUCGAUGGCUAAAUUGCACAAGCUUUAGUCGCCGACGUCAUUAGUUGCAAUCCCAAGUUGGAAUUAUGCCCAACCCCUAGGUUGUUUCUUCUACUUGAUACACAUAAGGAUUCCAUUCAUGUUGCCUUAGUUGGCAUCGACGCCAUCGGUCCAACAUCACUGAUCUGUUAUUUAUUGUAAUGCAUAUAUAUAAUGAAGAGUUACAAUUGAUAGACCAGACAUCCACACAUGGUGAAGAAAAAAUCAUAAAAAUGAAGGCAACAAAGGGACUGGUUUAUGUCAACCCGAAACUCGGUGACAAGGAUGCCAAAAUUAUUUAAAUGCACACUUUAUUAUUUAUAACAUUUCCUUCAGUUGGUUAUGUUCUACUACAUGUAAGAUUUCCUUUUAUUCUGUAAGUGUGAUGAUUUAUUAUUUGUUACUUCAUGACUAGGAAAAAAUUAUAAAGAAUAUUUUUUCAGUUGCUCCAAUAGCUUUCCUACAAUACUAUGAUUACUCAUGGUUCACGAAUAUCGUUAUUUCAUGUGCUAUCCCGUCCAUAUCUAGUGUUCGAGAUGGGGAAGCCCUCCGGCGGCGAGAUUGCGAGAAGAGCAACGUUUAGGACCUUCAAGGGAGUAAUGGCCUCAACCACCAUUGUCUCCUCCUCGGAUUGGUCGGAUGGACCAAGAACAUGGGUGAAUGGGAGAAGUACACCAUGAGCUCGGGAGAAGGGUGUUGGUACCGGGAGUAUGAAUAGGUAGCUAGUCGCUUUGGAGGAGCUCGAUAACGAUGGCUUAGUCUGUUGUGGCGCUGACAUAGGAGAUCAACAAAUAUCACAAAUAUGAUCUUGUGUUGUGAGAACAACGGUUUUUCAAGUAUCACAUCUCUGACCGGGAGCAUGAAUACCUUUUUUUAUUGAAACACCGUGUGUAGUCUUUAACAAAGUUGGUUUAUAACUUAAGACCAUACAUUUCGCAUGAAAUACUAAUUUCCUAGCAUGAAUACUUUUUCCUUGAAAUACCAUACAUUUUUUCUUUACCAUAUUUGAUGAAAUUUCAUUUGGUUCAAUUUUUGUCUUAUAUAUUUGAAUUCCGGGAGCAACUACACACUCAGGUCACCUAACUUAACAACCUAAAUCUUUAGGAUUUUAUUAUUUCCAAAGGAAAGAGGGUGCCAUGGGUGGUGGCUUGACAUAUUAAAGUAUUUUAUACGACUUGUUGUUAGGACCACAUAAAAAAAUGAAGAAGUCACCAACAUGAAAGUUCCCGGAUCACCAAUAGGAGCAAAAAAGCCUUUUCGAACAUCUCAAUCGGAGGUACUAUUCAAAUUUUGGAACGGAUUUUUGAAUAUUUGUGUGCCUCCUAAGCAACACGCUCAAUCACCCCUAGCUGUUAUGCGUCAAGUUUCUCCGGGAACGCCUCUGUCGCCAUUUACGGUGAGGGAAGCGUUUGGUCGUGCCCAUCUUUCUUCAAUUCUUCAGAUUGGCAAGCAUGUGUCUGAUCUAUCUAGCAGUAGAGAGAGGUGAUAAUGGAACUGAAAUUCCUGAAAUCAAUUUUGUGUUAGGGAAAAGCUGGUAAGGAUGAUGAUGUCUUGAAGUUGGUGUUUGAGAAUUUACAUGAUGGAAAAACUGCGGCAAUUUAUAUUGAGAAAACCACCAUCGUUUGUUUCUAAACGUAAGAUGUUUUGGCAGCCAAAACGUCUUGCAUUUAGGAACAUAGAGUGUAUUAUAGAAGUUCAUUGGGGAUUCGGAACUUAAGGUAUAACAGUUGAUUUCCGCAACUAAAGAUAUCACCAAUGUUUGGUAACUAAAAAUACUCACCUUGCACUUGAAUAAAUAUGUUGAAGGUAUUUAAGUAUUUGUUUUGAUAUACUUUUAGAAACAAUAACAAUAUCACGUGUUGAUUUUUGUUUUUGUUUUUGCAACUAAAAAUGCCCAAAAGUUUAUCAAAACUUCCUCGGAUAUAUAGGAGGGGUGGGCAAGUCGAUUUUCUGGGCCGUUGGGCGUUGGAUUAAGAUUCAACGGCCAUCCAUGUUUUUUUUCCUCCAGCCAUUUAAUUCUUCCCCCACAAAACCGACUUACCCAAAUUGCAAAUUCAGUCAACUUAUACAUGAGUAGCUAUAUGUUUGUAUUUGCUAUUGUGGACAUUGAUGUUAAGAUUGGUAAAGCGUCUCAACUCUCAUACAGAGAGCCCACGAGGUAUAUAUUGAUUGUGACGAGAGGAUUAGUCUCGUAGGAGUACAUGGUGCGGUUGAGAUCUCCAACCGUGGAGGAGGAUUACAUGAGAGGGAGAGAAGAAAAGAUAGAAAGAUAAAAGGAUCCUCUAACUACUCUCCUAAUCCUAUACGUGAAGCUCAAGGCUACCACGUACGUUACAAUAUUUCCAACACUCCCCCUUAAUCACAACGAUACUAAGUUGAGAUUACGUCGAAAUUCUUCAAAACCUUUUGUGGGUAACGCCUUUGUAAAACCAUCUGCAAGCUGAUCCUUUGAGGGAAUAAAUCUGACCUCUAACUGUUUAUUUGCAACCCGUUCUCUGACAAAGUGAAAAUCUAUCUCAAUAUGCUUAGUCCUGGCAUGGAAAACUGGAUUAGCAGAUAAAUAUGUUGCACCAAGAUUAUCACACCACAGACAUGGAGGAUGAACUUCUGAAAUGCCAAGUUCCUUCAACAUAGACUGAACCCAAAUGACUUCUGCUGUGGCAUUGGCUAAUGCUUUAUACUCUGCUUCAGUACUUGACCUAGACACAGUUGCUUGUUUCUUUGCACACCAAGAAAUUAAAUUAGGUCCAUAGAAAAUGGCAAAACCACCAGUGGAUCUCCUAUCAUCCAAGCAACCAGCCCAAUCCGCAUCGGAAAAAUGCACUUAUAAGAGUAGAUGAUGACUUUCUAAAUGUGAGACCAACAGUCAUUGUAUUCUUCACAUACCUCAAAAUUCUCUUAACUGCUGUCCAAUGUGUGGUGGUUGGUGCAUGAAGGAAUUGACAAACUUUCUUAACUGCAAAGGAAAUAUCAGGUCGUGUGAGAGUCAAGUACUGAAGACCACCAAGAAUGCUUCUGUAACUAGUGAUAUCCUCCCUGUCCAGAAGUUCUUCUGUUGUCAAAGAUAAGGGUUCCAAACUGGAUAAUGGUGUUGGUGACGGUUUACAGUUUUGCAUACCAAUUCUGCUCAACAACUCAGCUACAUAUUUAGCUUGAGAUAGAUGAAGGCUAUCACCAUUUUUCUGAACCUCAAUACCUUAAAAGAAAUGCAAAUCUCCCAAAUCCUUGAGAGCAAACUCAGAACCCAAACUCUUAAGCAACGUUGCCACGGCAUCAUUGGAGGAGCUAGUAACAAUUAUAUCAUCAACGUAUAUGAGAACAAACAUGGAUACUUGUGGCUUGGUAAAGAUAAAUAGUGAGGUGUCAGAUUUCGAAGGAGCAAACCCAAGUGCCUGAAGCUUCAUACUGAGUCUUGAGUACCAUGCUCUCGGAGCUUGCUUCAGACCAUACAACGCUUUAUCAAGUUUGCAUAUAUGGAGAGGCUUGUUUUUGUCCUCAAACCCAGGAGGUUGUUUCAUAUACACAUCUUCUUCCAGAACGCCAUGCAGAAACACAUUCUGCACAUCUAGCUGUCUGAGACUCCACCCCCUAGAAACAACAAUUGACAGCACAAGACAGAUGGUUGCAACUUUAACGACAGGACUAAAGUGUCCUCAUAAUCUAGCCCAUACCUUUGCUUGAAACCUUUCGCCACAAGUCUAGCCUUGUAAUGAUCUAUAGUGCCAUCUGACUUCUUUUUAAUGCGAUAUACCCAUUUGCAGUCAAUGAGGUUUCUACCUUGUUGAGGAGGAACCAAGUGCCAAGUUUUAUUCCUCUAUAAAGCCACAAAUUCGUCAUUCAUAGCUGUUUUCCACCUAUCAUCACCAAGUGCAUCCAUGAGAUUUUUAGGUUCACCUGCCAUGCAAGAUAAUCCAUAUUUGGAGAAGUUUUGUAAUUAAUUCGGGUAGAAACUCCCGUUUGUAGGUGUGUGCGUGGUUCUGCAGGAAUGACCACGGAGGGAUCCGGCGCAGAAGAUCCAGCAGGAUCAGCUGUAUCAGCAGAGGCCGAUCCCCCAGCAGCUUCGGCGCCAGGAGCUGCCGCACCCGAUCCCGAGGCAGAGCCAGGCGGGGCGACCCAAUCAGGUGAGCGCGUAGGGGAGGCCGCGGCGGGCCCGGUCGAAACAGGCGAGGCAGGGGAGACCGUGGCGGUCCCGCUCGAGGCAGGUGACCGCGGCCGCCCGUGGCAGGUGCGCCCCGUGUCACCCGGGGAUUGGCGCGGGGAGGCGACGUCGCUGUCACCGCUGGCGUCGGUAGGCGGGGGCGUGGGGCCAGCGGAAGCAGCGCCAGAAGCGCCAGAGGCGGGCCCGACAAGAUCAGCGCCAGAGGCGGAUCCCGAGGCGGGGUGCGCUGCCGCCUGCAGCGGAGUUGAUCCCGAGGCAGAUCCUCCUCAGGUUGCGUUGUCUCCUGGAGGGGGCACAUGAAAUGACCACCUGUUUCAGCAUUUUGUACUCUGUUUUCACCAGAAAUAAUUGUUCCUGCAGUAGUAGACUUAGCCAUGGUAUGAUGAUUAGUCACAAAUAGGUCAGAACUACUAUUAGCACCCUCAUGAUCAAGGCCAGAAAGAGAUGGUGGCAAGAGAAGGAUUUCUUGACGAAGAAGAGCACCGGCAUUGGGAUGAAGUUUCUCAAAAGGAAAAAGAGUCUCGUCAAAAACAACAUCUCUAGAGAUGUAGACUCGGCCAGUAGCUACAUCGAGACACUUAACUCCUUUAUGUUGAGCGCUAUAGCCAAUAAAAACACACUGCUUGGAGCGAAACAUAAGUUUUUGAUUGUUAUAUGGACGGAGAUUUGGCCAACACGCACAACCAAAGACACGAAGGGGAGCGUAGCCUGGUUUGUGAUGAAGAAGACGUUCGGUGGGUGUUUCAUUGUUAAUACGACUGGGCAAGAUAUUAAUGAGGUGAACAGCAGUCAAGAAGGCUUCAUCCUAAAACUUUAGUGGCAUGGAAGCAGCAACAAGUAAUGCAAGGCCUACUUCAACAAUAUGAUGAUGCUUGCGUUCAGCACUACCAUUUUGUUGGUGAGCAUGUGGGCAAGAGACGUGGUGAGAGAUGCCUAUCUUUUGGAAAAAUGAGUUUAGUUUCUCGUACUCACCACCCCAGUCUGAUUGCAUGGCAAUGAUUUUACAAUCAAAUUUUCUCUCAACUAGAGCUUGGAAGUUAUGGAAAACUUGAAAGACAUCGGAACGUUUCUUAAGGAGAUAAAUCCAUGUGAAUCUACUGUAGUCGUCAAUAAAGCUCACAUAAUAAGUGUGUCUACCAACGGAAGAGGGUGCUGGACCCCACACAUCAGGAAAAAAUCAAUUGCAAGGGUUUAAGAGACACACUAGUAGAAAUAGAAUAUGGUAAUUGAUGACUUUUUGCACGCUGACAUGAAUCACAAAUAGUUUCACAAUUUCGCUCACCAACAAAUGGGAGUUUAUUCUUGCUAAGAAUUUGAUAAACAAAGGAAAAAGAUGGGUGGCCCAAGCGAUUGUGCCACCUUUCUGAAGAAACUCUAAUGGCUCCAAAGGCUUGUUUAUUGAACUUGCAAAGUGUAGGAAUCAAUGGGUAGAGACCAUCCACGCAUCUACCGCGAUAAAGGACCUUCCGUGUUGCCUGAUCCUUGAUCAAAAAGAAAAACAGAUGAAUUCUAUGAAGACCCCAUUAUCAAGAGUGAUUUUAUGAACAGAAGCAAGACUUUUUGAUGCAUGUGGAACAAGUAGGACAUCAUUGAGACGAAUAUCGCUAUGAGGGGUUUUAAUAGUAGAUUGACCAACGUGAGUUAUCAUCAUACCUUGACCGUUUGCUGCGGUGUUGAUUUGAUCAUGGCCGUGGUACUUCUCUUGCAUGGUCAACCUUUCCAUGUCGGGAGUGAGAUGUUCAGUAGCACCGGUAUCGGCAUACCAGUUCGUGUCCACACCAUAGGACACAUCUACGACGGCUGCAACUUUCUUCUUCUGCGAAUUUUCUUCAUAGCGCCAAAGACAAUCUUUUGCUAUGUGGUUAGUUUUUUUACAAAUUUGACAUUUGCCCUCGUACUCAUCAUAUCCUUGGAAGUUGUUGCCACCGCCAUAGCCACCACGGUAGCCACCGCCGUAGCCACCUUGGCGCCCCUGGUUGUUGUUGUAGAAGGGGCGCCCUUGAUCAUUGUUGUUGUAGUGGUGACCGCGACCACCAUUGUUGUGGUAGACAGGACCACCACCAUUGCCGUUUUUGUUGUAGUUGGGGUUGUUGUAGCUGUUGGAAAUAUGCCCUAGAGGCAAUAAUAAAAGUAUUAUUAUAUUUCAUUGUUCAUGAUAAUUGUCUUUUAUUCAUGCUAUAACUGUAUUAUCCGGAAAUCGUAAUACACGUGUGAAUACUUAGACCACACAAUGUCCCUGGUAAGCCUCUAGUUGACCAGCUCGUUGUGAUCAACAGAUAGUCAUGGUUUCCUGACUAUGGACAUUGGAUGUCGUUGAUAACGGGAUCACAUCAUUAGGAGAAUGAUGUGAUGGACAAGACCCAAUCCUAAGCAUAGCAUAAAAAGAUCGUGUAGUUCGUUUUGCUAGAGCUUUGCAAGUGUCAAGUAUCUCUUCCUUCGACCAUGAGAUCGUGUAACUCCCGGAUACCGUAAGAAUGCCUUGGGUGUACCAAACGUCACAACGUAACUGGGUGACUAUAAAGGUGCAUUACAGGUAUCUCCGAAAGUAUCUGUUGGGUUGAUACGGAUCGAGACUGGGAUUUGUCACUCCGUAUGACGGAGAGGUAUCUCUGGGCCCACUCGGUAAUGCAUCAUCAUAAUGAGCUCAAUGUGACCAAGGUGUUGGACACGGGAUCAUGCAUUACGGUACGAGUAAAGUGACUUGCCGGUAACGAGACUGAACAAGGUAUUGGGAUACCGACGAUCGAGUCUCGGGCAAGUAACGUACCGAUUGACAAAGGGAAUUGCAUACAGGGUUUAAUCGAAUCCUCGACAUAGUGGUUCAUCCGAUGACAACAUCGAGGAGCAUGUGGGAGCCAUCAUGGGUAUCCAGAUCCCGCUGAUGGUUAUUGACUGAGAGCGUCUCGGUCAUGUCUGCUUGUCUCCCGAACCCGUAGGGUCUACACACUUAAGGUUCGGUUACGCUAGGGUUGUAGGGAUAUGUAUAUGCAGUAACCCGAAUGUUGUUCGGAGUCCCGGAUGAGAUCCCGGACGUCACGAGGAGUUCCGGAAUGGUCCGGAGGUAAAGAUUUAUAUAUGGGAAGUCCUAUUUCGGGCAUCGGGACAAGUUUCGGGGUUAUCGGUAUUGUACCGGGACCACCGGAAGGGUCCCGGGGGUCCACCGGGUGGGUCCACCUGCCCCGGGGGGCCACAUGGGCUGUAAGGGGGUGCGCCUUGGCCUAAUGGGCCAAGGGCACCAGCCCCACAUAGGCCCAUGCGCCUAGGGUUCAAGGGGGCAAGAGUCCUAGGAGGGUAAGGCACCUCCUAGGUGCCUUGGGGGGAGGGAAAACCCCCCUUGGUCGCCGCACCCCCUAGGAGAUUGGAUCUCCUAGGGCCGGCCACCCCCCCUUGGCACCCCUAUAUAUAGUGGGGGAGAGGAGGGACUUCAUACCUGAACGGUUUGGCCUUUGGUUGCCUCUUUCUCCCUCCCCAACACCUCAUCCACCUCCAUAGUGCUUAGCAAAGCUCUGCCGGAGUACUGCAGCUCCAUCAACACCACGCCGUCGUGCUGCUGCUGGUGCCAUCUCCCUCAACCUCUCCUCCCUCCCUUGCUGGAUCAAGAAGAGGAGACGUGGCUGUUCCGUACGUGUGUUGAACGCGGAGGUGCCGUCCGUUCGGCGCUGGUCAUCGGUGAUUUGGAUCACGUCGAGUACGACUACAUCAUCACCUUGCAAGCUUUCGCACGCGAUCUACAAGUGGUAUGUAGAUGCAAACUCUCUCCCUAGACUCGUUGCUUAGAUGAACUCAUAGAUGGAUCUUGGUGAAACCGUAGGAAAAUUUUUAAUUUUCUGCAACGUUCCCCAACAGUAGCCGCCACCGCCGUUGUUGCCUCCACCACCACCGCGGUACCCGCCACCACCACCAUUAGUGGGUUUGGGCGAGCCUCGGUAGUUGUUUUUGCCGCCGCCGCCGUGAUUCCUUGCAGCCAUGUUGGCCGAGGAUUUGAAGCCGCCCGCACUUGAGCCAUGGAAAAGCUCGCCCCGCUGGUCAAAGUUCGCCACCAUGGCGAACAGCUCAUCAACGGAGACGGGCUCUACGCGGACAUCCAUGGCCGAGAUGAUGGACUGGUAAUCCAUGUCCAGCCCCGCGAUGAUGAAGGACAGUAGCUCCGGUUCCCCGAUAGGCCUUCCUGCAGCUGCAAGUUCAUCCGAAAGAGACCUCAUAUGACCAAAAUAAGCAGCAGAUUGGGAACCUUUGUGGGCAUUGGUCGGAGAGAUUCUGAGGUUAUUCACACGGGAUGCGGAUUGGGCUGUGAACAUGUUUGCAAGGGCCCGGCCGCACCUCCCCCCUCCCUCCUUUAUAUACGGGGGCAAGGGGGCACCCCAUGACACAAGUUGAUCAUCGUGAUCGUUCCUUAGCCGUGUGCGGUGCCCCCCUCCACCAUAUUCCACCUCGGUCAUAUCGUUGCGGUGUUUAGGUGAAGCCCUGCAUCGGUAGAACAUCAUCAUCGUCACCACGCCGUCGUGCUGACGGAACUCAUCCCCGACACCCUGCUAGAUCGGAGUCCGGGGAUCGUCAUCGAGCUGAAUGUGUGCUGAACUCGGAGGUGCCGUACGUUCGGUGCUUGGAUCGGUCAGAGAUCGUGAAGACGUACGACUACAUCGACCGCGUUGUCAUAACGCUUCAUGCUCAAGCUAAACUCCUGAGGGUUAAUAGGAUUAACAUCUUACUAUUGUCAGGAAAACAACAAGUGCAGACUUGGAAACGAGGGAGAAUAGAACCCGAAAGUUAAGCGUGCUUGGGCUGGAGUAGUGAGAGGGAUGGGUGACCGGUCGGGAAGUUAGAUAAUUUGGAAUGAGUGAUCCACACUUGAGCAGUUAAGAGAGGCGAUUAGAGACUAAAUCAUCAAAUAAUUCAGAAAAAUUAAAAAUCGAAAAAAAAAUUCAAAAAAAAAUUUCAAAAAAAAAACCGGUAACACCAACCGGUACUAAAGGUCCCCCAUACCAGGGCGCGAGCUCACGCCACAUGGUGGCACUUUAGAAGCCGAACUGGAGGAAGAAGACAUGGCGCUAGGUUCUGAUCUGAAGGAGGUUUUUGAUGGCGGCUAGGUUUGAUCUGGUGGAGAGCUAGAUGUGGAGGAAGAAGAUGGCUCUGAAUACCAUGUUAAGAUUGGUAAAGCGUCUCAACUCUCAUACAGAGAGCCCGCGAGGUAUAUAUUGAUUGUGACGAGAGGAUUAGUCUCGUAGGAGUACAUGGUGCGGUUGAGAUCUCCAACCGUGGAGGAGGAUUACAUGAGAGGGAGAGAAGAAAAGAUAGAAAGAUAAAAGGAUCCUCUAACUACUAUCCUAAUCCUAUACGUGAAGCUCAAGGCUACCACGUACGUUACAAUAUUUCCAACAAUUGAAACAUGACAUGUGCCUUCUAACCUUUUCAGGAGAAGAAGAAGAAGAAGAAGAAGAAGAAGAAGAAGAAGAAGAAGAAGAAGAAGAGGAGGAACGAAACGCCGUAGUUCAUGCAUGCUUGUACAGAUUCAUCCACCAACAAACACGGCUUGCUAUCGUAGAGUAGUCAGCUAAUUAAAAAGGAUGGAUCCCUUGAGAUGGAUGGAGUAUGACAUGAUCGUCUCAUUGGGUUUUGAUUUGAGUUGUGUACUUCCAAGCAAGCAUGCGUGCACGUAGGCAGGAUCGGAGACGCGUACGUACGUAGUACAUCUCGAUCCGGCAGCUCCCAUGCAUGCAUGCACGUCGAUCCGUCCUCGCCCACCUGUGCAUCCUCAUCGCCCCAGGCUGCAGAGACUCCAGCGUACCCGGCCGGGCCUUGUCCCCGCUGCACGUACGGGUCCUCGGCACACCUAGCUAGGCGUCUUUGACGGCGCCGCGCUCGCCGGCAGGGACGACGGUCCUUCCUGGAGCUCGCCCACGGCAGGGUGUCCACUCCACUCCACGAGGACGGACGUUGUGGAUGGAAUGCGAAUGCAUGUCAUCCAGCUGGAGCGGUGCGGGGGCAGCUAGCUCACAGACAAAGAGGUGACGUUUGAGCACCGCUGUCCCGAUCGAACCGAAGCACGCAGCAGCAGACGAAAGACGAUAGAGCACACCCGUCCCGUCCAUGCGUGGGGGCCGGGAAGACAAGACGUGGAAACUUGGAGAAGACGAAAGACGUUUCGUCCUCGCCGUCGGUCAAUCAACAGGAGCGAUAGAUCGUCGACCUUGUUGUUGGUGGUGACCGCAGCAUGAUCCCGGCCUCCCCUGUACAUCGUCGCUCUGGCUGCUGUGCACGCGCGUAACUUGCCAGUUAAUCCUGCAGCUAGCUAGCUAGGCGCAUUUUGGCGCGGCACCGUGCUCGCCUCACCCGCGGCAUGCAUGGACGACGUACCGUACGGCCGCUCCUCGGCCUAGCUAGGACACGGCCUCCACGUACGAUCGAUCGAGGAGGAAAGGGGAUACGUGUGCGUGUGGGCACACGGCCCAAAGAGGGAGGCUGCUACCUCGCUUGAUAGUGGUGCUUUCUUCUUAGCGCCGGAGCAUGCAUGGGCGCGUGUACGCAGACGCGCGCGGGCAUUCCGGCGAACAAUCAUCAAGAGGAAAAGGAGGUGCGAAGAGGACGAAGAGAGAGAAGAUUUGUUCGCACGGCUGGCGUACGUGGGUCCCAACCGCAGCCGCAGCGGAUGGAUAAGAUAAGACGGUUUUUCUUUUGGUGAGGUGAGAAUGAUGAAAAGAAAAACAAGGACGCCAAACGCGUGUUCCUUUUCCUCUUUGGAGCGGCGGCGCUAAAACGCGCAGCUACCGCCCUAACGCUAGCUAUUGCUCUUUUAUUCUUCUCACGCACUGCUAACAAGUAAAAGGAACACGAGUUCCAUGCAGCUCUCUUCUACUCCUAGGAGCCUAGGAGAAGAGGCAUCGCCAAGCAUGCAGCUACCGCACGCUAUUGGUUUUUUAUUCUCACGCCUUUGGCCUAGCAAGACGAAGCGUGCACAUACGCACACUCCGUGUAGAGCUACUAAGUACGUACCCCGGUGACACGUACGUACGUACGUACUAGGACUUGCACACACCCUUACAUUAUUACUAUUAUUAUUAGGUGCGUGACAUGACACUCACACCGCCUUGAUGAUGGCGCCGGCCACCGCUUCCCAGCCGCGGAGGUGCUCGUCGUCGACGAUGUUGCUGCCGCGAACGCACUGUCGCACGCACUGUUGGUGCUUGGUCCGAUCUUUCCAGCCCUGACACUUCCUU